UUCCGCUGGCUCAGCGGGUUUCUCUUCCUUUGUGGUUGCUGCUUCCGUUUCAGUAGUGGUCUCCUCUGCUGUUGCCUCUUCUUUCACUUCGUCAGUUUUCUCUUCUGCUGACUUCUCUUCCUCUGCCUUCGCUUCCUCUGUCUCCUUUGUCUCUCUCUCUUCGCUCACAACUUCAACUGGAACUUCGGUUGUUGUACCAUCUGGGGUUUCUUCUGUAGUUGUUUCUGCUGCUGCUUCGGCGCUUUCCUUCUUUGGUUCUUCGGUGGUAGAUUCUGGGGCAGGAACCUCAUCGGCUGGUUGUUCUGGGGCAGGAACCUCGGCAGCUGGUUGUUCUGGGGCAGGAACCUCAGUGGCUACUUGUUCCGGGGUUGCUUCCAGGGUCUUGGUUACCUCUGUUGCUUCAGUAUCUUGCACUGUUGCUGGUACUUGCUGUGCAACCUGUGACAUUUCUAAUUUUAUUUUAACAAAGUCUUGUGCCAAGCUUAACGAAGGUGGAUUGGAAACAGGAAAAACCAACAAAGUUGAUGGGAGAGACCUCAGUGAAAGAUCACAUAAUCACUACUUUAACGUGUUAUAAGAUGAAUUUUAAUCGUUUAAUCGACUGGCUUAAAAAGUAAAGUGUCAACUUGGUAAUACAAAAUAAUUAUUUGCCUUUUAUUUUAACGUACAUGUUCAACUUGGUUUCGAGGGUGUUAACUAGCUUCAACAAUUAGUUGGGCUAGAUGGAUUGAGCUUUAAAGAAAUUAAUGAUAGUCUAGUUAUGGGCAAGAAAAAAAAGCUUACGUAAUAAAUUGAUCUGUCAUGUUGUUUCGAUAAUACAUUCAACUGUGAUCUUUAUACCAGAAAAAAAUAAACGAGGUCCACAUGAACUGUUGAUCGCAGUCCAAUUUCACACAUCAAUGAAUAUUUCAAAGAUAUCAGUCAACUGGAAAAUGAUUCGUGAUUCAUAUAUAUCAAAAUAAAUCAAUGAUUAAAAAAACAAUGAAACAUGUUGAUUCCUUCAAAUCUCGUACAGUUUAAGUGGGCGAUCGCAGCUAUAAUUUAUGGAUUGCAUAUUGAUGAUUAUCAAAUACCGCAGCAACAAAAAGAAGGAUAGAUCGGGAAGAACCAAAAUGAAAUUAACAUCAAGUGCUUUAUAUUAAGACUAGCUAUUAAUUACCAUCGCAAGUGCAACGUGUAUAUAUAUAUAUAACUUGGUAGAUCGCACCUUUGCACGUAAUAAAAAACCAAACUGAUUCUUUGAUCGAUAUAGAGUGAAUAACACAAGAAAAAAGAAAGUGAAGAAACGGUUAUUAUUUUAGUUUUUAUUUUCAUCGUGUGCAUGUAGGAACCAUAUAAACUACUGAUACACACGUGGAGCAAUACAGGAAUGUACAAAACAAUAGAGGCAAUAAACAACGAAACUGUGUCUUUGAAUUACCUCAACACUGGCCAUUUGGAAAGGAGAGGGGGAUUAAAAAAGGCUGAAAGUUGAAGGUUGGAGGGUGUGUAAACGAGCGAGGAAGACAGAGAGAAAGAGUGCUUGUUAUUGUGAGUGAGGUGAUCAAAGUGAGAGAGGUUUAUAUAGAGGUGCAGUGUGAUGAACAGUAGACGCAACUCCAAAGAGAGAAAGAGCGUGUGAUUUUGUGUGCGGUGUGAUCACUUGGAAGAAUCUUUUUCAAAGAGAUGGCUCAUAUCACUGACACAAAAUAAAAGACACUACUAGUAUACCCAGUUGUCAAUGUCUUUCCUUUUCAUUGUUUAUCUAUUAUCUCUGCAAAAUAACAUAAAAAAAAACUGUAAAAGUAUAUCACACCUUACGAUACAAUUAUUUGAUAGAAAUUAUAGUUUGACACUAACCAAAAAAUUUCACAUUAAUAUUAUGAAUUGUCUAAUAGAUGUAUUUUACAGUGACUCACCCCUCUUAUUUGAUACGUGUAUAAUAUAUAUGGCAAUUGAGUGAAACUGUGAGAACAUUCUUUUUUAUGGUCCAUUUUACUAAAUAUAGUGUAAUUCCUAAUCGUUAUUUUAGAACGAGAUUUCUCUUUUAAAUUAUUUUACAGUAAAAAUGUUAAAUUGAGUGGACUAAAUUUCUGUAAGACAACUCGCAGAAUAAAAACGUUAUUAUUAAAGAUUUUAAAACCAAGUAGCAUUUUCUGUCAUGUAUUCAUUAUUAAAGAAUCUAACUAAUAUCGUUUAUAUUUUACUCAGAUCACAAAAUAUUUACGGGGUGACUACUGUAAAGACCCCGUUUCACAGGUGGGGUUGUAUGUGUUUUGGAGUUGUAUUACUUCAACCUAUUCUUUUUUACUCUUUUUUUUUCUAUUAUUAUCAUACCAGUUAUUUAAUUUAUAUUUUUUCUCUUUGUAGAAUAAUAUAGUAACACCUUAAAAUAUGUGCUCUACGUCUCUACCCUUGAGAAUGGACCCAGCUUUUCCCUGGAUCGGAAAGCUAGCCAGCUAGGCACCCAAAAUGGAGCAAUCAUAAAUAAUGGAAAACAAAUGAAGAAAAGAUAUAAUAAUUUAGAAAGACAAGAACAACACAUGAAAGACCUUUAAUUGAAACCGUACCCAAUUACUCCACUUCUGUAGAUAAUUAGCAUGGCUAUACACCAACAAAAUCGGGGCUUGGUUAAUGCUGUUUUCUAAUUGUAGAGCUAAUUAAAUGUAGAUAAAUUAGUGUGUACUUAGCAACUCUGGCAUGUACUAUUAGGAAGUUUUAAAAAGAAGGGUGUGUUUUUGCUUUCCCUGUUAUGGUCAAGGUAAGUUGUUUAACCAAAAUUUUAAGGUUAGAGAGUUUUGGUGUGGAUGAAGCAAAACUUGAAAAGGACAUUUGGAAAAAUGGGCAAUGAAAAGGCAACAAAGGGAAAUAGGGCGGUGGUCGAUGUGGGACCCAUGAUGAAUUGGCAUCAUUAACCUCCAAAAUCCAAAUGGAAAUGGUGGAGCCAGGUGGGAAAAAAUAGAAAAUAAAAAACAACAACAGAAAGAAGAAGUUAAUUGCGUGGACAACUUUUGGUUCCCUGAAUCGGCCCAUUUCCACUGCUAAUAGCCUUGGGAAUCCCUCUUUCAAAAAGAUUAAAACUUCACAUGGUCCCACUUCCUAUGCUUUCCACCCCUUUCAUCUCCCACGUCACUAACAAAUCCCUUCUCUGCAUUUGCCUCACCUCAUUCCCUCCAUCACUUCACAAUACAAAAUUACCUUCUUUCUAAGACACCAUCAUGCUGCUCUUCAAAUUAUAUAUAUAUAAAAGAAAACACCAUCGUGGAUGAAUCUUCACAAUAAUUAUGCUCAUAUAUAGUAGCAAGAUAAUAAUAUCAAUUCCAAUUCUGAACGUAAGCUCAAGUAUUUCCUUCUCCAAUUACCUGUUCCCACCAUGUAAUAAAGUAAUCGCAACUCUCAUACAUGAAAUCAUCAUUCCGACAUUCUACCGUUUUUUUGUAGUAUCAAAGAGAAACACUAAUGUAAUUGCAAUCCGAAAUAGGUUUUGAAAGUAGCACCACACAAGUCGAUGUACCAAAGUAGUGUGUGGAGAAGUGUUUGUGAUAUUUACCACAAGAAAAAAAGCUAGAAGGAAUUGGCUGUAAAGCGACAAAUUUUAGGUGAAAAAGUUUAGGGGCGGUGGAGAGUCCCCACUCUAGAAUGGACGCCACACAUCCUCAACGUAAGUUGUUCCAUUUCGUAUGAUUUGAUAGCCUUCCACCAAUACAAAUCCGCCACGUGGAUGCUAACUAGGAUUACACCUUUGAAUGUGUUCACGUUUUGCUGUCUUGGCUAUUAUGGGCGUGAUUCUCUCACAUAGUAACAUGCGAUGCUCGGUUUUCCAACCAGGUGACUGAAUCAUUCCAACGUUGAUGACGUGGACCAGUAAUCGCCCACCUCAUGUGGGCCUUCACUCGUGGUCUAGUCCAUCGCAGAUUCCUUUCCUGCAUCAUCAUGCUCCUAUAUUCUACUCUUUUUAGGCUUAACUAUUCUUCACCUUCCACUUAAUUACUCAUUGUUUAUUAAUAUUUUAUGUUUUCUCUCUAUUUACAGAGAAUCCGAUGAUGCAUGUAUUUGUUUCAUGAUAAUAUUUUGAUUAGGAAUGCGUAAUCAUGAUAACAUUACGAUGGGAAGUGGAAUCAGAAAUCGCUGCUGCUGCUGCUGCUGCGGUCAAUCGUAGUUUGGUUUGAGACAGCGACUUGUCCAUUCCCAGUUCCAAAUGCUCUGCCACUUUGUAACCACGGAACAAGAAAGUUGCCCAAAUGCACAUUCAUACACAAUCACUCUCUAUUCUUUUUUCCUAUCAAUCAACAAAUAAAUAAAUCUCAUCAUGCAUUCUUAGGAUAAAAAAACACUCAUCCUUAUCAUCCUCUCCGGAAACUAAACUUCUCCAGUACUCUUUUAAUUCCAAAAUAUAUAUUCUAAUUUAUUCAAAUAUAAAACAAUCAUCAAUUCUGGGUUGUUUCUUUUUGCCGACAAUUUCUAAAAUUCAAAGGCAAUAAUCAAUUUCGUAAGGAAACACUUUUAUGUUUUUUUUACAAAAAUAUUUUUUUAGAAGCAAAUACGUAGAAGCUAAACCUUACAUAUUUUAAUAUUUUUUUUACUGAGAACAAAUAUUGAUUCAACAAACUAAUCAUAUAAACUGCAUUAUAACCUAGUUUUUUUUUUAAAAAAAAGAUUUAUUUUUAUAUAAGCUCUUAUUUUAUGUAAAAAAAAGCUUUUAAAUACAAAAUAUUUUAUUUAAUUGAAAAUACAAUAUUUCAUAUUUGUACUUAAUUCUGAAAUAAGAAACUAAAGAAUGCAAAAAGAUAUGAACUUCACAUAAUCAAGAGAACGGGUACAUAGAGGAAACCGUUUCAUAUCUGCUAACAUGUAAGGUAUCUUAUUUCAUGUGAUGUAUGUGUGAUAAUUGGGUUGAAAGUCAAUGUGUUCACCGUAAUGAUCUCUUAUAACAUUUUCUAAAUUUUAAAUUGAUGGAUUUGAAUGAGAAACAAAAUAAAAUUUGAAAGAGUGUUUGGGUAGCUAUUGUGAGCAUGAUUUUGAACCAAAAAACAUGCUUAUUUUUACGCAAGGAAAAGUAUAUAAUGUAUAAGUUUUUUUUGUAUGGACAACUGAAAACAUGAGUUUUGAUAUCAAAUAAAAUGCUUAAUGCUAAGUUUUUAUAUUCAGACGGUGUUCAAAGGAAUGUUUAUGUGAUUAGGUAGUAGACAACUAUAUAUGAGGGAUUAAUUGGCAUCAUCAAAGUUUUUGUUUUUUUUUGCGUAAUGAUAAUAUCUCCCAAAGUAUAGGGGGAUUUACUCUUUUUGCAGGCCAAGAGAUAAGUAUGCUUGGUGUCAUUGGUUGCUAGUUAGACACUUAACCAUAACAAGAUGAGUAACUUAAUCUCUUAAGUUCAAGGUCUAAAGUCUCAGGGGCAACAAUCUUGUAAACAAGAUAUUGAGGAAUGGUGGACUUAGAGUUCAACUGUUUUGUAGGACAGAAAUAUAUGACUAAAUGUGUUAAAUGUUUUUGUAUCAAUGCUCCCUGUUAUAGUAUUUCCAGUGUUGCUAACGUAUUUGUGUGACAGAUAGGAGUCAAACCCAUUAUUUAGCUAGAUGUAAUUGGGUGCAGGGAACUACAACUUAUUAAACUAUGUGAUCUUUUGUAUUGGAACACAUGUGUUUUUUUUUAAUUUAUUUUAUUAUUUUGCCGAUAAAAAAACAUAAUCAAAAGAACAUUUGAAAAAAUAAAUAUAGAGAACUCAGUAUCUUGAACAUUUAUAUAAAGUAGUAGACUAAUAUAUGAAGUGAGUUUUUCACCGGGUACUUGUAUCACUUGUCAUUUUGUUCAAUGAAAGUUCCACAUCGAUUAGUAUGAAAAAAUGGGAAACUACUACAAAUUGAUGAGUUAAUUUGAGUACAACUCAAUGAUUCUUCUUUUGCAAAGUUCUAUUUGUCCCACUUGUUAAUUUAUAGUUAAAUACGGUUCUUAUUAAGUAGUAUUUGUAAAAGUCUCGAAUUGAAUAUUAUGAACAAGAAAAUGGUAAGAAACUAUUACAAAAAUAGUUAUGGGAAUCGAAUGGUUUCCCCAUAAAAUUCAAUAGAUAAUUAUGGAACUUUAGUGGUUUCGCCAUAACUUAAGUUUUUUUUUUUUUCCUCCUUGUAAAAAUUACAUGUUGAGUUAUAGUUUUGGUGUCAAAUGUUCUACAUUAAACCGACACACGUACAUAAAAACAAGUUUUCUUCAUCUUUGUAACUCUAUACAUUCAUCAAAGUUUGUACAACAUUCCUUAUCUUAAGUUCUUUUCUUGAUUUUGACUAUAUUGGCAAGACAUAUCCCUUACGGAAGAAAAAAAAAAAACAUUAUCUUUGUUAUAGAUAUUGUUGUUCAUCUUAUUUCUCUAACUCUUCUACAUUUAUUAAAUGUUCUUAUUGAUUAGUAUAAGUGAGUUAAUAUUUUUUAACAUAAUUUUAUAUUUGUAUUUACCAGUUAAGCUUAUGAGUCAUCUUCUUUUUCUUUGUAUUCUCUUAAAAAUAUUUCAAUAUCCUUAUUGCUUCCACUUUUAGUGUUGUAGAAUUAUCAAUAUUCUAUAUCUCGUUUUACAUACCUACAAAUUUACAUUAAGUCAUUCUUUACAAACUAAAAUUAAUGAUUAUUUAUUAAUAUCAUUUUACAUAAUUCUCUUUUGUCGAACAUUCACUUGUUCUACUUGUCUAUUUUAGAUGAAUAUACGAAGGUCUUACAUUGAAAUAAUGAAAAUAAAAUUAUUUUUAAGUGGAUAUUUACAAAGGUUUCACCAAUAAUAAUGAAAAUACAAUUUUUCUUAAGUGGAUAUUUACAAAGUCUCACAUCGAAUAAUAUAAAGAAGAGAAUGUGGAAAACUAUUAUAAAGAAAAAAAAUAUUAAUUUCCCUCAUAUCUUAAUAUUUACAUUAUCUAACUAUGAAAAAAAAAUAAAAAAUUCAGACAAGUUGUGGUUGCGGAUGAAUUUAUUUAAUAUGAAUAAUUUAAGAUAUAUGAAAAACUUAUGAUAUAUUUUUUAAAAAAUAGCAUCAAUGAUCAUCAUGUAAAAAUAAUAUUGUCUAUGUUCUUUGUCUAAAAUAAGAAUACAUCAAAAUAAAUAUUGUGGAUGAGUGAGUGGGAGGAUCUCUUGUUUAGACCUUUCCUCUCACAUAAGUAAAAAUUAUAAGGGAUGUCCCGUAAAUGAUAUUGAUCAUUUCAUAAAUAUAACUAUUAUAAUGUAGUUAUAUAUAUACAAUAUAUAAAAUUAAAUAUCAAUUAAAUUUUAAUAAUUUUAAAAAUAUUUAUUAUAUUAUUAAUAACAACAUAUAAUUAUAAAUAAUAAAAUAAAAUUAUAAUAUCAACAAAAUAUAUAUAGUUAUAUAAAAUAACAAAUGUAUAUAAUAAUAAAUAUUAUUUUCAUAAAUGUUAAUAUAUUUAAUAAAUUUAUUUGAAUUUAAUAGAAAAUUAUUUUAUAUUACAAAAUAAGAGUAAUUAUGAAUAUUAUAUAUUAGAAAAAAAUAAUUAAUUCAAACCUAAAAAAAAGUUAUACCAUAAUCUAUUAUUAAAAUAUUUUCUAAUAACAAGGAUAAAUUUUUAAACUUACAUUUUACACUUUUAAAAUAAUUUAUAAAUUCUCUCAUAACAUCACUCACAAAUUUAAGUAAAUCAUCCUCACAAAUUCACUCUAUCAUCCAUCAAUCCAAACAACGUUACACAUCUUCUCUAAUUCACUAUCUCUCCUCUCAUUUCACAAAUUAAUUUAGAUAUUAAUAACUUUUUAAUUUUUAAAAUAAUAUUUAAUUUAGUUAAGUAUGUAUCAGAAAAAGAUAUACUUGAAUUCCUUACAGCUAACAAAAAUAAUAUGAUAUUAUAAAAAGUACGUAGAAACCUAAAGUAAGAUGUUAUUAAUGUAUAAUUAUUUAAAUAUUAAAUAAAUAAAAAUUAGUAUAUGAUUAAAAAAAUUUAUUGCUAAUAUUUUAAAAUUUAGUGCCUUUGAACAGUAAAAAGUAGCAACGGUGUUUCCUUUGCACUCCAAUGCCCAAAAUCUUUGGUUAUCUCAAAUGAAACUUAAUAUUAGAUAUUUUUCAAAUUUCUAAGAUAAUAUGUAGCUUUUUUUUUAUUUUAUCUAACUGUCAAUUUUUUUCUCCAACAUAACAACUUUAAAAAGUUACUUAAAUGCACCCCCACAAUCAAACGCACUCUUUUAUAGUUUAUUAUCCAUCCUAAUUUUAAUUUAAUACAAUUUCAUGUUAUGUAUAAUAGUAGUAACAGUAAUAGUAAUGUUUAAUUACAUAACAUUUUAAUUCAAAAAUUUAUAAUAUAAAAAAGACUGAAAAAAUUAAAUAAAAAUACUCUAUUUUUAAUUCAAUAAUUUUUGUUAUACAUGAGAAAUUAAUCUAAAACAGUGAAAGCUAUUUUAAAUUAAUAAUAUUUGUAAAAUUUGAAGUAAUAUAUAUAUAUAUAUAUAUAUAUAUAAUGCAGUAAAAGAACAAUUAUUGUAUGUAGUAACGGCGAUCUCUUGUUUACACUAUAAAAAAAAAGUUUCAUUCCAGUGAAAAAAAAACAACACAUUAUACUUGACUUGCUUAUUAUUCGAAAACGAAUAAGUUUAAGAUGGUGAAUCUAAAUUUAUUGGAUUUGACCGAUUAGAUUUUAAGGAUUGUCGACUUCAAAUAAUAAAAGUGGUGUGGAUAUUUAUUUGAAAAAAAUCAAUAAAAAUAUAAUUAUAUAAUAACAUUUAAAUAGUGAGUAAAUGAAAAUAUUAAAUGAACUAAAAAUACUCUUUCAUUAAUAUAAUAUAUGAGUAAUUGAUAUAAUUAUAAAUAAUUAAAUAUAAUUAAAAUAUUAAUUUAUUAAUUAUGAAGUAAGUGUAUCUAAUGUAAAAAGUUUGAAAGAAUAAGUGUAUUUUUAAUUUAAUAUGUUAUUUCUUUUUUUUUUUUAUCCUCCUAUAUACUAAAAUCUUCUUUCUAUCUAUAUUUCACCUUAUUAUUAAUAUAAUUUUAUAAUAAAUAUUGUUUCCUAUUAAAGAUCGAUAAUCUAAAAUUUUCUUAUGUUGUCUUUAAUCUCAGGCAUCAACAGAUGACUGUUUACAAUAGAGUCAGAUUAUUAUUAUGUUUCAAAUACUUUGCAUUCCAUUGUUCCUCUUAAAUAAACUUUAUCUUUGUGUCAUUAACAAAACAACGUUUAAAGAAAAUAAAUUUAUUUCUUGAUCAUGUGAUACUUUUGGAGUAUGGUUGGUUGGUUUUUGUCAGCGGGGAUUGAUCAAGUAUUGUUUUAACAUUUUAAUUGAUGAAACAAAUUGUUAAAUGUUAAUAAUAGAAUACCGUGAAAUUGAAGUUUGAAAGUCAAGUCUAGGAUUCAUUGUAGAAGUUGCUUUUGGGAGACACGAUUCAUUUUGGAAAACGACCACUUGGCCACCAUCGUCUUCACUCUGAUGUUUCUUUUUGGAACGUUCUUUUAUUAUUUAUCGAUAAUGUCUUUGCUUCAUCGUUUUGUGUCCCAAAUUAGCAACAUAGCAGGUCCCUUGUGAAAGUUGGGACAGGGAUAGUGUGAUGUUCUAAUAACUUUUAACUGUCGUGAAUGAUUGUAAUGGUUUUUCUAUAUGGAUUUCUAAUAGAUUGGACUUACAUGCAAUGAUUCAGUGACUCUAACACCCCAACCCUGAACCAGUUAAAGUUGGUUGAAUCCUCAACAAUCUGGAUCACACGUUCCCUUCCAACCUACUAUUACGUUUUUUUUCAUUUGCCACAUUGCACUGCCAGCUGCUACCCCGUAUUAUUGAAAUAUAUACAAACAAUAAGAAAAAAACAGACAAAAAAAUGGGUUAGUUUAUUAGUAAUAGUGAAAAUACGUUUGGGGAAGAAAGAAAUAUAUAUCAUAAAUCUUCUAAAUUUUUUUUUAAGUGAUCAAUAAAAACGGAUGGAUACAUCAUGGUUUUGAGACAACCUAAUUAUAUUAAUAUGAUGAAUAUAUGAAACACCAGGAUUAAGGUUCAGAAUUUGUAUUGAUGGCCAAUUAAGCUUGAACAUGGUGAGCAAUAUCUUUGAGUAGGGUGAUGCUAAAGUUCCAACAGCAACACUUUGAGUAUAUAAUGUUGUUGUCCUUUGUACUGUACAUUGCAUGAAGUACUCAACACGAACUUACCCCAAUACUGCUUCAGCAUGCUGCUCAAAAUUGGGUAACAUUCAACAUAGAUCAAUGAUUACCAGUGAAAAUUUAUUAAUGUUUCCUUAAACAGUGUGAUUUUGACAUUUAAUAGCAAGUACCUAUAUUUUGUGUGAAACAACUUCUUAAAGUCCUGCAACCUAAAAAAAAGUCCUAAUCUACUUGUACAAAAAAUUAUUUUAUUUCUAGAACAGAUCAUAGAUCAGUCUCAGCCUAAAUGAAAACACCCAUAAUGACAGGAGUAGCUGGAUUAUAUACCCAUUUGUUUUGUGCUGCCACAUAUUCGAGUAAAUUGUUAACCCUGUUGUUAAAAGGUUCUCUGCAGAUUUGCAAAGCACCAUGUUACUAACACGUUUUAGGCCACCAAAGCGCAAAGAAGACUCCAUAAAAAGAAGAAUAAUGAGUCAAAGCUGGCCAGUUUUGAUAUGAAGGCCAACAAAGCUUAUGUUCUCGCCAAAGUUCCGAAAUAUUUCCUUUCACAAUAUAUGUGACACCUGCUAGGCGAUACUUGAAUUGAAGAAUGUAACUAAAUUAUGGUUCUGAUUGGUAUUGUUGACCUCGCAUAUUGUUCUUUACGUCAGUUUCCUACAAAAACAUAUACAACAGUCUUUCUCAACUUUGACCAUGCUACUAGCAUAUAUUAGUAUGUGAAUUGAAAACUCAAUUGAUAGCUUGUUGAAUUAUAAGACUAAAUACAGAGUUACAUUCCAGAGAUUAAGAGUGCAGAGAAAUUGGUACAAUACUCCUGGAAAACUGCUUCACAUAAAAGUGAUAACUACUUGAUUGAUUUAAGCCACUGUAUUGGACACAAAAACCAAUCAAUAUAGAAAAACUAACAACAACCAAUUUGUUUUUCUAAACCAUAUGAAAGAAUUAUUCCUCUUCUAUCCUUCUAUCUUUAAAUACUUUAUUUCUAUGGUAUUAUAUGUUUCAAAUAAUUAUUUUUUACGAGUAAAGAAAAAAAAAUAUAAUUCAUAAUGUUCCAAUCCUUAUACAUAAAAUUAUCAAGUGAACCUCUUUACAAAACAGUAAACUAAUCAUAAAAGAUACAUAAAAGAAAAGGCCAAAUCAAAAUAAUUCAGCAACCCUCAUAAAAUCUUAUAAAAAUCCUUAUAUCCAAUCUUCAGUCAAAAAUACAAAACACAGUACACACAAAAACAAAUUUUGAAUAAUUGUUAUUACUACUCCUUUUUAAACUAGAUUUUGCUUAUGAUUCAUAUAAAGAAGCUAAAAUUGCUCAAAAUAACUACACAUGUUAUUAUGUUGUAGAAAUUGGAUUUCCACCCAACUACAACAUGUGUUUGAGACUAAAAAAGUUACCUAGCAUAUCAAAAAUAAAUGUUGAGUCUAUUCUUCAAUAUGUUGGCAUAACGAGUAUAAUGUACUACUAAUGUCAACCUCUCCCCUACCUAAAUUAAGUCUAAUAAGUAUUUUAUUAAGUAACACCCUUCAUGUAAGGAUUUGAGAACUGGAAAGAACCUUCACAUUCUAUAAUUUUGUUAAUGUUUUCAAUAAUAAUACGAUUAUAUAAUAGAGUAUAUGUUGUUGACCUGAUAGAGAAAAUGUCAUCUUCUAGUCUAACCAUCUUUAUUUGUAAGGAUUUUUUGUGUAUACAUGUUAUUAAUUCACUCAAGUAAUCACACCAAAUGUAGAAUUAUGCAGAAAUUUUAAGUUAAAUCCUUAUAAAAAGCAAAAAGAUAAAAACAAACAUCCUAGAAAUAUACUUAUUCAAAAUCCCUGUGUAACUCAGUAGUUGGUGAAGAAAAGGUUAAACUACACACGAGAUAUAUAAAUAAAAAACCUUCAAAUAAGUUACAUACUUUAAAAAAAAAAAAACCAAAAACACGGAAAGCGGAAAGUUUAAUAAAGAAUCAAAUUAUGUUAUAAAGCAUGAAAGAUUUUUUAUAUAUAAAUCCUUUAAAAGAGAAUAAACUAAUAAUGUUGGAGCUUUGUACCUUUUGAAAUAGUGACAUUAUAACACAUACUUGCAAACAUAUUGAUAUUAGGAACACAGUAAACAACUCUAUGUUCAUGAUUGUUAUAUUUUGUCUUGCAAGAGUUUAAUCUCAUAAUCUCUAUCUAAUAUUAACGGUCUAUCAACGGUCUAUUUAUUUAUGUUUUUUCAAAACGUAAUUUUUUUAUUCAGAGUAUUAAAAAAAAUUAUAGCAAGUAUUAUAGUUUUUGAAAAAAAAAACCCAAAAACAUUGUUUUAACAUAUUUCUUAAAUUUAAAAGUAAUUUAUAAUAUCAAACUACAUUAUGUAAUAAUGACCUAAGUAAAGAGCAGUGAAGCAUUUUAAGAAAGCUUUAUAAAUAGCUAAACAAUACAUAGAUUUUGCUAAAUUACACACAUCUUUUUUGGAACACUCCUUUAAUUAAAAAGAGAAUGAUAGUGCGUUUUUAUAUUAUAAAACCCUAGCCAUCCCUUUACACUCGGGUUGGGCUUCAAUUACGUGAAUAACUGUGGGCUUCGAUUACGAGAAUAACUGUGGGCUUCGAUUACGUGAAUAACUGUGGGCUUCAACUCCCUCUCUAGAUCCUGAACAACCUAAACUGUGAAACAGAUUCCUAAUUAGCAAAAACUUACCCAUGUAAAUCGUGUUAUUUAAACACUAAACACUGAACCCAAAUUGAUUUAGUGACUAUCCCUAUAAACUGCAACUACAUACGCUUUGGUAGGCCUGCACGUUGUUCCGGUUGGGUUGGAUUUGGAUCUUACUUAACCAAUUCAAUACAACUUCAAUUUUACAUUUUAAUUUUAAUAUUUAAUUAUUUAACUUAUCAUCUUAGUUGGUUGGAUAUUACUUGGGUUCGACAUCCGUACGUAAAUAUGGUGACAAGGGGUAGGAUUUAAAAAUUUAUGUUGGGUGCAUAUAUGUGACAAGGACAAAAUUGGAUUUAAAAAUUUAUGUUGGAUGUAUAUAAAAAUGAUAUGGUGCAGGGAGAAAUUGCCAACAUGUAAUAUACGUGAAUUUAGGUAAACCAGUCUAAGCUUCGACCUGUAAUACGUUGAGCCCAAAAUAGUACUUUAAAUAUUUAUUGAAGUUUCAGCUUGAAUUUUUAUUUUUUACACCAAAGAAAAAGGUCUUGAGAAGGCCUUAGCAAUAAUUUUGAGUGUUGUAUCACCCAUGUUGCACGCAUAGGAAAUAAUUUUUGUGUAUUUACUCAAGUCACCUUUUGUACAGUAUGAAUGAAUAUAUCUCCUUAAUAUACAAUUGAAAUUGUGGAAAUUAGUAGAGGACUUUGUGUGGAGAUACCUAGCUUUGAGGUUGAAGCAUGGAUCAAUUACUUGACCCCUCUUCUUAUCAUCAAAUGUUCUUAAACCUUGCCUUUGCUUUCAAGCAUUUUUUCAAUACAUGCAAUAUAUUUUCUCUCUCUCUUUCUUCAAGUGAGGAGAUGCGGAGUGCUUUAUUUUCUUAUUUCCCCAUGUUGAAAACUUGAGAUUGUUCCAUCUUCUAUGGCAUCCUUCUCUAUCACUGGCCCCAUAAAAUACAAAACAUUUACCUCGUUUUCCCAACUGUCCUUUUCUACUACCGAUAAUGUUUCCAUUCCUAGAAAGCUAAAUAGAAAAGUUGGUGCACAUGCCAAUUUUCAUCCUUCAUUUCUUAACCAAUCCUCAUGGCUCUCAUGGCAUGGGAGCUUGUAUUCUGAGAAGCAGAGAGGCUUGUCCCUGAUUGCCUUUGAUGCUGAGAGCUCAGAAUCAGAAGGGGAAGAUAAUCAGACCCUGGAAACAGUAAUGAAAUUCUACUCUGCCUUCAAGAACAAAAGAACACACGAAUUAUCUGCAGAUGAACGCCAACGUGUGACCAAUUUCCUCUCAUUCUUCGAAGCCUUCCAAGGAAGAACGGUAUCUUUUCCUCCCUGUUUAGGUGGGCUUAAAUUCCAAUUUUAGGUGGGACAAAAUAAGUGUUUUGAUAAGUAUCAAUUAUUUUCUUCUCAUUUUCAUGUGUUAGUAUACAAAAUGAAACAAAAAUUAGUCCCAUAAAUGUACAAAAGUUAACAAACUGAUUAGUAUACACGUUGACUUAUGAUCCAAUGAGUGUAAAAUUUUCAAGUAGUGAGUAAGUAUAUGAGGUUCAUGCAUUAAAAUGUUCAGUAUAAAAUAACGCUUAACCAUGUUAAAUAUGUAAUUCGUAUUGUAUUGUGGUGACCCUUUUUGUGUUGCAGCAAGUGUUGGAAUUUUUUUCUUAUCUCACAACUGUAUUUGGAAACAACAUUCAAAUUAUAUUGAAACCGACUGCACAUGACGGCAUAAAUGUUGGUCUCCAGUGGAGAUUUGGUAAGCAUACUUGAUCUCUGCUCUCCAUGAAUCACUUGUGUAAGAAAACUGUUCUUAAAAAUUCUAAAUUGCAGAAUGGGACAAGAUACAGCUUCCCCUUUGGAAGGGUUUCAACUUACACAUAAGCCACACUUACCACGGCAAGGCAGUAAUAAGGUUUGUUUAAUCUUGGAUCAUGAACUCAGAUAGGGAAAAACAAGAUACUGAAUUUGCUAAUUACAAACUUUUACAGUUGAUGACAUCAUUUAUGUCUAAUUCAGGAAUAUUGAGAUGUUUAUGAAACCACUGAGCCACUUUAAACCUUUCGGAUUGGUAAGGAACACAAGUUUUUUCACUGCAUAUUAUUGGUUUAUUUAUCUGUCUAAAAAUUAUUGCAAAUAGCCUUAUACCCAGUUGGUUUCCCUUAUGCAGAAAACUAAAGUAGGUAUUGGAGAAUUCAUGGAAAAGAUAGGGUCAUUUAUGGUGUCAGGAUCAAGGAAUAAGGCUAAACGAAUUUUAUCCCUGCUGCUGGCUGUGAUGUCCCUAGCUGCUUUCUUAUUCUUCAUGAAACUAGCUUCAUAGAAAACCGUGUCUUAAACCAUGUCAGGGUCAAUUUUAGUGACAAAAAGCAACAGUUCGGCUUUAACAAGGAAACCUUCUACACAAGAUUUGGAUCUCUUAUAUUCCUUCUUUCAUGUUACAUGAUUACAAAGGCAAACAAUUAUUUGCAUAAAGCUCAUUAAAAACAGUAUCCGGUGACAUAUUUGUUGUUACUAAAACAGCAGUAUGCAUCAAACGAAGUGGCAUAUAAAUUUGUUGCAUAUCGAUUUAAAAAAAAUAAAAAAAUUGAAUGUUCUAUUAUAAUUCGUAUAUAAUAUUUUUUAUUAAUUUUAUUGAUAUUUUAUAUAUUUUUCUUAAAAUUUAGUAAGACAACCUACCUAAUUUACCUACAUGUAGUUAGUUAAAUUGAAUUAAGAUUUUUAUCGCAUGUAAUAAUGUGAAUUAAACUACUCUAUCUUACUUUUAACCCUCAUUGUAACUAAAAAUUCAAUGAACUACACUAAAAAUUCUACAUCCCAAAUGGUUUACAUAUUUAAAUACCUAUAAGUUGUGUUGAUUGUAGAUUGGAGAUGUGAUCUACCAACCCAAAGUUAAAUAUCCUACCCUAAUCAAAUAAUAAUUAAAUAUUACAUAAAAUGAUAUUAAAAAAUGUCACACCUCGAUAAUACUAAAAAUUAAAAAAAAAAUACUUAACAAGCUUUUAGCAUUGGUAUUUUUUUAAAGAAAAAUCAAAGAUAAUAUAAUUUAAAUUUGAGGUUCUAAAAUAAAGAUGAAACGCCAUAAAAGCCAAAGUGUGAGUCUACAUAGAAUCUUGAUGGAGUCAAAGUAAAAAAGGUGAGAGAGACAAAGUUUAAUAUGGGUUUAAAAUUUAAAUUCCAAACCUUAUAAUUUAUCAAACGAGUUUAGUGCGAACCUUUCAAUUUAUAAGGACUUUAGCUCAUCCCCAUUCAUUGACCCAUUUUUGAGAAUUCUAAAUUACUCAUCAUUUUCACAUAUACCGUAUGUGCAUCGUAAUUAGCGUUUUGUUCAUUUAUUUUUAUUUGCUGGACCUGUAAAUUGAGGUCUACGUUACAUUUUUGUACACGUUAAAGACAAAGAGAAGGUUUCCUUGAAUCAUGGUCUUCGUGGAAGCAAGUGCUACUCCCAACCCUUUCACUCUCUUUCAUACCAUAUUUUGUCGUUGAAAGUUCCUCGCUUUCGGAUCACCACAUGACCGUUUCCUUCUCUGUUAUUUUCCCAAAUAAAAAAUUAACAAAAAAACGCUCUCUUUCUCUCUCAUUUACCUUCUUGGCGUCUUUUCUUGCUACCAGAGCGUUUUUACCUUUGUUGGGAUUCUUUGACCCGCUUCUUUCUUUCCUUCGAGACUCUUUUUCUCUUUCGUUUUCUCAGCCCAAGGUAGCCUUUUUUUUUCAUUCUCGUUGUGUAGAAGAUUCCACCAAGUGGGUGUUUUCGGCCAUUCUCUUUGCCUGUGUGUGUGGUGGUGGUCUUUUUCUCGGAGUUGAUGGGUUGUUGAUGUCACUGGCCAUUGUGAAAGACAUGGGUUUUGAUGACAAAGUGAAAGACAAUGAGGGUGCAGGGGAUGAUGAUGUCUCUCGGGUGGACGCAGGAAAAACCGGUGCUGAUCAUGAAGAAAGUGCGGAUGAAGGGGGAGGGACCCUCAGCAGAUACAGGAGUGAGAGUUCCAUUGCUGCUACCGAAGAUGAGGAGGAGGAUGAGGAGAGGAAGAUUGAAUUGGGUCCUCAGUGCACUUUGAAGGAACAACUCGAGAAGGAUAAGGUUGCCUUUGCUUUCUUUCUCUUUUUUUUAUUUAUUUGCCCUUCGGAAAAAUCUCUGAAUUUCUCAACAACUCUCAUUUGUGUGUGUUCUGGUUUCCGUUUGAGAUGGUAUAGGAUGAUGAGAGCUUGAGGAGGUGGAAGGAGCAGCUUCUUGGAAGUGUGGACAUAAAUUCUGUCGGAGGUAAUUGCGUGCAGAAUUGGCUUCCAUUUAUUCAAUUUUUGUCUGUUCAUGAUUCUUAUCGUACACAUGUUGAAAAUCAUAGUCGUAAAACCCAAGAAAUGUGUCAUUCUUCCCAAUUUGAGAGAAGAAAAAACAAUAAAAAAAAUCCGUGUCCUCUUUGGAGACUUGGAUAUCUCAUUUCUUCAUUUCAGUUGUUAACGUUGAAACUGUUGAUGUUUUUAGCACAUUAUAGUUGUUUGGUAAAACAUGUGUUAAUAUCUUGAUAUUGUUGUGUUAUUUUAGUGGUUUAUAUACUUGUAAGUGAUAAAAUUUGAAUUGGGAAUAUACAAAACAUGAUUUCAUUUUGUGAAAUCCAACUAACAAUUGAGUCAGUAUAUGAUUCAAUUCUUCCCUGUCCUGUUACUUGCACUCGUGAAAUCAUUUCCCGGUGGACCUUUUCAUGGCCUAACUUGUUAUAUGUACCGUGAAUAAUUCAGAAAGUCUGGAGCCAAGUGUGAAGAUCCUUAGCCUUGCAAUUAAGGCUGCUGAUAGACCUGACAUUGUUCUUGCAAUACCAGAAGGAGGAAAUCCCAAGGGUUUGUGGUUUACUUUGAAAGAGGGUAGUCGUUACAGCCUGAUGUUCACUUUCCAGGUCGAGAAUAACAUCGUUUCAGGUCUCAAAUACACCAACACUGUGUGGAAAACUGGUAUGAAAGGUAAGUGCUAAGUAAAACUGACUCCCAAUCAAAUUUUGUCCAUAAGCUCAUCUCAUUGGUAAGCCUUGUACAGUUGACAGCACUAAAGAAAUGAUUGGAACCUUCAGUCCCCAAGCAGAGCCUUACACACAUGAGAUGCCCGAAGAGACAACACCAUCUGGGAUGUUUGCUAGAGGAGCAUAUUCAGCAAGAAGUAAGGUAAUGUUAACAUAUCAUGAUGUGCUUCCUUAACAUUUCUGACACCCUUUUGACAUAUUUUCUGCUGUUAACUGAAAUUUAUUGAAAUCACAAAUUUUUAUGGGUAUUAUUUCUUAAUUAACAAGUCUCUGACUUGUUUUUAUAGUGGUGGAUGAAUUUUAAGUGUCUUAAAUGAGUAUGAUUAACACUCCUCGUAGGCUAAGGUAAAAACACCGAUAGCUUUUGUGCAUUUACUAUCCCCAUGCAUUUUUAAAGCAACUUUAUCAAUGAAUGGUCUGCUACUUUCACAAGUUUGGCUAGAAGUUACUGCGUUACUGUAUAUGGGUUAAAAAGAAGAGUUAAGUCUAAGCUAUACUCUUUCUCCUUCCUUAUUGCUAUUAUGACAUUAUUUUGGACAUCAAGUGUGGAUCAAUAAAUGCUUAGUUUGGAUAUAUCAGCCUACCAAUAAAUGUUCUAAUAAAUUUGAUGCCAGACUUCAUGUGCUUACCUUCAACCACUCACUUAAAUGUCAAAUAGAAACUUGUGUUGUGAUGAAGUCUAAUGUAAAGUAAUUGACUUCCUACUUUGUUUAUCGUUUUUUCAGUUUGUUGAUGAUGACAACAAGUGCUACUUAGAGAUUAACUACACUUUUGAUAUCCGAAAGGAAUGGCAGUAGGAGUAAGGACUUGUCCUUGAGUGACAUGUUCAAUCCUAAAUCAUUGUUAUUUGUGCUGAAAUCUCUUUCAGUGUUUACCUGCUUAUUAUUCAUUGUUUAAUUAUUUCUAAUCCUGCCCGAGGCUGGUAAUUUGAACAAUGAUGAGAGGAUUUGGGAGAUGAAAUUGGUAUUCAUUUUGAUAGAUAGGUUUGUCAAUAAAAAUAUGCUCCUUGUUUCUUCCCAGGGUACCAAUGUAAGUAAUAAAUACAUACAUAUGGUUUUGGAUUCUAAUUUUAUCUCCACAUCUUAUGAUAUGAUUCUUUAACAAGAAUAAAUCACUAGCUAUUUUAUGUUAUAUCAAAAAUUAUUAAGCAUUUUUCAAAUAAAUCAAUUUUUUUAUCAUUUUUUCUUUUGUGUGGAGAAAAGAUAAAAUUGUAAGGCAGGCCAUCUUUUCGUCUUUUUUGGCAAUUUCUUCCUGCACUCCUACAUUUUUCAAAAAUACUGACUCUUUACAGUUUUAGGUAUUUCGGAAUAGUGAUUCCUUAAGUAAAUGGCAUUUCCGGAAUUAAAAAUUUGGAAGACAAAAAAAACAUUUCAAAACACCUUGUUUUUAACACAUUUUUUUUUGGGUUUAGAGAAAUGUUCCGGAAAUAUUUAAAAAAAAUAAUCUGAAAGUUAUUUUUUAAAGGGGCAAAAUAGUCUUCUUUGAAAAUGAUGGGUGCAGGAAGAAGUAGCCGUCUUCUUUUUUUUCGUUUCUUUGGCAGUGUAUCGUUUUUGUUUUUAUUUAUCAACCGAAUUAUUUUUUACAAUAAAGACAUCGCGUUUGAGAGACGAUUAUUUUAUAAAGAAAAUCGUGUUACAAUAAAUAACUUUUUAUAUUUUUUUUGCAAAUAAAAAUGUUAUAUAUAAUUAUUAAACCUUUUUUUAUUGUUUUUUAAUUCUUUCCAUGUGGCUCACAACUUCCUUUUCCUUCUAACCAUUUCCCAUUUGAUCCCUCUUCAAGACAUUUGGGCAUUUUUCUCACUCCAUCAUUUUAUCCUCGUGAAAAUAUUUUAGCUAUUGUCUUGUUUGAUAUGCUUAAAUUUUGGUCGUGUUUAGCUUAACUUUAUGGAUCAAAACUUGUGUUUGGAAAAAUUCAGAAAUCUAGAAUAAUUGCUGAGUUAUUUUGCGGACAUGGAUUAUUAAAGCGUCCAAAUUAGUUUUCCAGAAGGAUCCACCAACUUGAAAGUCAUAGAUUAUCAAUAUGUCAGUGUGUAUUAUUAUUAUUAUUAGACGUGAUUUGACAGUAAAAUGUACAUUUACUUACUCAACAGUUAAUUAGUUAGAGGAUAUGAAGACAUUACUUAAUUAAAACACACGACAUUUUCCGUCCAUCACUUAAUUUGGACAUACAUCUGAUAUUUAUAUCACUUCUUUUAUGUAUAACAAAAAAAAAAAAUAUGACUUAAUGUAAUAAGAAAAAUGAUAGUUUGACAAAUUCUAAUUGAUAAGUUUAAAAAUAAAUAUAUAUAUAUAUAUAUAUAAUAAAGUAUAAAUUUAUAAUUAAUAAUAUAAAAAUAUAUUAGAAUAAUAAUAUUAAAAAUUGUAAUGUGAUGAUAUAAAAAAUUAAAAUUUUCAAAAUAUCAUUAUAUAUGUAAUAAUCUGCCUAUCGUUAUGUAGGAGAAAUAGUUUCAUCCGUAAAAAUAAACACAUCAACACGCUGCUCAAUAAAUGUGAAAGAAAACAAUAAAAAAGUCAAAGAGCAUGACGUGAAACGAACCUAAUUAAAUUUUAUAUCAUUGUUAUUAACAUAUAUUUAAAUAUAAUUUCUCUUAUAAUUCGCAAUCAAUUUUUUAUCGUGUUAUUUAGUAUAAUCUUAAAUAUGAUUUUAGUCUCUAUAAAAUUAAUAAAUUUUGAUUUCAAUUCCUAUAUUUUUUUAGUUUUUCAUUCCUAUAAAAUUUUAAACUAAAAUUUUAUAUUUUUAUUAAAUAUGUGAAUUUUAGUUUUAUUUUUGCAAAAUCUUUGUUUUAUUCUUUUAAAAAAAUUGUUUUUAAUUGUUAACAUUUAUUUCAAGAGAUAUAAACAAUAUUUAUUUUACAAAUUUUUUUAAAUAAUACAUUUCAAUAUUAUAUUGUGUAUCCUACAUUCAAAUAUUUGUACAUUUAAUUUUUUAACACAUAAAAUAAUUAAUUAGCAUAUGUAAUCCAAUAAAAUAAAGAUGGCAAUUUUCAAUUUGUGAGGAAUAAAAAAAUUAUGGAAACAAAAAUUAAAAAGUUGCUCAUUUUGAUACAAGUCUUUGUUAUAUGUGUUUUUUUUAAAUGUAAAUCGGUAAUUUUUCUUCACCUUUUUAAUUGAAAAUUCAUAAGAAAUAUAUUCAAUUUGGCCUGGAAUUACAAAAAUGAAAGUUUAAACAAUUUAAAACCCAUUUGACAUCAAAUGAGGUAGAAAAAAUAGAUUGAAAAAAAUAUAAAAAUUAAUUAAGUAUUUUGAAAAGCAUAAACCAUAAAAUAUUGAUCUUAUCAUUAUUGUUAGAAUUUGAUGAUUUUUUUAUCCUUUCUCAACCUUAAUAUUAUUAUUUAGUUGUCUUUUUCUUCUUUUUUUUAAUAAUUCAUCAUUUUGAUAUUCUUUUUGUUAUUCACAUUCACAUAUUAUUGAUAUUUUGAUGAUUACGAUUAUUCUUGUAAAAUGUCUCAUUUUUUGAUAUUUUUUAUAUAAAAUUCAUAUUAGAAAUUACUAUGAAUUUUAACAUUUCAUCUAGACAACACUCCAAAAUUCACCAAUCAUAUACAUGAAACAUAUUAUUAAAACAAAAAUAAAAUAUUACAAUAUCAUGGAAGAACUAUACCAAACUCACCAAACUCAUGUAAAUAAAAUACAAAGCAAAACUCUCGACCAAAUGAAACAUAGGAAAUUGAAACUUCCUAUAAAAGAAGUCCAAUCUAAUGACACAAGGCAAAAACAUCAUACCACUUAAAAUCUAACUUUUUUUCAAUAUCAUGUGAGGUGAACUUAUUAAUACAAUAGUUACCUAAAUGAAAGACAUAAGAGACAAUUUAAGUUAAUCUGGUGAUAAGUCUUCAUACAUUUUCUCCAUCUUCCCCACAAAGUACAAGGAACAAUAUAAGUGAGAUAAAAGUUUGGCAAAGCAAAUAAUAAUCACACUCAAUCCAAUGAAGAAAGCUUAAUAGCCAAGUUAGCUAACAUGACUUCAACAUAUAAAGACGUUUGUAUCCCCACAAAAGAUGAGAUUUUGUCAAUGUACUUACCCUUGCUUCCUCUAAAAAUGUCAACGCAAGUAGAAAUAUCAGGGUAACCUCUAGCAACACCAUUAUUGUUAACUUUAACUCAUCCAACUACUGAAAACGACUAGAUAACAAAAUUAGGGAAAGUCCCAUUUCGAGGUCUCAUGUUGAUAUCAAACAACUUCAAACUCCACUAGCAAUUUUUCUAUCUUUUUUACUUGAUCAACGACUCUUUGAAACAAUCAAAUGAAUGACAUUAUUCAACAAAUCAACAUAAAAAAGAGUUGGAUAUCAUUUUUGUGAACAUUACCUAUUUGUGGUCAUGUUUACAUACAAAUAGAAUAUGUCAAGAGAGUUAAUGGAUACACGGUCAAUCCACUUCAAGAGGCCUUUCCUAGUUCUAAUCAAUUUCUUCGAGUUCAAAGGUUAUAAGUUAUGAUUAGAAUUAGAAAUUGAAAGCAUGAUCAAGGAACUUGUGUGUAGAAGGAAUCAUGGUUAAAUUAAGGAGAGCUUGAUCUUUGAGGGUUUGUUUAUUUUUGUUGAGUUUGCUUCUUAAUAGCAAUACUUUUUACUUUUUCGUCAUGUUUUUUUUUUGUUUUUUUUUCAAGUCAACUACAAGAUUUUUUUAGACAACUCCAAAUUAAAUCCUAAAUUUCCUGUGGAAAAAAAAAGUCAAUACAUAUAUAAACAAUUCGCUGUAUUUUAAGCAUUUAGUUUUAAUCUGUGCAUAAACAAUUCGUGUAUAAACUAAUUUUAUUUUAUCAGUAAUUUUUUUAAAAUAUUAUGAAAGGUUGAAAGUGUGGGCAGAGGUAAGAAUAUAGAUAUUAAAAGUGAUCUACUAGUGUAAAAUGAAGAGAAAAAAUAAAGUAACUGAUUGAUCAGUUGAUAGGAAAGAAAGAAAUAAUAGAUUGAAAAUAAGUGUGACUUAGUCAAACUAAAGUGUUGAUUUUAAUAAAAUAUAAAGAAUAAGAAAGAGAGAUAAAUAGAUUAAUUAAAUAAAUAAAUAAGAAUAAUUAAUUACUUGAAUAGUUUCUAUCUUUUUCUUUUCUUUUGUAAUUUGUUUUUUUAUUAAAUACACUCACUUUUUUUCCUUUUCACAUGUUUCCCAUUCACCAAAUAAAAAUAUGACAAUAAAAAGAAAAUAGACGAAGCAGAAGCAUGUUAAAGAAUAUUCAUCGUCCACGUGAUACACGAGAUCUAACUUUUCUACUUAUUUAACUUCUCAUUUUUGCUAUAUUUUAUUUUAUUGCGUAAUAUACAUAUAUUAUAAUGGUUCAACCUGUUAAAAAAAUGUAUACAAGCAAUACAUGUAUGAUAACAAUCAUUAACUACGGUAAACAAAGGUUGUUCCGAGGUGGUAUUGUUUUUACCUGCGAAAGGCUUGGUUGUCUGGUGUUCGCCGUAGAGUGUAUAUAUAUAUAUUGUAUCGGUCCACAAUCUUAUUUUUUUUAUUUAAAAUUUUAAUUUUUUAAUGAAAUGACGAGGUUUUUUUUUAUAUAUCAUUAAUUACAGAUUUUAUAUUAGAGCUGUGAAUGUAUAAUGUAUGAUUGGUGUAUAUAUAUAGACAUUGGUGUUUGUGGUUAUCUGUGUGAGAGAGAGUGUGUGUGGAGGAGGAAUUGAGGAACAGAGAUGGAGGGAGAGCUUAAGAAUUUGAUGAUGGUAUGGAGCAUAGCUGCAGCAACAAUGUGUUACUGCAACAGAAUUGGGAAACUUAUCCCAAAAGGUGUAUCCAGACUUAUAGCCAUUAUCCCUGCCAUAGUGCUCCUUCUUCUCCUCCCUCUCAGACUCAUCUCCAUUCACUUUGGAGGACCCUCUUCUUUCUUCCUUGGUUGGCUUUCAACCUUCAAGCUCCUCCUUUUUGCCUUUGGCAAGGGCCCCUUGUCCCCCAACCCUCCCCUCUCUCUCCCUCACUUCGUCUCCAUCGGAUGCCUCCCCGUCAAAUUCCAACAAUCCACCACCCCUUCAAAAACCCAAAUCUCCAAAUCCCUCUUCAAUUACGCUUCAACAUCAAUCAUCGUCAUAUUCGCCCUCUUCAUUCCCUUCUACGGCAUAAAACAAUAUCUUCACCCCAAAUUCCUUCUCUUCUUGUACGGCCUCCACAUGUACAUAGGCUUGGAGUUCAUUCUCAGCACCAUCUCCACCACCACUCGGAAACUCCUCGGCGUUCACCUGGAACCGCAGUUCGACAAGCCCUACCUCUGCACUUCGCUGCAAGACUUCUGGGGGAAGCGCUGGAACAUCAUGGUCAACCGUGUCCUGCACCCUACCGUAUACGAUCCCGUCGUCACUCUCGCCCGUCCUCUCAUCGGCCGAAAGUGGGCCCCACUCCCCGCCAUCCUCGCUACUUUCGCCGUGUCCGGUCUGAUGCACGAGCUUGUCUUUUACUACAUCAAGCGAGAGACGCGCACAUGGGAGGCUUGGGAGCCCUCGUGGGACGCCACGUGUUUCUUUCUCAUCCAUGGACUGUGCGUGGCUGCGGAGGUUGCACUGAAAAAGGGUCUGAAAGGGAAGAAAUGGCAGUUCCCGAGGGUGGCGUCGUGGCUGCUAUCGUUGGUUUUUGUGCUUUACACAGCCGUUCUGCUGUUUCUACCUGCGCUGGUGCGAUGCCAUGUUUACGAGAAAGCAACCAGAGAGUUGACCGCGUUGACCCAGUUUGUGUACGGCGUUUCCAGGCUCUCCCGUUUCGCUAACGUCACCACCGAGACGUAAAAGCAACUAUACCACGAAAGUUCAUUCUUAGAAAUAAAUUAAAUAAGGAUCGUAAUAUAUUCAUUAAUACCACAAAUUUUACAGUUCAUGUUUACCUGGAUAAAACGACAAAUAUCUCUCUCGUUCUUUUUAGAUUCUCGCAUCGUUACGUAAGCACCUCCUAUUAGUUUUAAUUUUAAUUGUUUAUUCAAAAUUUUAGUUAGAACUAAUAUUUGAAUUACUACUGUUCAAACAACGAUAAAAGACACUAGUUUUGAAUAGAAUGUUGAAAUAGGUUGAGUGAGGGGAUGAAAAUCAAAAUCCGCUGUACAGUGGCUGCGGUGUUUGAUUCAUUCAACUCAUAGGUAGGUGUCUUUCUACCCAUAUGGCCAACGUAUACCUAAUACAUGAAAAGUAUAACAAUUUUUCAAAAUUAAAAUUAUUAUACUAUUUAUUUAUUUUGGUUGAAAACAAUCCGAUACAAUAAACAACAUUUUAAUUUUUUUACUGUAUUAGGAUAUGAAUUAAAAAUAAGCGUACAAAAAUCCACUGUUUUUAAAACAUCUGGAAUCAAUUUCUCCAUCUAAAAAUGUAUAUUUAUUAUACUACAUCAUCACUAAAUCAUUUACACUCAGUUUUGUCUCGAUAUGGAAUAUUUUUUAAUAAAUUUCAAACAAUUCAAAAUUUUAUACAUUUUAAUAUAACCUUGAUUAUUAUAUAUAAUAAAAAUUAUUUUGAUGAACAAAAUAAUAAUUUUCAUUCUUAAAAUUGGGAAUCUCUCAUUAAUUAAUAGGAGACCAUGGUCAAUGAAUCUUGAUAAUUAAUCAGUAUAUUUAAUGAUGAAUAUUCCAAUGUCUUGGAAUUUUAUUUCUCUUAAAAGACUAUGAAGUUUAGCCUAGAAAGUUCAAGAUAGUAUUUUAAUGUAGCUUGAAAAUGUGACAAACAUUAAUUAUUCAUUUUCUCUUUAUGAAGAAGUCUUGUUCUCAUUCUCUAUAUUAAAAAAAAACUUGUGAGGAAUAAAUAUAAGCAAGAAGAACAACAUAAAAAAAAUGAGAAAAAGAUAUUCACCGUAAUGAAAUUAGAAAUCCUAGGAAGAAACAAACAUGAGUUUUUAUCUUUCAAGUCAAUAAAGUUUUUCCAAAGUUAAAAAUUUUCAGUAUUAUUAUUCUAUUUUGUUAUAUUUUCUUUUAUCUAUUUCUGCAAGUGCUCAUUUUGUAUUUACACGAGUAAGAAUUAAUUAUGAUUUUUUCAACCUUCUGAAACUAGUUAAAUAAGAGAUUAUUUCAAAUAAUGAUUUAUUACAUGAUAAAUAUGAUGUUAUAUAAUAUUUUAAAUUUAUAUUUUAAAUUUUCAGUUGUAACUAUUUUAUCAUUCAUAAGUCAUUAGUUCUAACUGUUAUAACUACUCUAUAAAUUAUAAAAUACUCUUAAAUUUAUAAUUUUAUCCUAAAAAAUAUACUUUUUUAUAAUUUUGAAUAAAUAUCUUAGUUGGUCUUCGAAAAAUGAGUCUGUAGUAAUAAAACUUUAAUGUAAAGUAGUCCUUGAAAAAUUGAAGUUAUUAUCACACAAAAUAUAUAAUAAAAAAUUUAAACACCCUCGUUCUAGCAUUCCAAUCCUUUCCACCCAUUUCUUUAACAAUUUUAAAAGUAAAAGAAAAACUCAUUUGAUGUAUUUAUUUUUAACUUUUUUACUUUUAAAAUAAAAAAUAAAAUAAAAUGUCAAUUUGUUCUCAAUUGAAUUUACCUUUUCAUAAAAUUCUUAAUAACUACAUUUACAACUCGACGAUAAAAAACGAGCCUACACCAUGUUGUUAAAAUUCAUUCAUUCCAGUAUUAUGGAUAAAGGAAAGUAUAUUAAAACUCAAUGAGAUGAAGAUCAACAUCACAUAAAAAAAAAAUCUUACUGCCAGGGGACAAAAAUUAGGUAUAUUCCCACAUUUUCUUACCAUCGUUUCACUACAAAAAAAAGUCAGUAUUAUCUACGGAUUUUUACUCACGGAUCUGAAUUUGUAGGUAAAUUCAUCAUUACCUACGAACAACAUUACCUACGGACAUUACCCACAGAUUCUGAAUCCGUAGGUAAAUUCAGCAUUACCUACCAACUAUUACCCACGGAUCUUAUUACCUACCAACUUUUACCUAUGGAUAUCUAUUACCUACCAAUUAUUACCACAAAUUUCUAUUACCUACGAACUAUCACCUACGGAUCUCUAUUACCUAUCAACUAUUAUCAUAAUAAUUAUAUACAUAAUAUUAAAUAUAUUAAUAUCAUAUGAAGAAUUAUAAAAUCAUAAUCAAUAUUCAUAAAUAAUAAUAACCAUAACUAAUUUUUGAAUAUUAUUAAUAUUAUAAAAUUAAUAUAAUUACUAUUAUAUUAAUAAUAUUAAUAAUAUUAAUAAUAUUAAUAAUAUUAAUAAUAUUAAUAACAUUUAAUAAUAAUAAUAUAAUAAUAUUUAAUAAUUAUAAUAAUAUUUAAUAAUUAUAAGAAUAUUUAAUAAUAUAUAAGAAUAUUAAUAAUAUUUAACAAUAUUAUAAUAUUAAUAAUAUUUAAUAAUAUUAAAUAUAUGAAGAAUGUUAUUAAUUUUUAUUUUAUUAGUUAUAUUAAUAUUGAUAAUCAUAAUCAUAAAUAUAAUAAUAAUCAUAAUAUGACAACAAAACUUGACUGGUGUAAUGGUUAUAAUAAUUGUCAAUAAUAAUUGAUAAUAAAAAAAAUAUUCAAAUAAUAAUUAAAAUUUUACAAUUAAAGUAUAUUAACAUUACUUACGGAUUAGAGUAUGUGGGUAUUACUUACGAUUUUGUCUGUUAUCUACAAUCCGUAGAUAAAUGCGAUUUUUCUUGUGUGUUUCGUUUUUAUGACAUUGUGCUUAAAUUUUAUAACAUUUUUAUUAAGAGAAUGUUAAUAGAAAUAAAAUUAAAAAUAAAUAAUAACAAAUAAAGUUAUUUCAAUUUUCACUUAUUCUCUCUUUUACCUAUCCAAAUAAUCUCAUUUUUUAACUUGUUUAUUUUCAUUUCUUUCAUUUUUAAAGUUCUUAAUAUGAAGGAUUAACAUUAACAGUUGAUCAUGAAAUAUUAAAUUGGAUACAUUAAGAGUUGACUAAUUUAUCUUUCUAAGAUCAUGUUAAUUCCUAUUCUCUCUAGUUCAUAGACAUCGAUAUUCUUUAUCUUAUCGUAAUUUCCGUCUUUCCUAUAGUUUAAUAAAGUACACUUAUCUUAUUAUCUUUUUUUAAAACAUUAUAUUAACUAAAACUUAAAUAAAAAGUUUAAAAAUGAAAAAUUAAAGUUUAAAAAUAUAAACAUAUUUUUAAAAAAAUACAAAACUGAAUUGUUAAAUUGUUAUAUUUUAAAAGCAUCAUACACAUUGUCGUUAAAUUAUAAAUGAUCUUAUCAAAAUGUAAAAUGUUAUAUAUUAUCAUAUAAAACUAAAUUGAUAUUAUAAAAUGUAUAAUUAAAUCUACAUAUUUUUAAUAGAAGCAUAAAUAUAAAUAAAUUAAGUACUAUGAUUUUUUUUUAUUAAUAGCAUAAAAAUAUCUCUUAUAAAAUAAAAGUGUGAUUUUUUUUUAUCUAACAAGGAUUUUCCCAGUUUAUCAGCUUCGAUGUUUUCAAUAUUCUGAUUUUGUAAAAGGUAACAAUCGAACCCUAAUUCGUCACAACAUAUGAAUAUUAUUUAAGAAAAGUUUAAGAGAUAUUAAAUUCAAUGAUAAAAUAUUCAAGUUUUAAUGAAAAAGGUUUUUAUUUUUAUAUUUUAAAAGUUUUAGUUUAGUUUUCGUACGUAAUGCUAAUGUGUCAUUCUGUUAGAAAUAUAAAGAGAUGUUUAUUUUAAAAGUAGAAGAGGUGUGAAUGUGAUUGCAGAAAAGGUAAGUGGAAUAUAGAAGAUAGUUGUAAAUAUAAAUGGUUUUUAAACAUGCAUACAAAAAAAAUGAAGAGCAUAAGUCAAAUAAUUAUUGUCCGUGGAUUUCGGUUGUUUGCAUAAGGGUUGUUUGUCUCUAGGAGUGGUACUGUUGUUGUCGACGGCACAACACCACCCCAUUUAGAUCCAUGUAUUGUUGCAUGAGAGGGUGGAAGGAAAGAGAAAGGGGAGUGAAUUUCGGUUCUUCCCAAAGAUGAAGAGAAAGUUGAGUUGAGGAGAGCGAGUGCCACGUCAUUCAUAGUAAGUUACUUAGGUGCCCUUGCUUUUGUGCUGAACAGUGCCCCUGCAUGCAUGCCACAUGAAAGCAUCAGAUUCCUGACUUGGCUUAGGAAUCGUUUGACCGUGUGAAAGAGUGUGAAAGGAGAGUGAAUGCAGUGGAUGAGGUAGGUGGGUGUGGAAUGAAGCUGACUAUAUAAAACGAAGCAUGAAGGUGCUUCCUCCAUUCACAGAAAAGCAAAGAAAGCGAAGCCAUUAGAGUGUGUAGUGUAGUGUGGUUGGAGAGAUUCGUAAGCCGUCAUAGUUUGUGGUAGGGGCUUGAGUUACGUAUAGCUUGUUCAUCUCACGUCAUGGGUUCAUCUCUGUGGUUCAUCUGUGGGUUCCUCUGAGGUCAGACCAUGUCUUUGAAGGAUGCAUAAUCGAUUAUGGUUGAAUUAGAACUGGUAACAUAAUCGAUUAUGGUGAAGAUAAUCGAUUAAGUAAAGCUAGUAAUCGAUUAUCUGUAAAAAUUUCAACCCAUAAUCGAUUAUGUGAAGUGUGAAAAAAGGGUGAUAAUCGAUUAUGCUUGUUUUUUGCCUACUAACAUAAUCGAUUAUCCAUGGAUAAUUGAUUAUCCUAUGUAUAUAACUGAAGGGAUAAUCGAUUAUGUUCUAAAUUUUGUGAAAUUUGUUUCUUAAUUUGUUUUAUGUGAUUUUCAGGCACUCGUGAUGGUGUGUUCUUCAUCCUAUCAGUGAUCCUAUGCGGUUCUUGCUUAUCUUCAGGUUUUUAAAUUUUUUAUGUAAGUUUUUUAUUUAUUUCUGUUUUAUAUUUUUGUUUGGAUGAUUAUGGUUUUGUAAUAUAAUUUGUUUAGAAUUUAUUUUAGUUAAUUAUGUUAAGGAGUUAGUAAAUUAAUGUUGGUUGUAAUAUAAUUUGUUUAGACUUUAGUUUAGUUAAUUAUGUUAAGGAGUUAGUAAAUUAAUUCCUUUAUUUGAUUUAUUGUUUUAAUUUUUGUAUAUAGUUAUAAUUUUAUAAGAUUUAAGAAAAAUAUUUAUUUGUAUGAAAUGAAUGAUUUACGGAAUGAAAUUUUUUUUUUGUAAAGUUUAGGUUUUUGAUUAUAGUAAACAUAAAUUAUUAAUGUUAUAAUUAAAUCAAAUAAAAAAAUGUUGUAUGAAUAAAUUAAGUACUAUGAUUUUUUUUAUUAAUAGCAUAAAAAUAUCUCUUAUAAAAUAAAAGUGUGAUUUUUUUUUAUCUAACAAGAAUUUUCCCAGUUUAUCAGCUUCGAUGUUUUCAAUAUUGUGAUUUUGUAAAAGGUAACAAUCGAACCCUGAUUCGUCACAACAUAUGAAUAUUAUUUAAGAAAAGUUUAAGAGAUAUUAAAUUCAAUGAUAAAAUAUUCAAGUUUUAAUGAAAAAGGUUUUUAUUUUUAUAUUUUAAAAGUUUUAUUUUUAGUUUUCGUACGUAAUGCUAAUGUGUCAUUCUGUUAGAAAUAUAAAGAGAUGUUUAUUUUAAAAGUAGAAGAGGUGUGAAUGUGAUUGCAGAAAAGGUAAGUGGAACAUAGAGGAUAGUUGUACAUAUAAAUGGUUUUUAAACAUGCAUUAAAAAAAAAAAAGCAUAAGUCAAAUAAUUAUUGUCCGUGGAUUUCGGUUGUUUGCAUAAAGGAGGAUAGUGAUGAGAUGGAUGGUUGUGCAAACCAAGAGAACCAUGAGCUGCCAGAUUCAUAUGAGUAAAUGCUGUGCUUAAUUGCAAGGUCAGCCAUGCAAUUUAAUGCUUCCACACUCCCGAUGCCCACCUACGUCUGUUCAAUUUUUAUAUAAGGUGGAAAGCUAAUAUACACUACUCAGAACACAUCUUGUGAAUGCAAAAAUAUAUGGUUCAGGUUCACAUGGAGACGAAGAAGCUCAGAGUAAUAGUCCAGGUUCAAGUGGUGUUGCUGAUUAUGACGAUGGUGGCUUCACCUAUCAUGAGUUGUCCACCCACAGAUGGGAAGAGUUGCAAAGACUGCCUCGUAAACCAGAUGAAAAACGUCUGUCCAUCCUGCACGCCAAUCCUACACUGCAUGGCUCGCUGCUUGUGGGAUGGCAGUUCAAGGCCCAAUUGCAUCAACAAAUGCAACAUCAACGACGCUUAUCCAGCACUCUCAGACUGCAAGAGAUGCAUGUCCAAGUGCAAGUGCAGCUGUUCAACCUAGCACACCUCCCCCACCCAAAUUAUCACACUAUCUAUCAUCUAAGUUACUCGUUUUGGUUCCUUAACUGUGUUUUUUAAUGUGUAAGUUAAUCUAAUAAUCCAUGUAUCUAGCACUUGUUCUGAAUUUGUCGUCAUCAGUUCACUCUGGUAGGUUAAAACUCAUCUGCUUCAAUUAUCUAAUUUAAAAAAAAGUUUAGCCAAGACAGGGUCUUGAUUCUCAUGAGAGCUCACUAGGAUAACAAACUUUACUGUUCUUCUAGAAUUAUUAUUAUCUGUUUACAAGAUCCUCACGAUCGUGGAAUUCAAACCAGUAAAGUUAGUUCAUUGUAGUUACUUGGUAGGAAUUCAACUGAUUUAGUGCAUGUUUUGAGAUAAGUUCCAAACACAUCAAAUCUAAUUUUACCUAAAAAGACACAUUUGGAUUCCAUCUACCAACAUUCUUUAGUUACCCCCAUCACAAAGAUUCCCAGAGACACGUUUAACUAUCUUAGUUCGUUAUUUUAAUGCAAAAAGAGUUCAAGUAAAUCGAGUCCAAACUCACUGGAAUCAAGACAUUUACAACCCAAAGAGUGCAUGUAAAGAUACUUAGGUCUCAAAUCAGCAAUAGAAUUUGAUUUCUCACGAGAUAUGAAACAGAUUCUUACCAUUUACACCAAGCAAUUUACUUGGCAUUGUCUUAAUUCCUUCAGACCAUGUUAAUUUCAUGCUCUGUAUUUCCUAUAUUCUAUAUCCAAAAGUACCAAGUUUUUAAGGUAGGUAUUGGGUAAUAUUAUGCUUUAAAACAAGAGAUUAUGUUAUAUUAUACAAUUUUACAACACAUAUAUAACACACAGAGAGUGCGUAUGUGUACAUACAUAACUAAAAGGGGUGAAUCAAGGUUCACGGAGAAACCUUUGUAGGCAGCGAAAGCCGAGAUUUUGAGCGCAAAACCGUUCCAUUUCAUCACCGCCUCUUUCGCGACAAAUACUUUCUUCCAUGUCGGCCAAGACUUCGUCCCAAUUCUUCAUGGACCACCAACUGGACUCAUCAAUCUGGCUCUCCGAUACAGAGUCCAGUAUCUCCUGGAGGCCCACGAUCCGACGGGUGACUUUCCUCCGCGCAUCCCUGACCGUCGGAUCAAUUCCGGGCACGGAGUCCAGCUUUAGCAGCAGGGCCAUGAGCGCCUCGUUCAUUUUGAGCUUCUCCAGGUGGUUGGCGCGCACGGCGUCCACCGUGUCCUGUCGCUGGAUCAGGCGCUGCAUCCGGUCGGCUUCGGAGUCGACCGCGGCUAUUUUCCGGUAUAGGGCUCGGAUGCGGUGGGCGCGGUAGGCGGAUUGGAUGGUGGCUGCGGCGGCGGAGGGGGAGGGGGAUGGUUGAGGACUGGAAUUGGCGGGUGGUGGUGGAGUGUGGUCAUAGCGGUAGGUGUAGGUGAGUGUGGUUGAAGCUGAGUAGGAGGAGAAGGAAUUUGAUUUGGAAGAGGGUUUCAUGGGAAAAGGGAGGAUUUCACAGUGGCGCAUUCAACACAGUGAGUAAGAAAAGGAAUGGAAAAUAAGGAAAAAUUAAAUCAAGUUUAAUGGUGUUGGCGCCUACCUUUUCUUGAUGCAUGACCCCACUUGCUUUUCUCCUUCCUUCACCUCUUUCUUCACGUUCACCAUUCAAAUCUUCAAAUCAUUAUUUUCUGACUAAAUAAAUAAAAUAAGAUUCACUCAAAAGCUACACUUAAAUUUUAUAAUAAAGAAUUUUAAUUUAAUUUUUUCAUAUUUGAAACAAUUAUGUUGAAUUUUGUUAUAUAAUGAAACUAUAGACAAAGGUUAACAAAAAUAAUUUGUUCGAAAUCACUUAAUAUUAUUUUGGUACGGUAAGAACAAUAUUUUUCUUUUGAUAUAAUUAUUUUUUAUAUCAUGUUGUAGAGGUGAUAAGUAUCUGCAAUGUUUAAGUAGACAUUAAUAAAAUUAGGAAUGAAUUUUUAAAAACAAGCAAAUUAUGUAAUAAUGUUUUUUAAAGAUGUAAGGAUAGUGUUAGGAAUUGAAAUAUGAAUUUUGAGUUGAAAGUAGUAUUAGAAUAUUUUAGAUGAGUGUUUUUAAUGGCUUAUUGGUGAUGAAUGUCUUCUGCUCUUAUCAAUUAUAAACAAUUAUGAAUUUAUUAGUUAUUUUGAGUAAUUUUAUGAGAUGUUGUGUUAUUUUGACCAUAAAAAUUGCGGAUUGUGUGGAGGAACCUAUGGUGUGUAGUGUGGGAGCAUGAUAUGAUUUUAGAAUGGAUUAUGGUCCGGUGUGAAUACUAUUCUCGAAUUGCUUGUGAAGGUUCAAUUCACACCGUAGUUGCUAGCAGUGAGAUGAAUCUCCGAUGUUGUUAGCAUUUGUCGCCUACCUUGUCAAUAAAAAUUCUAACAAUAUUUAUAUUUAUUUCGCUUUAGUGUUUCUCCUUUUCCAUUCUGUUUUAAUUAGAAUAAAAUUAAUGACAAAAUUUAAGGUAUAUAAUAAAGAACCAAAAAUAUUUACAUUUUGAUGUUUUUACUUUUUAAUACAUUAAGACUUUUAAUACUCAAUGCGUCUAAAGGCAGAAUCAUUAUAACAUAAUAAUUAACUAAAUUAACACUUUAACCUUUUUAUUAAUGUAUUACAACUUAACUGGCCUUAUAAAGCAACUAUCACUGAUGUACAUAUCCUUCAAAUCUAUUCGCAUGUAGAUUUCUUAUCUGCAUCAUACUCUUAAAAGAACUAGCGAAAACUUAAAAAACAAUUAAUUAUAAUUUUAAGAAAAAAGGAAACACUAGUUAUUUCAUUUUUUCAAUCGUCGCAUUUUUUAUUUUGUAUUUCUAAUUAACUGGAGUUUUCAAAAUGCAAAAAAUAUUAAUUAUUAUUUUAUCAUUUGUACCCUUCCUCCUCACUUAAUCUACAAUUUAAAAAAUGAAAAGAAAAAAAAAAAUCUCGUAAAUACUUUUAUUAAAUUAAAAAAUUAUUACAUGUCUUAAUUUAUCUAACAAACCUUGAACAACAGUUAUUGCUCAUCAUUACCCAUUCUCAUUGUUAUUUUUAGUGAAUGUGUGGAAAUGAGGUGCUAAGUUGGUACGCAUAUAAAAAAAAAUCAGGCAAACAUACUUUCAUUAUGUGGCGCUUACAUUACAAACAUAAAGGAAAAUAAGUACGGUGGAAAGUACCAGUGUUGCUGAUUGUACAACACCUUCCACAACUGGAAAACACUGGAAUGAACAACAGUGCCCUCAGGGAGCUGCGGGAACAAUCUUGCCAGAGCAGGUACCAAACCCAAUAGUGUAAUCUCUUCCCUGCAGAGAAACAAUUUUAGAUCUUCGCAUAAAUAUUCAAGUUUACGCUAUCUUACUAUAACAAAAAUGAUUUUUUUCCACCUCUACACUCCAAUAAAUAUUAAUAUUUUAAUUAUUUACAAUUUUUUUAAAUAUCACCUUUACUAUAUAAAGGCUUAAAAUAAAAAUGAUCGAGAACUGCUUCAUGAAUAUAAAACUUUCAAUGUGAUAAUCAUAAAAGUGACUAACAUGUCUCAGCUAUACAUAAAAUAAGUACGGCACCCCAUUUUAAACAAUCUCAGCAGUCUAAUUUAGAAAAGCUCAAACAAGAUUUGAAGCAAUUUUCAACAUAUUUAUACUAAGAAAAUAAUAAUUUUCAACCGGCAUUACUUCUCCGAGCUUUCAAUGCUAAUAGCUUCUCCUGGAUCAAAAUCUCACUAGCUUAUUCGAGAACAUAUUCAAUGGCUUCAAAAUAUUGCUCAGCCUGGAUCGACCGCCAAAUACCAAUACUUGCUCUCCACCUAACUCUGGAAUCAUCAAGAUUUGACGACGAUACCCACAACUAACAUACCAGUUCAUAAAAAUCUGGUGUGUAAGGAAAAUCUUCCCUAACUACAGCACUGCAGAACUUCUUCAAGGGACUGCACCCCCCAAUGCCUAAAGGUCCCAAUCUUCCCACAAAUAAGAUUAUCUAUUUCUGAAUCUACCCUCAAAUUUAUAUGCAAUCUGCCUUGAUCCUUCUCAAUCUCCACCAAAAAAACUAACAGAUAUCAACAACUAACUAAAUAACACUCACUAGUAUUAACAACUAACAAAUAUUAACUAACAGAAACUAAUAAAACCAACAUAGUCCUAGGUUUGAAAUUCAUUUAAUUUGAAUCUUUUUUUGCUGAAAGCAAAGGUAUUUUCCACAGCCAGAAGUCAUGAGACUAGUUCCCCACACGCAGAGAUCACUAAAAAGCCUUUCACCACCUCAGCAAAGUCUUCUCCAUACAUGCUCAAAGAAUUUAAACUAUCUUCCAACUGUAUUAAACCUUGUUCUUAUCUAAUUUGAACAGUUAAGGAAUUGAAAACUAAGAAAUUUUGUCAUGAAAAUUUGAAAAGAUAAUAGCACAUUCGCAAAACAGAGGUGUUAUAAAUCAUGAUUAAUUUUAACCUUGCAAUAUCCAGUUAAGAUGACUUCAUCUCCAUCUUCAAGAAAUUUCCGGUCUAACCCAUUUACAGACACUGCAUUUUGUCCAUUCCAUGUUAACUCUAGCAAACAUCCUCGUGACUCUGGCUCCUACAGUGAAAAGCACGUAUUUCAACUGGAUUAGUUGAUCAGUUGAAAAGGAACAAUUCCCUCAAAGAGAAAGAAAAAAACUGGAACAUAAAAGUAAGACUGUGUAAAGUAUAGAAUCUUACAGGACCACUAACUGUCCCAGUUCCUAGGAGAUCGCCUGGCCUGAGGUUGCAACCAUUGAUUGUAUGGUGAGCAAGUUGCUGGGUCAAUGUCCAAUAUCUACAAAGAGAUACAUAAGUGAAUAUAUGUAUUGUGUAUAACUGAAUUAUCAAUAUUAGUUGAAGAGAAAUUCCUCACAAGUGCUUUAGAUUACUUCGUGUCACCACACCUGAAUCUUCAUGUCCAGCAGGUUUUAUUUGAGCCUUGAAGCAAAAAACAAUUGUAUGAUUAGUGCAAUAAUCCAAAAAAAUCAACUGAGUAUUGUUAGGAUUCAACUGCACAAUAUGGGAUUUGAGUCCCACAUUGCAAGUAUGGAUUCUAGUCUGGGGUUGAUAAGGUUUUUGACUCUCUAACUACAACUGCUAGCUUUUUUGCUAGUUUGUGGAAUGGUUCUUCCAAAGUUCUUAUCAUAUAUCGUCUUGGAAAAAGAAUCAUAAAGAAAGAAAAAAAAUCCCUACUUCAACUACAGUAGAACAGAAGGACCAUGAAGAACUACAAUUAAUCAGAGAACAAGAGGAAGUAAUACUAAGUACAUGCAUGCAGAUAGUAACGGUGCUUUGAAAUACCUCUAGGGAAAUAUCAUAGCUUUUGGACACUUUCUCCGUCAAAUAUGGAAGUGGAGGAGGAUCCUGGAUUUAGUAAAUAGCAUGCCACGGUUAAUUUGAACAGCAGACAUGAACAACCAAGUUAUAAAGUUCCUACAGCGUCAAUCAUAAAAGAAAGAAACUCGUUACCAGUUUUGGGGCUUGGGAAGCAAAAGGUUCUAAUGCUUCCAAGGUCACAAUCCAAGGAGAUAUUGUUGUACCUGUAUAAUUUUAGAUAGGACCAUAAAAAAAAGUUAACUCAAAAAUAACAACUAAAAGGUGAUAGUUACUAUCUAGAGCAAAUGGUAAAUGGAAUCAUCCGCAUUGAAUAUACUGUACAGACAGGUCCAAUUGCCUAGCUUUUUUCAAAUAGAACUUAAAGGAUAUUAAGUAACUAUUUGUAACAUCUUACCAAAACUCUUUCCAAGAAAAGGACCGAGAGGAAUAUAUUCCCAUGCCUGAAUAUCUCGAGCUGCCAAAUAUAAUCCAUUAAAGCAUCAAUUAGUAGGCAGGGCAUGGUAACAUAAAAAAAAUAUUGAAUUGGAAAACUACCACUCCAGUCGUUCAUUAUAACAAGUCCAAAGAUGUGAUCUUCAGCAUUGUUAAUAUCCACUGGUUUUCCCAAUUCAUUUCCAGGUCCAACAAUAGUAGCCUGCAAAAAAUAAAAAUUUUAAUCUAAAAUGAAACAAAUGAAAAACAAUGCAGUAUCAUGGUAAUUCAUUUAGAAAAACUACAUACAAAGAAAAUGACACUAUGUUCUCAUCUUGAGUUUUAUAGUUUUAAAAUAGAACUUUAAAUAUGCAUUUUAGUCAGUAAAUAGCCACAGAAAAUGUGUAAACAACAAGCUAACCAUUUCCAACUCAAAGUCUAGCUUUAAUGAAGGGCCAAAGUAGGGUGUAGAGCCACCAGAUGGAUGAGCCUGACCUCUGGAAAGCACAAAGCAGCAUGACAUAGUCAGAUAGAAUGCAGAGCAAUUAAAUACAUAAUGGACAAAAGGAGCUAGAGCCUGGUGCUCUCAUAAAAUAUUUAUGAUUUAAUGAAUACACCACACAUGAAGAUUGACAAUAGAAACCAUAUCCCUUCCACAGUUGACUAUAUAUGCCAGAGCCAUAGGCAUGUAUUAGAAAGGUUCCUAUGUUAAGCACUCAAACAUUGAUGCCAUAUUUCUUCUUAUGUUCGCAACCAUAAGACUUGAAAAAACGAAAAGAUUCAAAAAGCUGCUUAAGCAAGCACACAAACUCAUGAUCAGAAAAAUUUGCAGUUAGUGCCAAAACUUAUCACCUUGGUCGAAUAAUAUCUGUUCCAGAAAUAACAACAGAAGAUGCCCGUCCAUGGUACGCAAUAGGCAGGCGAUACCUGUGAAACAUGCUUAACCUUUUAUUUACAGGGAAAAAAUUACUCAAGUUCAUUUGUAAAGCCUUCUAAAUCAACACACCAAUUAUCUAGAACAGGAGUCUGAGGUCCACGAAAUAUGAGCCCACAAUUUUUAGUGUGAUGCAGAGAUGUAAAGAAAUCAGUAUAGUCCCCAACAACAACAGGGAGAAGCAACUCCGCGCUACUCUGAAAAUCCAGAAACUACAAGCAUUAAAGAAGUGACAAACUCAAACACAACCAUUUUUAAAAAAUCAGGAACGCGAAUGAAAAAUACCAAAGGCACAAGUGCCUUCUGCCUCAAUUCCGUGUCGUCCCUCAAGGUGGGCUCCGUUGCUGCAUUAAAAACAACCCAAUUCGCAUAAGAACCAACCUUUGCAGCUCGUACAAACUUUGGCAUGCAUGUGCACCUUAAUAAGCAGUGCAGUGUGAAAAAAAUAGCAAAGAACAGUGAACAAUUAGGCCUUGUUUGUUUACAGAUUUUAACAAUGUUUUCUAUAAUUUGUGUGUCCCUUCAGAACAUUUGAAAGUGUUCGUAUCAUGAACACAUUUAUGUUUUCCAAAAAAAAUCUCCUUCGAGCACUUGAAUAGAAACCACUUGAGCUAGAGAAUGAGAAUAUCUCAUGCCUAGCUUUUAUUUAAAAAGUUAGAAUGAGAAAAUAUCUCCUAUUACUCUGUUUUUCAGCUUUUAAGUUUUUAAAAUCCUUGAUUUGGAAACAGUUUUCAAGAAUGAGCAAGAAGUGUCAAACAAGCCCUCAAACAAUUAGCCAGAAACAAGUGAGGUUGCAUAUACCUGAUAAAAGCUUUUGAAGAGUGGCACGAGCUUCCUUCCAUGCCGGCCUUCCAAGGGAUACAAACUUAUUUAGAUUAGGCUGUCACACAAAUGAUCAGUUAGACGAAAGGUUCUCAUUUACCAAACAAUUCUUGAAAACCAUACCCACGACACGAUAUCGUAAAACCUUAUAUUAAAAUAAAUAAAUACAAUGUUGAAUGAUGUGUCACAAAAAGAUGUAAGAGAGAGAGAGAGUAAAAACGUUCAUCCAAAUAUUAAGGUACAUUUUUUCCGUCCUUUCAGAUUCACCAGGAAAACGAAAAGAUUGUGACAAGUCCAUAAACUACGAAAUCUUAGGCUAAAAUUAAGCUACACUUUUCCUUCUUUUUGAAAAUAAAAGUUUGAAGUUACCAAGAUUGGUUAUUGCAUGUUUAGAUAGCAGUCAGAGCAACUCCAAAGCAAUUGUACUACUGAAACAACAUUUUUUUCUUUCUCAUCUCGUGUUGUUGGAGAUCCCAACUUGUAUACGUCAUCACUGCAUGUUUGGAUUAAAGUUCAGACUCUUUUUUCCUUCUUUUUUAAUUCAGUAUACUAUAAUUCAUUAAACUGCAAGAAAAUUCAGAGAAAAGCACUUUCUAAACUUUAAUCCAAACAUGGCAUUAGUCGGUGGAAGAAGUGAAAGGCAGAUUGAAAGUUAAGAAAGUUACCUGGAGGAAGCAAUCGGAGUUUCGGAGGAGAGGACCGUCGAAGAGGCCGGCGGAAGCAAUUUCAGAGAGAUCGAGGACGUAGUCGCCGAUGGCGACGCCGGGGCGAGGAGACGAAGAGGGUUGGGGCUUGAAGACUCCGUAAGGAAGGUUAUGUAUUGGGAAGUGAGAAUCUGGAUGAACCUCAACGAAAGAUUUUAGCAAAGCCAUUGUACAGAAAUGGUGACGAUGCCACUGCUUCAGCUUAUGUCAAUAUUUCAACACCUUGAAAGAGACUCAACCGUGAACAAGAGCGUGUUCUGUUUUAUAGAUAGAGAGACAGAGAUGCCACAAUAAUAGUUACUAAUUUACAGGGAACACCUCUUCCAUUGUAAUCUUAUUUUAUUAUUUUUAUUAUGCCCGUCUAAAAAUACUAAUAAUAAUAUUUUUAAUUCUUUAACUACUGCUUGAAAUAAUUUUUUUGUGUAAUUUGUUUUAAAGAUUUAAUUGUUUGGUUUAUUACUUAGCUUUUUGACCUAAUGGAAUUGUUUAUUGGAGGAUGAUUUGGGGUGGUAGUUGGAAAGGAAGGGGUUAGAUAGGUGCAUAAUCCCCCAACUACCUCCAAGUCCAAGCAUACGCACGUUGCUUACAUUAAAUAUAUUUUUAAUUUCUAUUAAACAGGUGUUUUAAUCAUGGUUAGGAAAUUUAUUUAUUUUUAGUUUUAAAUCUUUUAAAUUAAAAGUUAUUGUGAUUUUAUGUUGAUAUUAUACCCACAUAGUCACGGGCAUUAAAUUCGUUUAACAAAUAAACUUUGUCAUGAUCAAGUUAAAGUGUUUAUUUUUAUUAUCAGAUUUUGUAGUUUGGAAUUAAGAUUUGUGUUAAAAUAGAUAUUUUUAUUAAAGACAAUAAAUUUUAACAAGUUUGUUUAUUAGUAUGGAGAUCUCAAAAAAGUUUAUUAAUGAUGUAACAUUGAGAAGGAUGUAACGAAUUUUGUAUCUACUUGCUUUGACUUGUUAGAAGUUGAAUGUGAAACAUUGACUUACAAGUGUGUUGCAUCAACUAUAUAUUAUGAUACAAAAUUGAGAUAACAUUUUCAUGAAGUUUGUUACUUACUUGUUAGGCACACUAAGAAUGUGCACUUCUUACUCAUGCACUUGAGAGUUUACAUAAAAAAAAUUAACAUAAAUUUAUAUAAGUGAAAUUAUUAGGUUAUUAGGUUAUAUGAAAUUUUAAACAAUAUUGUAUCUGGUAGAAAUCCCAAAUUACUUUCAAAUAUUGAUAGUAGUUGCAUAGACAUUGAGAACUAGCUUAAGAUCUAAUUUAAUCUACCAUCCACAUAUGAUAAUAAUCUAAUAAUUAAAUGUUUUGUUAGGAACUUAUGUUUGAAUCAUUUGUACCAUUAAUACGAGAUCUUACCUUUAAUAAAGUUUAAUUACAAUAAUUACUAAAUAAAUAUUAAUAUCAUAACAUAUUAAAGUUUAAUUACAAAAUUACUAAAUAGAUAUACACCACAUUAAAAUUCAAUUACAAUAAUUACUAAAUCAAUAUUAAUAUGACACCUUAUAAAACUUUCAAUAGUAAAAAAUGUAAAACACCUUUAUCUUAAAUAUAAAAAUCGAGAAAAUCUCUUAUUUUGACUAGAGUUAGUAGAAGAAACCAGAAGAUUAAGUUAAUAAUGAGAAAGCAUACUUAUCCGUACGUUUAACUUUUUUUUUUCACUUAUACAAUAGUGAAUUUGGGCUUGGGUUUGCAAACUUUAGUUUUUUUUUUGGUAGUUUCUUUCUGCACCCAUACAUUUUUCUUCCUCCACCCAACAAUGUUCUGCAAAGAUAAAAUUGUUCCUAUACAAAAAGGUACAUUUAUUUGUUUGUAUUCUAUUAUGAAAUCCGGUAAAUUUUUGGACUGGCGCUCCCAGUAAAAUUUGGAUUGACGCGUCCAGUAAUCUUUUGGAUUGGUGCUUUCGAUAGUACAUGAAUGACAGUGUUAAUCCAAAAUAAAAAAGUGUAGAUCAUCCAUAUUUAAAAAAACCAUUUUGAAUCCGCUAUGCAUUCCGGAUUCAGAAAUUCAUAAUUGAAAAAAAAUAUUAUGGAUCCACCAAUUCGUAAUAGAAAAUUAGACUUCUGGAUUCAGCUAUUCGAAAAUCAACAAUUUAUACAAACUUUGCUUCUGGAACACCCCCUCAUUCGGAAAACAAUAUGAUUCACUUUCAGAUUGAUGAAUCCAUAGCACACUUCCAAAUCCCGAUUUUAAAUAAAAGGUGAAGGUCAGUUUCGGGAUUUAAAAAUUUGUGGGGUUGCAGGAAGAAAAAUGUAGGGUCUGCCUUUUUUUUAUAGGCAAUUACUUACAAAAAUUUCCUUAAAUAAAUAAAAAGCCAAAUCUUCUUUCACCAUAUCAAUUCUUACCCGUGCACCCAUUUUAUCACACAAAUGAUGAAAAACUAUUUUUGGAAUAAUGAAAAUAACCUUAAAUGAAAAGAGAGUGUUGAUAAAAAAAUAUUUCAAGAAUUACUUUUCUGAAAUAUAUUUAUGGAUUUUGAUUUCUGUAACAUAUUUCUGAAUUUUAGAAUUUAUUUUCUAAAAUGUAUUUUCAAAUUUUGUGUUUUAGAUUUUUUUUUUCAAAAUGUAUUUUUGCAUUUUAAUUUUUUUUGGAAUAAAUUUUUUUGUAUUUUGGAUUUUCUUUUUCAAAAUAAGAUUUUAAAUUUUAAAUUGUAAUUUUGGAAAAUUUGAAAAAUGUUAGGGUGCAUGUUCAAAUUGAUAUGGUAAGAAGUUGUGAAAUAAAAAAAGGGUACAACUUUUUCAAUUUUUUUUCUUUGUAUUUGUUGGAUUUGUAUGUAGAGGCCCAACUCUGCUGUUUUUUUUUAAAAUGAUAUGUAUUUCUUAACAUUUAAAAAAAAAGAAAAAUCAGGUGUCAUGUGGAAAAAUUUGCUCAUUUUUUACUCUUACAUAUAUAUACAGACACACGUAAAUUACUGCUUAAAAGGGUAAAAGAAAGAAAAACAGAAACAGAAUGGAACAUUCGUUUUAUGCUGCGUGCGUGUGCGCUGCGUUGGAAUUCUGCCAUUUGAAGCUGAGACAGAAAUUUUGGACAGCAAUCUGAAGUAUAGAACCCUAGGAUUCAGUAAAAAAGGAACCCUAGGAUUUGUGAGUUUCUUGGAAUCAGUGAACGUUUUCUUUAGAGUUUGUUGUUGAGACGAGGAGAAAUGUCGACGGACCUGCAAUUGAAAUCGAGUUGUAGCGGAUGCGGAUCAACGACGGAUCUCUACGGAAGCAAUUGCAAGCACAUGACUCUGUGCUUGAGCUGCGGCAAAACCAUGGCGGAGAACCGCGCCAAAUGCGUCGAUUGUGGUGUCACCCUUACUCGCCUGAUUCGAGUUCGAUUUGUUCUCCCUUACUUUUGCUGUUAUUGAAUUCGCGUAUUCUGACUUUAAUUUAUUCGGUGUAAUUGAUCAUGAUGUGGUGAAAUCUUUCACUGGUUUGUCUGUGAUAGGAAUAUAAUGUUCGUGCAAGUUCUACCAAUGACAAGAACUACUUUAUUGGAAGGUUCAUGACCGGUUUACCAGAUUUUUCGAAGAAGAAAAGUGCUGAGAACAAGUGGGCUCUGCAGAAGGAAGGACUGCUCGGUCGCCAAAUUACUGAUACUUUGCGGGUAUUGAAGUCUGCCAUUGCUUCGUAGUUAUAACUUCCCUGCAUGGUAUUUAAAGCACCUCAUUUCUCAAAAUAAAUGGUCACUGAAAAAUUAGAAACUCUUCAGUUUCGAAUGCAAGCAAAUCUCAACCAGUUGACGGCAUGAGAUUAUCUCUAAAAUGUCUUCAAUCAAUUGAGGUUUUAUUUCCAAUUACUCUCUUUUAUUCCUGAUAUAUGAAGUUUCAAAAGAGGGUAUUCUGGAAAAUGUUAUUUUUAAAUAAAAAAUUUACGAUUAUAGGUUACUUAAUAAUUUUCUUAAUUAGUGUGAAUCAAUUAUUUUUGUUUAUAUUGAGAAGGGUUCUACGAAUCUAUAUCUAUAUCUAUAUUAGUCAAAAAGUAAGGAAGUGAAUAAUUACUUGGGAAUUGUAAUAGAUCACGUUUUUUCUAAAUGAAAACUUUCUUGUUGCAUUACAUAGGAGAAGUACAAGAACAAGCCUUGGCUCUUGGAGGACGAAACAGGUCAGUCCCAGUACCAGGGUCAUCUAGAAGGUUCACAAUCGGCUACAUAUUACCUGCUAAUGAAGGAAAGGAAGGAAUUUGUUGCCAUUCCUGCUGGUUCUUGGUACGCUUAUUGUGUUAAGGAUUGUGUUUGACUGCGAGAAGAAUGCUCUUAUGAAAUUUGUUGUUUGUCUUUUUAGGUACAACUUUAACAAGGUUGCUCAAUAUAAGCAAUUGACAUUGGAGGAAGCUGAAGAGAAGAUGAAGAAUAGAAAGAAAACUGCAGAUGGAUAUCAGAGAUGGAUGAUGAAAGCAGCAAAUAAUGGCCCAGCUGCAUUUGGUGAUCAUGGAAAAUUUGAUGAGAAGGAAAGCAACACAGGUGGAGGGAGAAGCCGUAAAAAAACCGGUGAGGAGGAAGAAGGUCAUGUUUCUGAUAAGGGAGAGGAGGAUGAAGACGACGAAUCUGAAAGGAAGAAUAGACUUGGGCUUUAUAAAAGACCUGCUGAUGAUGAUGAAGAAGGUCCAAGGGGAGGGGAUCAUGAUCUAGAGGAUGACGAUGUUGAGAAGGGUCAGUAUCUGUGCAUUCUUCAUUCAUUAUGUUUACUGAUGAAAAUGGUGGCAAAGAUUGUCAUUUAUUUCUGAUUAGUUUUAUGAAGUGAUGGCCUAUCUUGUAUGCAAUUGCAUUCCAUAAUUAAUCAGAAUAAACAUAUUGCAUAUGCAACAGCUGACGGGGGAUAUGCAUCAUUAAAUGCUGGAGAUGAGAGGAAACUGUUGUCUCUGUUAAAACUGGUUCAGUUUUAUUGGAGUUCUUAAAGUGUUCGUCUUUUCCAGUAUCUAACUUGAUUGCUUCAUUGUUGUUACUUGUAUAUCUGCUUACUUGAUGGAGGAUAUUGCUUAGAGAGUAAAAAGCAUAUCCGAAUUCUUCCAUGAAUCAAAUAUAGGCUUCAUAUAAAUCAGGUUUUUAAGUAUUUAUUUUGGCCUUGGAUAUAAUCGGGAUUACAGAAUUCAUAUAGCUUUUCAAUACCCGUUGCCAUAAGUUUGUUGUACGUGCAUGAUUUAUUAAGAGUUUUGAAUCCUAAAAUAUAUUACAGGGCAGGUGCAUCUUCAAUGCAUCUAAUAGAGUUUAUUUAUGUUCUAGCAUUAUGACUUUUCUAAUAGUCUAUUAGAAAAUGCUGUCAGAAAAAAAGAUUAUGAAAAUUAGCUCAUGAGAACAUCUUGUUUGAAAGUUGACAAACUUGAGACUCUGUGAAACCAGUAAGACAUGCAAGACUUCUCUGUCUCCGGUCAAUAAAGUGUCAUUUUCCAUGUUGCAGAAUCUGUGCAACUUUUCCCAUAUAAUAUUUCUAAGAUGAUCAGUCAAGCAUGCACAGUAAACUGUAAAUAUGAACUCACGAAUUAUAUGUUUGUUCAUGAAUUAUUCCCAAUUUUUUAUCUUAAAACCAAUUAUUGAAUUGAUGGCAGAACUUCUGGGGACCCGUGAGUUGUUUUCUACGGUGAGUGACAGUGGAUUGAUGUUACUGCAUGAUUAAUUAGUUUAACAAUUGAGUUGAUUGAUCUAUUUACUUGAAUAUUGUCCCAAUCAUUGCAAGUGAUUACAAUCUUAAAUUGGUAUGAACUGAAAGUUGAAAGCAUGAGUAGAUGGUUUUUAUGUUACAUAUGCAUAGAUUAACCAGUUUGUUUUUUGUUGAAACUCACAGGACACUUCAACAAAUACACAUGCUUAUUCUUGCUUUUGACUCGUACAUCUUUUACAGGUGAUGACUGGGAGCAUGAGGAGAUUUUCACUGAUGACGAUGAAGCUGUUGGAAAUGAUCCCGAGGAAAGGGAGGAUUUGGCUCCUGAGGUUCCUGCUCCUCCUGAAAUCAAACAGGUUAGUUUCAACUCCUUAAAUAUUUCAUAGUUGAUGUAUUGGGUAUGGAUUUAUUUAUGGAGAUCAAAAUUAUCGAAACAACAGACAUUAUUAACUGCUCCUUUCCUUUUCUCUUGUCACUUCCUAUAUGUUAUAUUUUCAAUAUAUUUAAUUAAUCUUUGUUAUGAGUAGAAGAUAGCUCAAAAUCAGUAGUGGAUUUCUUGGUUACAUAAAGAUAAGUUUUUAAGAGAAAAAUUUCUGAAGUAAUCACUGAGUGACCUGUUUUGUGAUUCCAGGAUUAGAACUUUAAUACUUGAUUAAACUGCAAUUAUUAAUGGAGUUACUUUGCUCAUUGCUCAUUUCCAUGAGUACCUUGGUUUCCUUUUCACGUGGAAGUAUGCUAUGCUUUCAGCCAUUUUCUGGUAUUGACAUUUUGGUUACAGGGAUGCUUGAUGUAUUAUAUUAUGUUCUACAUAUGGUAUAAAUUGGAGUUGAUAAAGACAUUUUCAUGUUUGGUUUGUGUUAUUGUGCCAUUCCUAAAUCAUUGCUAUAAUUACAAUUGCAGGAUGAGGAGGAGGAGGAUGAAGAUAAUGAAGAAGGGGGAGGUCUGAGCAAAUCUGGGAAAGAGCUGAAGAAGCUGCUUGGGAAAGCUAGUGGUCUGAAUGAAUCUGAUGCAGAGGAUGAAGAUGACGACGAUGACGAUGUAUGAGUUUUGUUCUUUUUUCUUUUCAGUUUUGCCAUUUUCUUUAACUUUUUUAUAGUAGUUCUACAAUUGCUAAUUGUUCCAUGUCCACUAAUACGAUGAAAAGAAUGAACUUAACUUGGUACAAACUGCAAUGCCUUUUGUGGUGAAGCUACGGAAUUUUUACAUCUUUUACUUCUCUAAAAUGGGAAGUAGGUGAUUUAUUUUUUAUUUUAUUAAAAAUCUCUCAUCAACUAGAAAUACUGUCACAUUGUGGUUUAUUACUGAGUGCAAAUCUUACUUUAGAAGUUGGUUUUGUGAGAUUAAGUUAGAAUAGCUCAUUUUAUAAUGUUAGAAAUAUAUGGUAAUAUUAUCUUUAGAAUAUUUUAGAGUAUAUUAAAUGAACUCUUAAAGCAUUUAUUCUUCUUUUUGUAUUUUAUGAUUUCUUUUCUUGUUUAGUUAUACUAUUUAUCGUUAUGGGGAUAUCUAAUUAGAAUCAUAUUUAUUUGAAUACGAUCUUUUGGCAUAUCAUAUCAUGUAUAUAGGAUUAAAUCUCCUAGAAUUAUUUGUAUUUAUUGCAAUCAACCUAUAUAAAAUGGAGUCUGUUGUGUAGUCCAUACAUAGUUUUCAGUAUCUUUUGCGUCUAUUUCUCUCUCAUUCAAUGUACUUCAUUGGAAUCCUGGAAAACCUAGCAUUAACGAGUCACUUUUCUUUGCCUAGAUGGAUGAUGAGGUUGGCAAUCCUCCUGUGAUUGCUACGAAGACUAAGGAUGCCCCUAAGGAAGAACCUGUUGACAACAGCCCUUCAAAGCCAACAGCAACAGGACCUGCUCGUGGAACACCAUCUUCAAAGUCUUCAAAGGGAAAGAGAAAAUCAAAUGAAGAAGUAAAACCAACUAAUACUGCAACACCAAAGAAGGUGAAGCAGGAAAAUGUAAGUCACUGAUUUUCGCAAGAUUGCUUGAUGAUUACAAUUAUUGCUUUACUUUUUCACAAAAGUGUUGGCUGCUGGGAUAACUUCUAUAAAUUCAGCACCGAACAAUUACUGUGGUGUUGGACUUAUUUUAGAGAUCCAUUUUAUUGCAAAGCUGAUACUGCUUAGUUGGAAACUUUUCUUUAGAAGAGUUGGAGAGAAGGUGCUCUUAAUUUAUCCUUGAAGCAAUUUUUCAAUGGCGGAUGCAAACACCAUAUGGCUUUUGUGUAUUGGUUGAGAUUUUAGAAGAAUCUUUUAUCAAAUAAAUUUUGUGCCGUGACAAAAGAACUUAUUUUUAAAUGCUAAUCCAACAGGUUUUCCUAUAACUACCAUUGAAAUUAUUUGUUGUUUUAUUAAAUUAGGAACCAAAGUCGUCUGCCAAAGAUGUAAAUGGAUCUGCAUCUAAAAGUAAUGCACCUCCCAAAGGUACACCUCCAUCAUCAUCAUCAAAACCUGGGUCUUCCGCAACAGCUUCUGGACCUGUGAGUGAGGAAGAAAUUAGGGCUGUUUUAAGGCAGAAGACUCCAGUGACCACUCAGGAUCUUGUAGCUAAAUUUAAGGCAAGACUAAGAUCUUCGGAGGUAAGUGAUAAAUUUUCUCUAUCCUCGACUGAAGUGGACGUGUUUGCUUUAUUGUUAUUAUAAUCAAAUUGUGUAUGCCAUGUCCACAGUAUGUUUUAAAAUUAAAGGGUAUUUUUCACUGUUCCAUACUCGCCGAAGGCACAGGCAAAUUCUUAAUAAAUAUUUACAAAUUGGCUCCAGGACUUUGGAAAUUAUGUAAUGCAUCUAAUUUUUGUGGAACUGCUGCCAUUUUAAUAAUCUUCAUAACGAUUUGCGACUCUUGUGUUAAUAUAGCAACUAAUAAUCUUAUAUUACCUUGUUCUUUUGGAUAGAGAUUGGAUGCAUGAACUAUGUAUCGUGUGAGGAUAAGAAUGCUUAUCUGAUUCUAAUUUGUACCUUUUUGUAUACUUUAUUUAGUUAAAAAUUUUGUGUGAUUCAUUUGGAUUGAUGGCUAAACUGGUCUAACGGUGACAUAAUAGCAUCAUUGGUUGAAUUUUUAAAUCUUUGGUUGAAACCGCAUCCUGUGCUUCUUUGCUACAUGCAGGAUAAGCAAGCAUUUGCUGAGAUCCUGAAGAGAAUCUCUAAAAUACAGAAGACUGCAAAUGGAUCCAGUUAUGUUAUCCUGAGAGACAAGUGACAUGUAGACCCCAAUGAUUGGUUCGGAAAAAAUGCAGCAUAAAAAAAAAGAUGAUAUCCAUGUAUAUUUUUCACAUUUUGGGCACCGUCGUCGAGAUUAUAUUAUUAACUUAAUGCCAAUCGAGUGUAAGAGACUGUUUUGUUUUUUAAACCAUGAAAAUGGGGUUUCAUCGGGUUACAAAUGUGAGUAUAUGGUAUGGAGCUUACCCCGGUGCAUUGAAUAAACAGGAUCUACCUCUUAUUAACAUUAUAGAAAGAAACAUAUUGUAUGAGUAUGAGUUAUAAAUAUGAUGUACUUUUAUAAGUGUUUUCCGUGUAUGUGCAAAUUAUUUUAUAUAAACCAUCAAUUUUAUCAUUAAAAAACCAUCAAUUUAGUUUUUAUUGUAUUAUCCUUUUUUUCUAAAAAGUCUUUUAAACAAUAAAAUUAUAUAAAUUUCUUAAGCAUUAGAAAUUACUGAGUAUAGUCUCGAAAGUAUUGAAAAAUCUUUUAAACUAAUCUCACAACAUUAGUCAAUUGCAUGGAUUAAACUGAUGAAUAUCAAUACUUUAAACUUCAUUGUAUAUUUUCAUUAUUUGAGAGAGUAAAUUUGAUGAUUGAUUAACAUUCGUGAAUUGUAAAAUGCACCGAACAAUUUCAUCAAUAUUGACAUUUAAAAAUGGCAUUUGAAGAAAAUUCAAUAUAACAAAUUCAUAAAAGAAGAUUCAAAAACAAAUAUCUUUCUUAAACUAGAGUGCUGGACAUAUAGUCGCAUUAAAAAAAAAAGAACAUAGCAGGGUCCCAACUCCCAAAACAGUAUCUAAAUACAUAGAUAGAGGCAAUGGUCCUCACAUAUAGGGUAGUUAAAGAUGUGAAUAAGCAAGGCCAAUGAUGACGCAAAACAUAAGAGUGAGGAGUAACACAGUGCUGUGACCAAAACGGGUUGCAGCAGAAGGAGUAGUGGGCGCGGCAGCCUCAAAAUCAGAUAGGGUGGAAUACUUUUUGUUUGCGAUGCCUUGGCCCUUUGGCAGAACCUCAAUGUGUAGCUUCAGACCAUUUUUGCAGUUCUGAGCUUCGCUGCUCACAAAGUACCUCAUUCCUUCACUCUCAAGUGGGAUAGCAUGCAAACCCUCUGUGUACAUUUUUAUGGGAUUUCUCACAUCACACGCUUCGUAUUCCUCUUUGCUUUCAACCUCAGCCACUAGUCCCUCAGCCACUGAGUAUGUCAGCCCUGCUCGUAUUAAAUCCUCGCGUUAUUCUUUAUUCAUAUUCAUAUUAAAAUAGAGAAACACGCCAUAAAGUCAACAAAUACAAUGUCUCAUCAUACCUUAAAAAAAUUGUUUUUUCAAAGGAUGUUACAACACAAGUCUUGUUAGCAUUUUUCUUCUCAUAUAGAGAAAUACUGUAUGAAUAAUAAUACACUUAUGUCUUUGAAGUCAUCGUUUCAUCCUUCAUGCUACUAUAACACUAAUAUAAUUUUUUUAAUACAACAAAGUAUCGGCUCAAAUUAAAAAAGUAAAAGUGCUACCUACUUUAUAUGUAUAUAUAAUAAUAAAAGCAACAAAUUGAUCCACAAAUUUUGUACCAACUAUUCUCAAGACUCAACAGAAAGGUUUAAAUGCUACCUAGUAGUCACACCGAAUAAUAAUACAUGCAAUUUUAACUCAAUUUCUAUCUUUAAGUGCGUGCUUCAAUUAAUUUACCAUCUCUUCAAGCAAUGUUAGGUUUUAUUUGUUCACAAAAGAUAUCCUAAAACACAGUACCAAAAAGGAGCUAAGUCUAUACUUUCACUUUUUAACGCUACCAGUAUUAAUAAGUGAGUGUAUAUAUAAAAAUAAACCUAAAAGAUACACAAUGUAUGAACCGCGGGGCUCCUCCUCCGGUUAAAUGAAUGCACAGAACAGAAGGAAACACAAUCUUUGAAAGCUGACCUGUAAUACUCUCCUAUUAUUUUUCCUUAUUUUCCGAUAACAUAAGUAUCAUCACAAUCAAUGCCAAGACCCAGAUCUUGUAAUAAAAAGUAAAAAAUAAAAUAAAAGCAUCGUAUAUUUCAUCAUUCUUCCAUUUCAUCAGAACCAAGAAAGUGGUGAGACGAAUGAUGAAACUCAGUGGGAAGGGUAGACAUGAUAUAAAGGAAAAGGAGAUAAGAAAAUAAUGAAUUUGCCUAUUUGGUAAAGAAAAAGAAAAGGAAAAUGGGAGACUUACAAAUUUGAUCUCCAACCCUGAAGAGCCUGCCAGAAGACCAGGAAACAAGGUCUGAGGUUGGAUCCCAACCACGGUCUGCUCCGACCACAUGUUGCUCCUGUCCUGCCACCCCUUUUCCACCCAGGCAAAGGACCACCAGUGCAACACUAAAAAUGAUCCCUUUACCCAUUUUCACUUUUCAAUAUUCCUCGGACUCACACAAGGUAGUGGUGGGUGCGUGAAGAGAGUGAUGGAUUGGUGGUGACGAAAAUAGAAGGUGGUUUGUGAUUAUAAAUAAUGUGUUUUGCAGGGCAAGGAAUGACUUUCCAGGUAGCUUCCUUACUCUUCCAAACUCACAGGAAGCACAACAAGGACUGGUAGUUGUGGCUCUCCUCCCACACUCUCUGCAACCAAUUGUCAAUUGCUUAGUGUGUGUGUCUCUCUGCAGUAUCUGUAAAUGGAAAACUCUAGCUGUUUAUGUACUCAUUUGCCCUUCUUUUUAUCUCUUCACCACAUUAAAGUGAAAGCCCUCUUUCGUAAAAAAAAUAAAGUGAAACACCUCCAUAAAUUUUCACCUUUCAUGAACCAUUUUUGCCCUUUUUAUUUUCUGAUAACAAAAAUGUUAGUAAUUCAUACAUUUAUAUGAAUACGUUUUUUAAAAAUACCCCUGCUUCUUUUCUAUUUAUAAUACUUUAAAGUAAAUUUAGAAUGUUUUAUCUUAAUUAAUUUUAGUCUAAAAAAGAUAAGUUGAUACUUGUGCCUAACCACCGUAAGUUCUGAAAUAUUAAAGAAUCUAACUAUAUAUAUUCUUUAACCGAGUUUUCAAAGUAUUUAAUAAUCAUUAUGAAUAGAUUAAUGAGUUUUUAUUGAUGAGAGUGGUCAUUAUAGAGUAAUGAAUAAUAAUCAUAUUGUUAAUUUAAAUCUUUGUGUUUCUAUGGACUUCUUGCAGAGUUUUUUUUUUUUUUUUCAGAAGGUAAAUCUCUCAUCUUUGUUGAAGACUAAUUGAAAAGCUUAUUUAUAAAAAAAUAUUCAAUUCUCAUUGAGAUAUUUUCGAAUUCAUUUCCGGUUAGAACAAUAUUAUAUAUUUGUUGAAAUUCUUUUCUCAACACUAUAAUUUCAUACAAAAUAAAUUUAAAAAAUAUAACAACUUUAAUUUUUUUUUAAAUGGUACCUAUUUUAAGUGAACUUAAAAUAAAGUUCAAAUUGAAAUGUUAAGGACUAAAAUGUCCAACUAAUACAAACUCAAAUUAAUUUAAAAUGUAUUUUCCCCAACCCCACUGUAUUGAAAUUUAAGCUUUAUGUACAAUAAAAGUUCGUGAUAAAAUGAAACAUUAUGCAAGCAACAAGGCAACAACCAUAUCAAAAAAUGACAAAGAAAAAGGGGAAUAUAGAAUGGCACUUAUGACCUAUUGGAUUCAUUAGUGUACUCAAAGUGGAACGCUCUGGAAAUUGGCAAUUUGGGAUAAAAACAUGGUUUCAAAUCUUAAGAAAUAAUUAUCCUGAAGAGAACAUGUAACACAACUAACUUUAUUAUUUGAUGCAUGUUUUUUUUAUUUUUUAAAUAAAAUUAUUUAUAAACAGUUUCAAUGGGCCAAAUUUAAAAAAAUAACUUGCAGCUGUUUGAUUUAAGAAAAUGUUAAGAUGAAAAAAAUUGGAGCCUAUAAUAAAUUUUGAACACCAAAUUAUUAUUAAAAUUUAGUGAAAGUUGUUUUUUUAACAGUGAUCUUAUUAUAUGACUUCAAAUUUUCAAUGAUUUGAGUUUCUUCAGAGCUUGGAGUCUUCUGGGACUUUCGAAAGGAGCGUGCGAAAACCAUUUAAGAGGUAUUUUUUUAUGAUUGAUUUCAUUUUAUAUGCAGUUUUUUUAUUUUAAUUUUUCAAUGACUUUGGAGUUUGGAGAGUAACAUUUGUGAUGCAGUGAUAAUGUAGCAAAGGGGAAAGUUGAAUGAGGAAGAAUUGAUGAAGAAAGAACAAGAAAUGGUGACUGAAGAAGAAGAGACAAGGAUACCAAUUGCACAAGGUCUUCCAUGGUAUUUAUUUUUUGUCAAUUGUUCAUCAUGAUUUUACAAUGCUGCAACGAAAUAGAGAAACUCUAUUUUAGAAUACUACUUUCGCAAGAAACUUUGAGUGCAAAUUUACAAUUGAUUUUGUAAACGAUAAGACACUUUACAACUAUUGAAUACCAAUUGUACAGGGUCUUCCAUGAAGUUUAUUUUGUAAAUUGUUUAUUAUAGUUUUAUAAUACUACACCUACAUUAUUCUAAUUAAAUGACUAGUCUAAACAUAAUAUUAUUCUAAUUAUACUCAUGUGAGAAUGUCAACAUACAUGUUAUCAAGAUGUAAUUUGUACUAUAAACUUCUCAUUCAAAGUUAUGAUUUCAAUUAUCACCUUAGUAAUCAAAGACAUGACUAAAAAUGUUAAUUUAACAAAUAAAUAAAAUUAUAUUUUUACUCAACUUUGUAAUGUAAAAAUAUAUUAUUAUACUCUAUUUGAAUUAUCAAAGUAUGAUUAAACCCUAUUUUAUAACUAGUUUAUUUAUCCUUAUCAAAAGUAUGAUCAUUAUCGUACCAAAACAAUUAUUUCAAAUAAUUUUCUAACAUAUAACCAUAAAACAUUAAAAAAAAAACUAUUAAAUAACAAGACAAAAAAUAAUUAGUUAUUGUAUUGUCUAAAUUAGAUAUUAUUUUAAAAACUAAUAUACUAUUAAUAGUUUAAAUUUUAAAUUACUAUCCAAAAGAUUAAUAAAGACUAAUUUAAAAUAUAAAAUAAUAAAAAAUUAAGUUUGAUGGCUAAUAUCAAAAGAAAUUUUCUAAAAUUCACACCAAACACAUACUCAUAGUUAUAAUGUAACUCUUAAAAUUCCAAUAAAUAAUCUAAACAAAAUAAAAUUUUGAAGUUUCACAGGUUUUUUUUAAUUAUUUUGUUUUGCUGGAAGGUUAACUUUUUUUUAUUCUUUUAUAAUUUUUUAUUGAAUUAUGAAGUUUUAAUCAAUAAAAAGUUUAUUUAAAAAAAAAACAUAUAUUAGAAAUCAAAUAUUAUAAAUGUAAGCACACAAUCAAACUAACUUCCCUUGUCAUAAGAUCAUGUCCGAAGACUCUUUUCUCCUAAAACAUCAACAUUCCUGCAUGUAAGUUUUUAAGAAGGGAGAAUAUAUAAAGGAAAAGAAUAUAAUGGAAGGAGAAGGAACAUACCUGUAUCAAAACCCAAAAUAAAUAUUUUACAAAAAUUGUAGAUAUUCUAAAAAAAAAAAUUGACCAAAGUUUUGAAAGAUGGAAGAAUUAUAACUGAGAAAAUAAAGAAAGAGAAAACAAAUGUGUACUCUUAUAAGGAAUUUUACCUUUUGCAGAUAUCACUUUCCAAACUCACCCUCCAUAUACUUUUGUUUCUAACUAUUCUCGGUCCAAAUACUUUCAAAGUCCAAUUCCCAGUUUCUUCUAUUGUUAACUAUUAUUCUCAAAUCAACCAAAGUAAAAAACAUGCACAACCAAAACCAUUUUCUAUCUACACCACCCCUAUAACAGAUAUUAGCAUACCAAAACACCAGUACUUGUAUGGAAUAAUUAAUUUCAUAACAGAGAUUUUUAAUUACAUAUUUUAAUAUACAACUGUUAUCAAUCGUGAAUUUCACUAUCGCAUUUUUUAAAAUUUCGUGUAUUUUGCUUGUCUAUAAAGUGCAUACUUACAUGUGCUUGUAUCAUUUUAUUAUAAUUUUUGUAAAGCGACCCAUGUUAUUCUCAACAUGCUGAUAAAAUACAUUGAAAAAAAAACCUUUGUCAAUAAAAUGUGCCAGAUAAAAUUCACACAAAAAAGUGGGUGAUAAAAUUUACAAAAAAUGAUGAAUGUUAAAUAGUAAAAAGUGAAAAGAAAAUGGCUCAUUGGCUCGGGUUUUCAGAUAUAAUAUUCAACUAAGUCCAUAAUAAACUAAUACAAAUGACAAAUAUUUAUUUAAUUUUUAAAACUUUAAAAACUUAAUAUUUUUAGUUUAAAAAAUAUCAUAGAAAUAAAGUUAAUUAAAUUAUAAUACUUAAGAAAUCUUACUGUUAAUAUAUUUAAUUUUCUAUUUUAAAUUAUUGGGCUUUGUUUGUUUGACCCAACUUUCCUUUUUCUGUUUCAGCUAGGUCUUAAUCUUUUUCUUAUAUAUACACCAUGUAUUUUCCUCUCUAAUAUACAAGUGAAUAAAAGUUUCUUUUAUAUUUAUUUUUCUCUACCAUUAGGGUUUAUCAAAACCUCUCUUUCUUCACGAUUACGUGCGAUUACAUACGCUACAUUAAAACAUCACAUCAGACAAGGAAUAUUCAUAUUCAUUUACUAUAAUAUGGUAUCAGAGCUCUUCGAAUUAAGAGUUCUGCUGCGUUUCUCUCUGAUUUUUAUUUCCCUCCUUGCUGUUCUUGGUUUUUUUUUUCUGUUCUCUUUCAAAAUCUUGAUUGGUUUUAAAAAUCUUUUAGGCAAUGUUUAAUGAAAACCCUAGUCUUCAUAGUCUUAAUAGUAGUCACACUAUUACAUGCAAUUUUUGUGGUAAAUAUGGUCAUACUGAGGCUGUUUGUUUUCGCAAAGUGGGUUUUCCUUCUGGUAAUGUUAAAACCUCAAAGUUUUCUUUUACUAUAAAAGUCUACACUUUUUGUAAUCGUCUUGGCCACACUGUUGACACCUAUUAUAAAAAGCAUGAGUUCCCUCCUGGCUACAAAUUCACCAAUUGGACAUCCCAAGCCAAUAAUAUGAUUACUACUGACACUUUUUCUGUUCUUUUUCCUAAAGAACAGGAUGUAAAGGGGAUUCAACUUACAUCACAACAGUACCAAUUCCUUACCACAUUUUGCGUCAGCAAAACCUUGAGGACCUUGCCCCUCACACUCAAAUUAAUCAAGUCGGCACCAUCUCUACGGAUGAAAUCCCCAAUACUGAGCAUUCUUCAACAGGUAAGUUUCUCUCUUCACUAUCUUCUAUAAAAGAAUCUUGGAUUAUUGAUUCUGGUGCCACUGAUCAUGUUUGUCACAAUUUGAACGUUUUUACUACUUAUACUAAAAUUAAAUCUGUCUUAAUUAGUCUUCCAAAUGGCCAAACUGUUUAUGCCUCUCUGGUUUAGUACGUUUUUCUGAUCAGUUUUAUUUGUCUAAUGUGUCAUACGUGCCUCAUUUUCAAUUAAACUUAAUAUCUGUUUCUAAACUCACACACCAACUUAANNNNNNNNNNNNNNNNNNNNNNNNNNNNNNNNNNNNNNNNNNNNNNNNNNNNNNNNNNNNNNNNNNNNNNNNNNNNNNNNNNNNNNNNNNNNNNNNNNNNNNNNNNNNNNNNNNNNNNNNNNNNNNNNNNNNNNNNNNNNNNNNNNNNNNNNNNNNNNNNNNNNNNNNNNNNNNNNNNNNNNNNNNNNNNNNNNNNNNNNNNNNNNNNAGGUUUGCAUUACCUAAUUCUUAAUGAUAGAUUAACUUCACUGAUCUUGGUUUGAGUGUUAACUGUAAUAGGGGUCGGCCAUCGGCCAAAUCAUCAUGGCAUGGGUCGGCCAUCGGCCAUGUUCCAGUGGUCUCGGUCGUCUCGGCCAAGUCUUCUAAGGUCUCGGCCACUCGGCCGUCUCGGCCAAGCCUUCCAAGGUCUCGGCCUCUCGGCCAAGUCUUCCAAGGUCUCGACCUCUCGGUCGUCUCGGCCAAGCCUUCCAAGGUCUCGGCCUCUCGGCCAAGUCUUCUAAGGUCUCGACCUCUCGGCCAUACCGGUACAAUUUCAAUGGUGAUAUUAUGAUUUUAAAUAUUUUUUAAGUUUCUCAAAUAGUUUUUUUUUUUUUACUUUAUAUAUAGGUUGAUAAUUAACCAAACAGAACUCACCUUACAGUGUAUUUGCAAAAAUUUAUGUAUAUUUAUGUUGCAUUAUUGGCAUUGGCACCACUCUUUUUAAAAUUAACUUUAUAAACAAACUUAUAGUACAGAAAAAUAAAACUCAUUAAAAUAUACCAAUUGCCCCAAAAAUUAAAACAUUUUUUUUCAAUGAAUAAUAAAUUGCCCCAAUGCCAAUAAUGUACCAUUCCUAAAUUUUAUCAGAACUACUUACCCAUUGAUAGAAUAAACUAAUUAAUUGAUAUAUAUUCAAUCAAUAUUUAGUGCGCCUUAUACUUAAUUAAAAAAUAGAUUUUUCAACAUCAUAUUUUAAAUAGAAAUGUUAGAUUAAUUUAAAGUCUGUGUCUAUUUUUUACUUAAUAAAUCUUAAAUAUAUUUUAUCUACACUGGUUGAUCAAGUAUCACUAGGACUAUGAUAUAAAUAAAAACAGAUCUACCAAAAAUGAAAUGAUCAUGAGAUGCAAUCUAUAUUAUAUAAUAACAAAAUAUGUGUUUUAUUUUUAUUUUUAUUUGAAAAUUUAUUUUUUGACAUCAUUUUUUUACUUACAUUCAUUUGACAAUUUUUUAUAAUAAAAUAUUAUAUAAAAAUAAUAAUAAAGAACAUAAACAAAAUAGUAUAAUAAAAUAUUAAAUUUAUAAUUGAAGAUAUGAAAGUAAUCAUCACCAUUUUAAUUUUAUGUCAACAUUAUGUACAAUUAUGCUUUUUAUGACACAAAAGUUAGAAAUAACUGAAAUUAUAAUAAAAGUAUUUCCUAUAACAAAAUAGAAGUAAACUUUCCUUUCCCUUAAUGAUGACAAUGAGAUAACUAAUUCUAGAUUUUUUUUUUUCAUGUAAUUAUGCAAAUAAACUGAGUUUUGACUGUGCUUAAUCUUCUUUGAUAAGAAGAUGUUCAUUCAUUGAACAACAGUUACCACUGAACCGAGACGCUUCUUGAGGUCAGGUUCACCAAACCAGUUCAAUAAUUGGCCUACAUUCAUAAGUUUUAAUUUAUACAAAAAAAUAAAAAAAACUCUUCAGUGUUUCAGCUCAACAUUUAUGUAUAAAUAAUGAUGCCAUUUCCCUCUUCUUUCGUGUAGACACAAUGUCAACAUUUCAACGUCACAUGUAACAAUAACACAGUGUAACCCCCACCAUUGCUUUAUUUUCUCCUAUCCUUAUAUGCUCCUUGCGAAAACCAGAGAAAAAGGGGUGCAUAAUAUUUUUUCAUACAACAUGGCAAGGAUUCCCGUGAGGUUUCAGAGAGUGGCAGCAGCGUUUGACGCUGACGUGGCGCGUGUGAGGUUCUAUGAGAGCAGCGGGAGCGAGCACUCGCCGGAGAGUUUAACCGAUUUGUCUGAUCUCGUGAAGUCUUUCAUGGAGAAGAACGAGAUAACGGCAGAAAAAGAAGUGGGCGGCGUUAUUCCCUUUGAGGAAGAGCGCGGUGAAGAACAGCUUGAGGAAACUGAGUGGUCUGAUUCGGAGAAGAUGGAAAUGUUGCGGAGUUUGUUUUCUGGAAACGAAGAGGAUGACGUGGAUGAAAGGGACGCAAAAGAGAAAAUUAGGAGAGAGGUUGAAGUUGCAUGUGGAGUUGUUGGUAACAAUUCAAAACGCCACUUGAUGUCUCAGAUGAGGGAAAAAGGUUUUGAUGCUGGUGAGUAUAACACCUAUUUUACUAUUGUUUUGGUCCUUAAAUUAUAACAUCCACACAAAUUUUUUAUGAUGUUUUUUUUUGUAUGCCAAUGACAAUAUUGUCAAAUUAGAAUAAAGAAUUUUAACUUUAUAGUUUUAUAUGCAAGGAUGCCGCAUAUAUACCAGUAUGUGUGUGGUUAUAAUUUGUAUUGUUACUGAGAAGGAUCUGUGUGAGGGAACUUGGUUUGAUGAAUUGUACCCUCUCUUUGCAGGGCUCUGCAAAACCAAGUGGGAGAAAAAUGGAAGAUUAACAGCUGGUAACUAUGAGUACAUUGAUGUCAAUUUGAAGGGAAAACGCUAUGUAGUUGAAAUAUGCCUUGCUUUGGAAUUUGAAAUUGCUCGUCCCACAAAUCAAUAUUGUGACUUGCUAAAUGUGUUCCCGUUGAUAUUUGUGGGUAAAGUGGAUGAGCUGAAACAGGUUGUGAGAUUAAUGUGCACUGCUAUUAAGGGUUCCAUGAAAAGAAUGAACCUGCACAUACCACCGUGGAGAAGAAAUGUGUACAUGCAAGCCAAGUGGUUCAGUGCUUACAAGCGAACAACUAAUGCAGUAGCAACCAAAAGGGCAUCAUCACCUUUGUCUUCUGAGUCUUUGUUUCCUAAUAGAUCCAUUGGAUUUGAAGUGCGACCUGUGAAAACACAGAAUUGCAGGGUUGAUGAUUAUGCCACUGAUGUUGGUUUCAGAAUCAGCCAUUUGACAGCUUUGUUUAAUUCUGAUAACCUUGGUGUGUAAUUGAAGUCACAUUCGUAGUAUUCGUUCUAUACAAGUUCUUUUAUUGAUGGUUGAACUUGGGAGUUGAUGGAUGAUUAUGUGAAGUGCCUUGGCCAAAAAAGUGCUUGAGAACAAUUUCUCUGAUGCACCUUCUGGCAUAUAUUUUUGUCUUUUAGGUAGAUCAUAGAUGUGGCAACUAGCAAGCAAAGUUCAUCUUUUUUAACAUUUCUUCUAUUUGUUUGAGAAGUAUAAUGUUAAAAUAAAUGGUACAGUGAAGAUAAAGAAUCAGUUUCUUAGCAAAUGGCAAAUGAUCUAUUUUCUGUGCAGCCUUCGAAUUCUAUAACUCAGUGGCACAUCAUCAUGGACAACAAACUUUAGCAUGCGUGGAUAAAAUAUUCACCACAUGCUAUAUUAAUAUAUAAGUUAUUCUACUCUUUUCAAAUUCAUUUUACCACUUAUAGAAAAUAAGAUACUCUCACUCUAAGCAACUUACUUGUACCACUUUUCAAUUAUGGUCUCCAGAUAAUGAUACCAAUUAUUAAUGAAAUCUUUUACCACUUGUUUUUAUUUAAAAAAGUGAAGUGGAUACAAGCCUUUAACUAGAAACUAGUAAAGUUAUUAAUCUAGGCAAUUUACAAUCGGAACAACAAAAAACCAGUUAAUAGUCAAUUAAUCCCAUAACAAAUUAACCCGGGGCUCAAACUUCACAAUAACCAAAGGCAAAAAAAACAAUUUAAUUUUUUUAAACAAGUUUAUUUCUAAAACCUUUUCUUAAAAUGAAUAAAAGAAAUGUAAUGCAAAUUACUAUUAUCUAUUGUAAAGACAUAGGUCUGCCGGAUUAUGGGUACUGACCUAAAAGCAGACAUCAUAGCACAAGUCAUUGGAUCUUAAAUAAUUAAUUUUGAUUACUUAAUUAAGACAUAAUCAUAAUCAUAAAAAGAAGUUAGAGAUGUUUCUAUAUAUACCAUAUAAUAUGCUAGAUGAAUAAUCUAAUACUGGUAAAAAUGUAUACUUAUCCUUAAUCAUCUUGGAUGUUUUAGGUAGGAAGUCGUCUAUACUCUUGUUUAAAACAUUUAUUAUAAAAAAAAUUCUAUUCACAUUACAAGUUUUAUUGAUUUAGGUGAAAUAUCAAUCUACUUGUAACUAAAAAAUUAAAUAUACGAAAGAAUAAAAUGGUAACAAAAUAGUUUUUAUAUUACUAUUUAAAAAAUAGUUUUUAUAUUACUAUUUAAAAAAUAGUAUGUUUUUAGAAGAAAAAAAAAACAUAUCCAUUUGAGUUGUGAUUAUAGUAUUUUACAUUAAAAAAUUGAAAAUAUUAUUUUAAAAAAUAGUGUUAAAAAAGUCCUACAUCGUUUCUAAAGUAUAAAUAUAAAUGUUAAAAGGGUAAUAAACCCCUCUCCUCAAACUGAGUGUACUAAAGAACACUUUUAAAAAGAAAAGGUGUCGAAACAAAUAUAAUAAUAAAUUAGUUUUACUUUUUUUUUUCUCUCUUAGUUGUUCCCUCCCUUGUAAAACAUAAAUAUUUAGUUUUCGAAAAUAACUCUCAAAUGUCCAUAUUUGUUGAAAUCCAUUUUCAAGACCUUAACUUAAUGUUGAAAGCAAGCCAAACACGAAAUUAGCAAACUGAACGGAGUUAAUGUUCAAAAAGAUUUAUAUUCAAAGAAAUGUUCAGAUCGGACCUAAGUAUAAGAUUUGACGAGUUUGAUUCUUACAAGUUUGUCAUCAAAUAAAAUCAAAUAUAAAUAAGUUGAAUUGAUUCAAAUUUAUAAAAAAAAUAAAAAUUAAAUAUAAUUUUUGUUUUUAUAAUUUCACAUAAAUUAGUUUUAGUUUUAAGUUCAAACUUUAAACUUAUACUAAAAACUAUUUUUACGUGUCAAACGGACUUUUUUUAUAAAGUACAAUAAAAUAUUUUAUAUUGAUUUAUUAUUAACCACAUGUUAUAAUAUUAUAAUAUAAUCCAAAAAAAAUUUAUUAUUUAAAAAAAAUAACACUAAUACUUAUUACAAAUUUCAUAACAUCUAAAAUUUAGAUUAGAAAAAAAUUAAUAUUAUAAUAUAAAAAUAAAAAACAUAUUUAAUUCUUAAAAAUAGUAACUAAUUUGAAAAACGCAGGUUAAAAUAUAAAAUCAUGAUAAAAAAAUGUAAACUAUUUUGAGUUUGGAAAAUAUAAGAGUUUUUACAUAUUUUAUGUUAGGAAAUAUAUGUGAGCUAGUUUUAAAAGCUUAGCUUUAAAAUAUUUUAUGCAUGAACAGUUUAAAUAUAUACAUAUAUUUGUUUAUUUAUAUAAUUUAUCUGUCCUUACAUUUUCAUAUUUAAAAUAUCGUCUAAAAUUUUAAUAUAUAUCAUAAUUAAUAUAAACAUAUAGUUGAAUAUGCAAUAUAGUUUUAAUUUUUUUUUCAUUUUGAAAAAAUAAUAGACUUACUGAGUUUAUCCUUGAAUAAUAUCUAUUUAUUUUUUUAAGAAAACAAUUAUAUAUAUUACGAAUAAAAUAUAAAAAAUCCUAGUGAGAGCAAUGACCCCACACGUAUUAAAGUAGAUCCCUCACUGCAUUUCUACACAAUAAAUGCUUAGGCCAAUAUUACAUUCAAAAGUUUAUAACAAUUAUAUAUAUUUUGUGGAAGCUUUGUCUUACAAUCAUGUCAUGUGAUAAGCUCCACUUCAAGAUUAUUAUCAUAUCACACUGCAUCAGAAUAUAAUUUUCAAUUCCUUUAAAUAUUCUUUUAUUUAAAUUGUUUUUGACCUUUUCUUUUUAUACUCUAUAAUUUCUAAAAUAAUAAUUUUACCUUCCAUAAAGGUAAUUUAUAAAUUAUUUGUUUAAAAAAUCUUUAGAUCAUUUUUUGAAUAGGUUUUUUAGAAUAGAAAUUUUAAAACAAAUUUUAGCUAAAAGAGUGCAGCAAAGGUAGAUAUUUAACAUUUUUGCUUCUAACGCCGUACUUUUAGGUAUCAAACUUCUAAUUUCUCACAUUUAAAACUAAUAUAUCCACUGUAUAUAUUAAUUCAAAUAUCAUACUCUUAAAUUAAAGACAGUGCUAUUAUUUUAGUUUAAACAUUAAAUAAAUCUUUGUAAUCCCCUCUUCCAUUAUUUUAAUUUAAUCUCUACACAAAUUUUGUAAUUAUCUAUUUCAAAUGAAUUGGUUGUUUUUUUUUAGAAUAUAUAAAAUGAGUACUUUAAAUACAUUAUUUCAUAUACUUACAAAAAAUUAUCUACUGUAAAUAUUAAUUGCAUAAUUUAACAUUUAUAAUGUAUAUUACACAAACUAAAAUUCUGAAUAUAAAACGUAUGCAAUUCUAUGAUUUUUAAUCUUAUUUCAACUCUUGGGCAACAAGAAAUACUUAUAUCAAACUCAAGUACUUCUUUAAACUCAAUUAACUCUCAUAAAGUAAAUAAAGUAAAAGUAAUUUAACCAAGUCAUUUUACAAAUAAGUAGAUCAGCAUUAUGAAAUCCAAAUUCCAUCCCCUAAGGUUUUGAAAGAGGUAGUCAUAAAAUAGAAAUAAUGAUUUUUUUAAAGAGAUUUUAAUUAUAUUAAAACAAAUUUUGAAUAUUUGAAUCUUCUAUUUAUAUAUUAUUGUUAUUUUAAUAAUAAAAUAUUUAAAUAUCAUUUUCAUUAUUAUCACUUAUAUUUUAAUUUUUAUAUAGUUAAUUAUAACAUCAUCUAUAUAUAUAUAUUAAAAUUAUUAUAUAAAUACUACAUUUAGUAUUUGUACUGGUACGGUUGGACAAUCAAUUCGAUGCGAUUAGUAUCACAGGUCAUCUGAUCGCUUACUUGCGAUGACAGGGUCUAUGAGUCCACACGCGACCAGCCGACCCACAGUGACGAGUUAUGGGUUGACCAAGUCAACAAGGUUAAUCCAUAAUUAAAGAUUAUUUAGCGCAACCCUAAACACAAACCAAUCUCCUAAUCCGGCUAACCAACAAAGGCUCAUUAAGGUAAUAUAAAUAACGCAGAUUCCAAGAAUCAAGUACGUCAUUAUCCACAGUGCUUUGACAAUCAAGAGUCAAAUCCUUUACUGACUUGAUCGUCGGAGUGUCUUUUGCAAGUAUCAUCAAAGUCUGUGUUCUUAAACGACCGUGAGAGGAGACGAGAAAGGAAGGAAAAGAGGUAAGAGAGGAGGAUCGAAGGCUGAGAAGACCGACAGGCAAGUGCAUUGAGCAAUAGUUCUCUGAGCCUCAAUACCGAAACAAGAACCCUAUCUAAUUUAAAGUUUAUAAAUUUUUUUAUUUAAUUUAAUUACAAUACAUUACUGAACUGAAAUUUAAAUCAACUCUACCCAGUUUGUAUAAAAAUAUAUAACUAAAUUUAGUAAAUUCAUUAAAACUUACAACUUCUCCAUUGUUUUUCAGAAAGCCUACAAUAUUAAUAAUCAUAUUCUAUAUCCACCUUACUAAAGGAAAUGGAUCAUUGAUUCUUGAGGUUACUACCAACAUUUAUUUAUAAGUUUAUGGAAAGAGCAAUCAAUGAACUUUAACAUGAAAUAUAAAAGAAUUUAUCUUUGAAAUUCUUUACUAUAUUUUUUAAAACAUGUGACAAUCUCUAAUUAUUUUGUAAUAUUUAGUAAAUGGAUAAAGCUUGGAAAUAUGUGUAUAAAAAAAUAUUUGAAUAAAUUGACCAGAUAGACAAAGAAUUAUGUGCAAAUGACUUUUUUGGUGACCACUAUUUUGUAGUAAAAUAUGAAUGAAAACCCAAAAAUGGUAUAUAGAUUCAGUGGGUAAGACAAAUCAAUGAAACAAUCAUGUGUCUUUUCUUUCUUCUUUCUUUAUUUUGAUUCAUGUCUUUGUACUACCAUACCUGAAAUGGGGUAUCAGAUUUUGUGUAUGCAUGCCUCUUUUUAUCACACAAUUUUAUAAUUAUUAUCAGACAAAUACUUCAUCCUACUCUUCAUAAAACAGCAAUUAAAAUUAUCAUUCUUGUGUAUUGCUUAUGUCGGUUUCAAGUUUUAAAAUAACAAUAAUAAUGUUAAAACGGUUGAAUAUAUUAAAAUAUAAUUCAAUUUUUAAAAUUAUAAUUCUUUGAAGUCGUCAAAAUUUGGGUCCGAUUAAUAAAAACGGAAUGUGGAUAAAUACAAGCCCGAUCCAAUUGGAUCCGACCCGCUCCAGUGGCAUCAAAAGGCACUAUGGACGGCCCUGAUUGGCCAAAGCAAAAACCAGAAGACGGGAUCUCUGACCCAGACGGAAAAGAAGAGACAGUGUUUUGUAUUUAUGUAGAGAGAGAAAGGGAAAGAAGGAGAGGGUUUUGAAGAGAAGAAAAAUUGCAACAAAAUCAAAAUAUUAUCUGAAGAAAAAAGAAACUGAAAAAAGGGCGGGUGGAUUUUGUUUUGGCGGAGGCGGAUCGGAGGCAGAUCUGGUAUAGAUGGAGGGAGUUGGGGCCCGACUAGGACGGUCCUCGACUCGGUAUGGACCGGCCACGGUGUUCACUGGACCGGUGCGGAAGUGGAAGAAGAAAUGGGUCCACGUAGCACCCUCUUCUGCUUCCUCUAAUUCCCACACCAAUCACAAUCACAACCACACUCAUUCUUCCAACGCCUCUCAUCUUCUCCUCUACAAGUGGACCCCUAUCACUCAAAGCCACAACACCACCACCAACAACAACUCCAACAGCGCCACCGCCAACGGUAACGCCAAGGAUGUGCCUCCGGAGCAACCCGAAGAACCGCCUCGGAGAAAAUUCAAAUAUGUUCCGGUAUUCAAAUUACACUGUUUCCCUCACUUCUUAAUUAGAUUAUUUUAGGGUUUAAUACAAACAUCACUGAUAUGUUCGCUAAGUGUGAAUUGAUUGCUUGUAGUAGUGACUACAAUAUCCUGAUAAUUUGUGUCUUAUUCGGUUUUUCUUGUUUCCUUCUUGUCCCCUUUUCUUGAAGCACGAUUGAAAGUUGUUUCCUGAUAUUAAUCUUUUUCUAAAUUUUAUUUAUUUAUAAAAGGUAAUGAAUGAUAGGAAAUGUGGGAACAAUGAGAUUACAAACAACUGAUUCUAACGGUAGCUUUCUUAUCUUUUUUUUUUUUACCGGUUAAGAUUUGCUUGUUGGGAUGUUGGGAAACUCAAAUCAAUUUGGUGGGAUUUAAUUUAAAUUGAGAUAAUGUGUAUCUGUGAGUAUUUGAAUUAAAAGCAUAGUUUUAAGUGGGAUUGCCAAUCAGCUGAUCAAGAAGAAGCAUUUUUAUUUUGGUGACUUUUGUAUCUCAAAAAUAUUAAAUUAGUUUUCUAACUCCUACAAAAAUAUUUUAUUGGGGAGGAGGUUGAAUUACCUAGCCAUCUUUAUGUUCCUAAAUGUCGUCAAAUGAAACUGCCCACUUUGCAUUACUGCAUGAGCUAUCAGUUGGUCAAAACUUUGAAGAAAGAGUUAAGAAACAUGAUUUUUUUAUCCCCCUCCCCUCCUCUCUACCACUAUCCCAAGUGUCCAAGUUCUUUGUUUCAGAAGUGAACUUCACUCAACUUUUAAUGCUCCAAAAAUGGAGUGUAUGGUAAUUUGAUAUGGGAAUUUACUCUAGAACUAGAGGUGAUUAGUGAUGAUUAAAUGAAGGUAAUCAAUGAUAAAACAUAUAAAAAAGUGGGUUUGUUUGUCCAAGGCAGGGAUUUAGAAACAAAUGAUAACUGCAAAUGUGCAAUUUAUAUGAUAGAUGAACAUAACAACUCUAGUGCAUAAGAUAACAUUUCUCAGUCACUCAAAUAUCUGAACUUAAGUUCUAUGAAUAAGAAAAAGGGGAGUGAGAACCUAAGUGUUGGAGAGAAGGACUGCUUUUAUGGAGAUGGAAAGGGAGGAUAUAUUUUCAUAGUUAUUUGUGACCCUAAAUAGAGUUUAAUGGGGAGGAUCCAUUUGUGGUUUUCAAUAAUUUGUUUCUAUAUUCUUUUUUGGGGCAGGGGGUAUUCAAUUCCCCUUGAUGGAAGAUGAUUUAGGCUGAAUGUGCACGUGGUUGGAAACAACAUUUCUGAGAAAUACUUUUUUCUUUCAAAGAGCUUUCUCAGAAAACUGACAAAAAUAAGUGAUUAUUUAUGAGGAGUUAACUGAACCAAACAUGCAUACACUAUAGGUGGAUGGUUGAUCUCAUUUUCUGAACAUCUGUAAUAUAAUCUCAUUUCCUUUCCUGAUAAACAUUUGUAGGAUUUUUAGUCGAUCAUUUCUUGAUAAGCUUUUUUCUGUUGUAUUGCAUUAUAUGCAAGACAACCAGCGUAAUAAUAUUAUUAACCAUAAACCCCCAAUUUAUUCCUCAAAAUAUUAUCAAAAUCAAUUUUGCAAUGACAAAGAUUUUGGUCCUGAUAAAGAGUCACCUAUGGAAUAAAUUUGAUGUCAAAAACCAAACUGAUGUAAUAAUCUUUCAAGGGCUAACUUGAUGUUCCAAAAGUCAUGAGGGCUAAAAUGGAGGUUCAUUCUUCUUUUAGUUAUCUAGAUGCAUUUGUAGUAUGUUAGAUCUACAGUAUGUGGUUUGCCAUGCACUGGUAUGAUUUCAAAUUGGUGGUAUUGAUGCAGUUAGCCACAGUUUGUCUAAAGAUGUUUCUUCUCAUUAAUUAUUGUGGGACAUGAUUCGGUGGUGUAUUGUUGUAGAUUUAUUAUAGUGUUGUAUUGGGCAUUUUACACUUUCCUCUAAUGUUGGAAAUGGUAUGUGCAACAUUAUUGCUGUUUAUCUUGUUUCCUAUGAAUGCAUUCGCACCACCAGUGAUUUUGCUUUCAAAUCAGUAUUGUAUUUGUGAGUUAUCUUUAAAAAUUGUCACAGAACUAAUCAUAUUCAAUAUUAUAAAGUAAUUCUGCUGGACUAACCAGAGCUUUUGUUCCAUGGUGUUCUUGCACUAUUGAUGACUUAUUCAAAUUUUCACGCUUUUAGUGAUGAUAAUGAAUUAAUACGAUACUAUUCUGUCCAGUGGCACUGAAGUUGGGAAGGGGUGAUAACCUGGGUAGUCUGAUGUUGCAGGUUGCUUUACUAGAGGAGCAGAGAAAUGAGGCUGCUGAAAAUGAGGGUGCUGAGAAGGUUGAUGAAUCUAAACCAAUUGAUGCUGAUUCGGGUGCAGCAGAGCCAGCUCGCAAGAAUGAAACUUUGGAUGAAAAGCCUGACAUAAAUGAUGUUCCAAUGGAAGAAAGUCAGGUAAAGCUUUGCGUGUUUCUUUGUUUACGUCAUGUUUCUCCACAUUUUCUUCCUAUUUUAUAGAGUAUUGUCUACAAAGGAGUAAUUGCAGCCCACAUAAAUUGAUGAAUGGGAAUCAUUUAUGUGGUAAAAAUUUGACCAUGAUUGAUGGUUCUCAUCUGUCUUUUUAGAUUUUGGACAAUUUUUAUGGUUCAAACAAAGCAUUAGGCAAUUUGAAAAUUUAUGUAUUGGCCAUUACUAUCAUGUACUCAGUGGUCUGCAUGUCUCAAAUAUGUUCUGUUACUAAAUUUAAAGUUCACAGGGGUGACCAAUGAACUGAAGGGCAGAUCCCCUUUCGUUUUAAUAAUAAUAUGCAAAACUAGUGACUUUGGUCUUGUAUUUUUCAGUCUCAAUACAAAAAUCAGGUGGUGCGCCAAGAUCUGAAUGAAAGCACGUUGGAUUUAAGUUUGGGCUUGACAUCACACGAAGAUGAACAUGAUUCUGAUUCAAAAACUAAUCAAACAAGAGAUGGGUAGUGACGCUAGUUAACUUGAGUGGUAAUGAAACAUGAACAGGGGUCUCAUGAUUCUACGUUGGACGUAAAUGGUUCAGCCUAUACAUUUGUCUGAUGGAAGGGAAUUUUCCCCUGGCUUUAUGUUCAACCAUUAGUUAUUGUAGGUUGGAUUAUUGUAACGGCAUAUGGCUUUGAUGUGGAUUUUUUUACUCAGUGUCCUUGCUGCGCUGAUCGUAAUAUGUAUUGAACGGAUAGUGUACCCAUUCUCUCAAUCAUUGGACAUAUUUUUGUCCAUAUAUUUAUUGAAAUAGGAUAUUAUGGACUUUGAACCUACAAUCAUGUGGAGCUAUAUUGGAUUUUUUAGAAAUUAAGAUUCCUGACAAAAAUCUGUUUGUUCUACUGAUUAUAGUUGAAUAAUUUUGCCUUUUGAAUUGAAAUAAUACCACUUCAUCAUUUAUUUUAGUAGAUUAAUUAAUUUUCACAUGCUGUUUUUAAGACUGAAAAUAUGUGAUAGAGAGAUAGAAGGAUAAAGUUAUGUGGCUUAAAUGAGAUUAAAGUGAUAAAUUUGUUUUUUUAUCCCUAAUAUAUAAUUUCAUGGGUAUAAAAGUAGAAAAAUGAUAAAUAAGAAUAAGAAAAACAUUACUUAUAUUUGGUGCUUGAAGGAAAUAGUUACAAUGACUAUAACAUCAUCAAUAAAAUGAUUAUGAUGAUGAUGCGAUAGUGACAAUAAAUAUAUAAGGGGCUAAAGAUAAUGGCAACAAUAAUAAAAGAAAUAAUAAUUAUGAUAACUGUGAUAAUAAUAAUAAUAGUAAUAAAAGAAGAGACAUUGACAAUAAUAAUGAAAAAAUUAUAACAUUAAUGAUUAUGGUGAGAGUAGUUAAUUACUUUAAUUGUUAUGAUAUGAUGAUAGUGAAAAAAAGAAAUAAUAAUAAAAAUAGUAAAAAUAUUGGAUAAAAGUUUUGAAAAAAAUAUUAAGAGUGAUGAUGGUUGAUAUAAUAAUGAGAACUAUGAUAAUAAUAAUAAUAAUUUAUAUAAGAUAUUGACAAUAAUAAGAAUAUACGAUGACAUGAAGAAAUGAUAAUGAUGAUGAUUCAUAUAAGAUAGUAAUAAUAAUAAUAUAAUAAAAAUAAUGAUGAUGAAGAGAAGAGAUGAUAGAUUAUGCAAUAUUGAUAUCUUUUACCCUAACUCAUUCCCAUUAAAAUAACCAAACAAUUGUCUAGAAAAUUAUAUGAUAGUUAUCCUAUUCUAACAAAAAAAAAACUUUUAAAUUAUAUAUACUUCCAACAUAAUUAAAUAUGUACUACUGAUUUAUAAAAUAUAUUCUAAAAAAUAUACAAUUUUUUUUUUAAUUUUAGUUCAUAUAAUUAAUUAUGUGUUUUAUGCAAAGUAGAUUCUUAAUCAUGUUUGAGUACAUAAUAUAUUAUACUUCCAACAAGAUUAAAUACGUGUAUUGACUCACUGUGUAUCUCUUUCAAUAUUAAUAUAAUUUAUUAUACAUUUUUGUAAUCAGUGUUUUCAUAAUGGUGUUAAAAUAUAAGUCUUCAAUGUGAUUACAAGGUCAAAAUUUAUUUUUUAUUUUAUUAACUGUGUUUACUUUCACUAAUUUUUUUUAGUUUAGAGGUAAAAAUCUCAUUAGUAAGACUUAUAUUUUUUUAAAAUAUUUCUAUAACAUUUAAAUUGUAUCAAAUUUAUAAAAGUUAUAUGUUCUCUUUGCAUAUGUGCAUGUCUAACUUAAUUGAUAGAAUAAGAUGCAUGCUAAAUUUAUUGACAUAUAUUCAAUUCUUAGACUAUCUUAACAAAACAUAUUUCUACAAGUACUUUUGAAUAAAUCAUGAGUUACUGAUAUCCAAAUUGUUUACAAAAAUUGAAGUUAUUUUUCUAAAUAAUUGUUUUUUAUCAGUAUAGUUUUUAUGUUGAGAGAGCAAGACACUAGAGGAGAACACAUGGAGAGAGUAAAAGGAGUAAAGAAAAAAAAAUAUAUAAUGAAAAAAAAGAGUGUCCCUCCUUUUCUUUCUUUUCUAUUGGAAUUAAGAUGUUAGAGUGGAUUUGAAAUUGAAAGAAAUGGAAAAGUAUUUUGAUAAUGCACAUUCUAGCAUUUAUUGUAAAAUGAAAAAGAAUUUGUUCUAUUCUUGAGAACAAGAAGACUUUUAAUUCUUUCCACUCAUAACUAAACAUGGACACUUUUGUUUAAAGACGAAAACACGCUUUGUAUUUAUUUGUUGGACACGAACAUGUAAAUAGAGAAUAAUUAUAUGCUCAAGUACUCUCCUUUAGUCUCUUUUGGUAAUUCUCUUUAAUUUAUCUCAUUGAUAUUAGUUUAUUGGUAUAAUUAGUCAAGUCACUUCGUGGCCACACAAUAUAUUAUUCUUCAUUAAAUAUGAUUUUAUCUCCAUUAUCUUCUCACUUUUAUUUAAUAAAAACAUUUAUGUUAUUGAACAUCUUGUGUUAGGUUAUGUCCUUAAUUUUAUGAUUUACACUUCAUCUAGUUGCACUUUGAUACCAACCAAAAGUGAGAAACAACCACUACCUAUCAAUAUAUGUAUUAUAAAGCUAUAAUAUCAUAAGUCUCAACCCUUUGAUCUCGGAAGGUGAUUAGGAUGCAAAGUGUGUCUGCUAUUUUUCUUCCUGCAACUCUAUAUCUUAUAUUUUUUAAAAUACUAAAAAUACUUUUAUUUUAUUAAUAUUUUUUAUUUUCAAAUAAAUAAUCUAAAAAAAACACUAAAUCAUAAAAUAAAAAUAUCUUCUGAAUUCUAUAAUCUAUAAUAUUUCAUUUCAUAUCGUAAAAUUCAAAAAAUAUUGUUCCAAAAUACACCUUUUUAGAAGAAAAAAAAAUUCUAAAUUAUACAAUUCAAAAAUACAUCUCAUAUACAAUCUGAAAAGUGUAAAUAAUAAUAAAAAAAAAUUAUAGAAUGUAUUGUUUAAAGACAAAAUUGUUUUUUUGUAUGACCUAUGGAAUAGCAUAAGAAGUUCCGGAGUUGCAGGAAGAAACAUCCUCUAACUGUUGGCAUUGGUGAUGUAGUGAGUCCUUAUAGUGCAACAAAGAAAAUCCAUGAUCCAUUGCUAAGAUUUUGUUAAAAUAAUUUUAUUUAAAAUUUAUAAUUCUAAAUACAAAGAAAUUAAAUUACACUCCUAUAGUUUGUAUCAAAUAUUAAUAUUAUUUAAUCUUUUUUUAUUUUAUGAAAUUUUUAAGGUUUUUUCUUAAAUUAAAAUUAUUUUACAUAUAUUAUACAUUUAAAAAAAAUUAUAUUAAUAUAAAAUUAUUUGAUGUUUUAUAUAUAUAUAUAUAUCCAAAUUAAUCUAAUAUAUUUUUAAAAUAUAUUCAAAUAUAAACUAUUUUAUGAUUUUAUUAUUAUUAAUUUUAAUAAAAUUUAAUUUAUAAUAUGAAGCUAAAACUGAAUUAACAAAACUCAUUUUUUAUAAUUAUAAGCUUCACAGUUUGAUAGACAAAAUUCAUUUUUUAUAUAAAUUGAUUAAUACUGUAACAUUUCAUAAAAUUCAAUGUAAACCUAACAUUAAAUCUUUCCAUCAUUUUUAACUCGUGCUAAUCUUUUUUAGUGUCCAUCUUGAUCUAUUAUUCUAGUUAAAGUUAUGUUUAAAAUAAAAAGUUUUCUAACUGGUCGUGUUUGACCCGUUCCUAUUUCAUGCUGACAUUGAAUCAUUCACUUCAUAAUAAUAUUAGUUUAAAUCAUAAACAUGUUUUCAUCACUACAAAAAUCACUUUUGUUUGUUUUGGUAAAUUAUAUUCUUUUUGCUUUUAAUUGUUGUAAAAGAAUAUAUUUUAAUUCUGUAAAUUAUUUUCUCUUUUAAUAGAAAAAUAAAAUGAUUUAACAUUAGCACUAAUGACAUGAAAGAUUUUAAAAUAAGAUAAAUACAACAUUUGAUACUACCUAGGGAUCAAGUGACAGAUUGACUACAAGUGUGAUUACUUUAAGACCAAAGGAUAAUGAUAAGAACAAAUAUCAAGGAUGUCCAUUAUGCACCAAUUGUAUUCAGUUGCCCGCUAAUCUUGAUUUCCUUAUUUUACCAUAAUCAAAUACAGCAGCACACAAGUUAGAAUACUUUUCAACACUGAAACUUGUAAAAGUACAAAUGAAAUUAUAGGUGGAACUGAAAUUACAACCUGGGCACCAGCUUCCAAGUACACAAAAACAUGAAAUAUUUGUUGGCAUCAUUCUUUCGCGAUUUCAGCCUCAGAGGAAUAAUCAUGCCUGGAAAUUAGCAUAAGUUAAUAUAUGAUGUAUCAUGGAGAUUAUCACAAAACAGAGUUUCAUUUCACAAUGGAAUUGCGUUUCUUCCCUGCCUAUUGCCUUUUAUUUUUCUCAUAAACCAUACCAAUAAUACUACACCUCAAAAACUUAAAUUCAUUAAUGUUGAUAAAAUAAAGGCUGUGACGCAUGAGAUUCCCACUAUUUUAGGGAACAGGGCAAGGUGAGAUGUAUUCAACCUUAUUAUCACACGAGGAAGAAUGUGUGUCAAGAACCCUCUAACUCAAGGUCUUGGGGAGGAUAAAUAAUCCAAAACUUAAAAAAAAAAAUACCCGUACCGCAAUUUUCGUGAGAGUUGGUACAAGCCAGUCCCUGCCAUUGCAAUGUUUACACUAAACAGGUUCCAAUUUUUCUGCAACAUAAACAAAUUCUAAUAAAUGUUCUGGAAUAUGCAAAAAACUGCACUGUACACCCCCUUUCCACCACCAAAAAGAAUCACUAUUUCAGCAAUUUCCAUUUUUCUUAUCGGCAGUAUAGUAUGAUCAGUAAGAAAAAGUUCAUAAAAUAGCAGUAAUGCAAUAAAAGUAGUACAUAGAUAGAUACCACCGAAUUAACUUAUAGUCUAUGACUCUUUGAAUAUAUAUGAUAGAUGGGAUAAGAUGGAAGUUGAGAGAAUGAAAUAUAAUAAAGUUAUCAUUCUUUUAUUAGAUAUUCUAUAAUGGAAUACAGUAAUGUUUCUCUGGAAGUGAAUGGAAUGGUAACAAAGCUAGUCAACAAUAGGUUGAUUCUAUUUACAUGCACCACAAGCGCACAGAGAAGUGUGAGCUGCUUUGUAUACAGAAAACUUUCAGAACGAAAGUAAGUUUAUGAAGAAUGUCUAAGCGAGCUACAUAAUUAUCUCAUUAUUCAAUUUCACUAUGAAGCCAAUAAGUUAAGGUUAGAAGCCAAAUUGCAUAUUAGAAGUACCACACUAUUAAAUGAUCCUCAGUGUCAAAAAUAUACAUCAUCAUUUACUGCACUAGUUAAAAGAAUCUGUCUAAAAAAAAAACUUACUGGAGUGAUAACAGUGCUGUAACGAGACCAGAUAAUUCCGGUAGCUGUGACCGCUGCAUAACAACAAAAAAGCAUUUACCAAAGUAUAGAUGUAGAUGAACCCCAACCCCAGUGCAUAAGGUUUAAACUGCUAGCAACUUGAAUACAAAGUGUUAUCCACACCUUUUGAGGAACCCAGACAUGCAUAAUUGCAUAUGUACAUAAAAAUCAAAUACAAGCGAAAAACUAAAGCACUUGGAGUGCGAGUGCGAGUACAAGUGUGUGAGAGAGAGGGACAGUCAGAGGGGUAUAAAGUAGAUAGCAGUAAAUGCAGCUGUUUAUGUACAUGCAUACCUAUUUGCUGAGGAUAGGAAAGUUUCUCAGGUGGUUUGGCGAAAUCAGCAAUAUUAGCUAUGCUGAUGCCCCACUUAAAGGUAGGUGCCCAGAAGUGAACUGCAUAAAGCAAAUGGUUAAUUCUUGCACUCGCUCAGGCUGACAAUGACAAUGAUACUUAAUAAAUUGAUCACUAGAAACAUAAAAAGUGUCAACAAUUUGAAUUAGGAGGAAAAUAAUGACAGAUAGUUGUAUAACACAAGCAAAUCUAUGCAUAUAAUUGACAGGACUGCAUUCAACAAUUUGAUCUUUUCAACUGCAACUCCAAAACUAAUUACCUUCAUUUACCUUCACACAAUGACCAAUUCAGGUUGCAAAUGUAUUCCUUAGAUUCAUAUGAUUUGCACAGCCUUUCCAGACAAAUUCCAGCAAAAAUAAUGCUUAUAAAAUAUUGAUAUUUGGAGAUGACCUUAUCCUUCAAAACAGCAUCUCAUUUUCAUGCACAAGUUUGUUUGUUGAUAUCUUCUUCUUUUACCAGAUGACAACAUGUGAGCAAUCAAGUUUUGCAAGUCAUUCAUAUCAAUUAUAUCUACCCAACCCUCCCCUAGUAUACAGAAAUUAAAUUAAUAGACGAAUCCAACUUCCCAACAACCCAGAUAUCUUGCACAUUUGUGUAACCCUUCACACCCUAAAAAUAAAAAUAAAAAGACGCAACCCAUAGCCAAAUUAGGUUAAUUUUUUUAAAAAAAAUAAGGUUAUAAACCAAGCAAUGCAAGUGCCUUUAAUCAAAUCACUGAAUCAAAAUUCGUAAUUUAAGUCAACUCCGUCGCUGAUUAAAUAAAUAAAAAAAUCAACCACAGAACAAUGAACAUCGGAACCACCAGAAAACAACAUAGGCAAAAAAAACACAAACGAAUUCCACAAAACGAAAUGCCAAAAACUCACUGGUUUUGGGCCCAGCUGGGUGAUUCCAUAAAGCUUGAAGCUUUCCAGCCGCCAUGAAUUGAAUCUUUGUUCUUCUCUUCGAUUGAAAGCGAAACGGUUGAGCUUCUACCACUGCGGCAAAGAGAGAAAGCAAAAUACUUAUAUAUAAAACAAUAUUAUUAUUUACAGUUAUCAUCCACGGGACAGGAGAUCCACUCCGCAACUUCAAUCAAUCACAAUUUGACGCGUGGCUGCUUACACUGGGUCAACACCUUUCUCUCUUGUUGACCUAUAGAGAAGGAAAAACUGGUAGAAAUAGAAUCAAAAUAUUUUAUUUUAAAACAAAUACAUAGUUUCUAAAGUAUUUUGUAUUAGUUUAUGAAAAUUAUAAAUAAGUUAAAACAAUAUCUACUCGUAUUAAUGUAUAUUAAUAUUCUCUUAAUUUAUAUAAAAAAAUAUUAUGAUUUAUUAAUAACUAAUACACUUUAGUUUAAGUUAUUUAAAACUUUUUAGAAAAAUUAUAAUAAUAUUUUUUUUCCAGCUAACAUUAUUAGAUAAUUUAUAUAUAUUCAUAACUAAUUAUUUACAAUAAAAAAAUGUAUGAAUAUGUUUUAUUCAAACUUAAAAUUAUAAGAUUUAAAAAAAGGUAUAAAUAAGUUAAACUAGUAUAAUAUUAAGCAGUAUUAAUUGAUUUGUUGUGCGCUUUUAAUGCUUUUAAUUGCUAUCUAUUUAAAAAAUAUAUUAACAAAUAAUGAGUAAAGGAUAACAGUGUUCAUGAAUAAUUUAAAAAUCAAAAUUAGUAUCAAUAAUAGCAUGUAUUAUACUUUUAUCUGUGAUCCAUGCAGGUGGGAAAAUGUAAUUUACUUAUUUGAUGCCCAAAAACACUUUUUUUUGGGAACAAUUCAAAACAUUUCUAAUACAAAAAAUAAAAACUUAUUUUAUCAGUUUAAAAUAACUAAUUAUAGACACUUGUUAUUCAAAUUUUAUGUUCAAUUAUUUAUAGUCAAAAUAAUCAUUCAAAGUUUAAUAAAAUUGAAUUUUCAAUUCACAACAUAUUAAAGUUUAAUAAUAUUAAAUCUAAUUAUUAUACUAAGUUUUAGUCAAACCAAACAUGACAGUCAAACAUUUCAAAAUCAUUGAUAAAAUUGUUAUCAAUUUCUUAUAUUUACAUAUGCAUAAACUUAGUUAUUCAAUUCUAGAUUUCAACUCAACUUAAAUAAAAUAUAUAUAUAUAUAUAUAUAUAAUCAUUCAUAAAGUAUAAUUCACUUUACCUGAAAGUUACUUCACUCCAAACAAUUGUCAGAAAAUAUUAAAAAAAAAUCAAAAUUCUUAAAACCUAUAACAAUACAAACACGUGAAACAACCAAACAAUCAAAAGUUAAACUAGUUAAAAUAAUCAUUUUUCUCAAUUUAUCAAAUAAUAUUGAACCCAAAUACUAGUAAAAAAAAUGAAAUUAAGAUGUUUUCAAACAAAAAAAGACACUUGUUGUAAUUGAAAUAUGUCAUGAUAGAAUUGAUUCUUAACACAUAAGAAAAAUACAGAAGAAAUAAAGAUAAAUAAAAAAGAAAGAAUAAAGGAAUGAAGAAGGAAAAAAAGGUUAAGUGUGUUGGGCCUAACGUUUUACAACUUAAUUGGGCUUUUUCUUGUUCCACGGGUAAUGUGACAUAAAUAUUCUCACAAGUUUUCGGAAAAUCCAAAUCUGUAAGUCAGAUUUUCUCUUCCAGUAGUAUUCUGGAAUUCAUAACUAACACACCAUUACUAGGCGUAAAACAAAAAUAUCUUUCUGUUUUAGUUCCGCAUAUAUAGGUUUCAAAAAUAAAAAAAGACGUAAAUAAAUAUUCUCAUAAAAUACAAUUAUGAAUUAUCCAUAUAUGAGUUUACAAAAACCAACUUUUUUUAUAUGAUAGAUAUCAAUAUCAAAUGUUUGGACUCAAGAUAAUUUAUAAUAAAAAGUUUUGUUUUUAUAAAUUGGGUAGUUCAUAAUUGUAUUUUAUGAGAAUAUUUAUUUACGUCUUUUUUAUCUUUUAAACCUGUAUAUGCGGAACUGAAAUAGAAAUAUAUUUUCUCAUAGAUGGAAAAUAUAAUGAAAAAAUGAUUUUUUGAACGGUGAUAAUCUGUUUUUUCCAGAUUUUUAUUCACAAUUUGUUGUUUUACGCCUAGUAAUGGUGUGUGAAGUAUGAUUUUGCAAAAUAAAGAAAUUAAAGUAUUCAUAUCACAGAAACAAUUUCUUCUCGUCAUUAAUGAUGGUUGUUCAAAUUAUGCAGAUUGAUAAAUGAACUAGCUAAUGUUAAGAUCAUUACUUUCAAGAUUUUUUAAUUAGUUGUUUAAAUAAUUCUAAACUGUAAAGAAGAUAGCAUGUUUUUACAUAUUUUUACAUAUUCUUUUUACAUAUAUAAACUUGAUUUACUUUAAUCACUCAUCAUUUUUAAUUUAUCGUCUUUUAUUUUAGAUCUAAAUUAAAUUAUAACAUUUCUAAAGUUGACAAUAGUUAAAAGUGAUGUUAUAUCACAAUUAAGACUGUUAAAAUCUAAAAUAUAAUUUAUGAAUUAAAAAAGUAAUCUUAACAUAUGAAACUACAUAUUUAUUAUGACUUUUAAAUAUAUAAAAUAAAUAUUUAUAAUGCAUAAUGCUAGUUUAUCAAUGAAGUUGCAUCGUUGAAAAAAAUAUAGAAAAAACACGGCCUCUUUGCAUAAUUUUCUUAGUGCAAUUUACGAAAAUAAAUUACAUUAAAAUUGAUAAAUUUACGAUUUAUAAUUAUUGAUAAAAGUACAUUAAAUAAAAUGAAAAUAAAAGGAACUAAAUGUCUUGAUCCUUUAAAAUUAGUGCAAAGUAACUUUUUAUUGUAAUAUUGGGUAUUAUGUAAUAAUUUAGUGUGGUGAAAAAGGUUUAUUUGAUAUUUUUGGGUGUUAAGCUUUCUUAGUGAGUAAGUAUUUGACUAUAGGUAAGAAAAUUGAUUUCCCAUAGUUUGUAUUGUACCCUCAUCUUUAUAUCGUUGUGGACAAAAAAAAAUUAUUUUUCAAACCAUAUAAGACUAUGGUGUUUGUGAAAUUAUCGUUAUCGGAGGCAAAAUCUUGCGUAUUACUUUUUGCUUGCAAACUGUUUACUUAUAAGUGAAGAUACUGAAAUAACUUUUGUUUCUUUCAAUAAAUUUUUCUUACACCUAUAGAUAAUAGGUUAAGAAAUAUACAUACAUAUAUGUAUAUAGCAUUAUAUUAUAGAUCUAUAUAAUAACUUCUAAAUAUAUAUUUUAAUUUGAAAAUAAGAUUCAAAUUUAUAUAUGGGUCCAUUUUUAUUUAUCUUUAUUUUUUAGUUAUUUUAUAUUCACUUUUUUAUUGAUAUUUUGUAAACAUUUUAAAAUUCUAUUUAAAAUUAAAGUGCAAUUUUUGUCUCAAUAUCGAUAAUCGGAAUGUGUUGGUCGAUUGGAUUGAUAAAACCAUUUAGUAACUAUUUGAAAAAAACAAAAACUUAUCAUGAUAAAAACCGUUAUUUAAUUUGGAUUUUUUUUAAAAAUAUCGACCAUAUAUAUUUAUAUUUAUUAUUUUACAUAUACAUUUUUAAUAUCAAUAAAUAUUACUGAAACUUUGAUUUAAAUAUGAUAACAUAUUUCUCUUAAUUAUUAUAAAUAUUAAUAAUUAUAAAAUUAUGUUUUAAUCUAAUUUUUUACAGUAUAGUACUUUUAUUAAAGUUAACAAGAGUAUAGCUUAACUAUGUUUUGAACAAUUCACCUCUAAAUAAAUACUUUAUUGAAUUUAAUUUAAAAAAUAUUAGUCAUUGCAUAAAAAGAAUGGCACAUAUCAAUUAUUAUAUUAGAAGUAAUUGAUUAAACGAUCAUAUAUACAAUAUUUAAAAUAAUUUUUUAUUCAGUUAUGAUAAUUGAUAUUUUGUAUUUUUAUAAUAAGUUUUAAAAUUUUGAAAUAAUCAAUCAUCUUUAUAAUAAAUUAAUAAUUGAAUUUGUCAUAAAGAUUUGUGAAGAUGUGCUUAAAGUUUCAUUACCCAAAUUUUCUGAAAAAUUAAGAACACACAUUUAUGCUUUUUAAUCAUAAAAGAUGUUCAUUUUAUCAGUUAUAAUGUAUAUUUAUUAUAUAAUAUUUUAGAUUUUCAGUUAUAAUUGAGUAUCCGUUAUUUUUAUCUUUUAUAAUUUAUUUUUUUAUAUAUAUUAUGUAUAUAGUAUUUAAUAAUAUAAGUAACUAAUUUUUUUAAUAAAAUAUUUUUUUUUCUAAAUAAAAUAUAUAAAACUAAUAUAACGCGUAACCAUGCUAGUAAUAAACAUAUUUUUUCACUAUAUAAUUUUCUAUUUCAUUCUUUUACUAAUACUGGGAUAGCUUCUAGUACGCUCGUCAUGAUAAAGAAUAAGAGAUUUCAUCGACUUUUUAUUAAUUGAUGUAUUAAUUAAUUAAUUAAAAUUAUUAAUAAACCUUGGAAUCUAAUUAUCACAUCCCAUGACUCAACCCACACACUAUAUCACGUUACAUUAUAUUAACGUUGCCUUACCUUGCAUAAAUAUCUCUUUAAUCUCAUCUCAUUCAUUUCUUACACAUUUAUAUACAUCACAGUCCAUAACUACAAUUAACAUGGUAAAUUUAAAUAAAAUAAAAUAUUAAAAUAUGAAACAUAAUGUUUAACCUACAUCAUGCAACAUUCAAACUUUUUAAAAUUAGUUUGGUAACGUAAUACAUGACAUAUUAAGCAGAGGAUUAUUGCUAGAAUAAAUUUUCAUUAUUUAAAUGCCAUUUUCCAAUAAAAUACUAUUUGUUAUUGGUGAUCAUCUUACUCAAACAAAGAAUAUUUAUUUAAGUGAGAGUUAUCUUACUCAUGCAUGACAAACAACUAAAAAAUUAAUCAAAUAUAAACAAAACACAAUUCAACCCAAAACUUGGACCAUAUUACUUUUAAUCAAAAUAAAAUUUGUUUAGCUUAGGUUGGUUUAAAAAUCCUAACAAAUAAAAUAUGAUACUCCCUAACAUAAUCAAUAAAAAAAACCACUCUUAAUCAAAUUCAUAACUCGCUAUAUCAAAAUAUUAUAUUGAAAAUCAAUUCAACUCCAAAGUUCAAUUGCCAAACAAUUUCCAACUAACUCAUGCAUAAAUUUAGAAAAUAACCUAUAACACCGAUUUCACAUUUUCACACGUUUACACGCUUAAUACUCACCCAACUUAUAAAUCAUCACCAUCAAUUUCUACAAGACCCAACAAAUAAAAAAUAUCAUCAUAAUUCUUCAAUUAAUACAAAUCCUAUUCUAUUUAACCAAAUGAACCUAUAUUACCACUAAAUUUCUCAUAUUUUCACAAUCUAAAAUCACUCAUACACUUAUAACUUAAAAUUCAUAAUAAAGUUAGUUUGUGUUACUUUAUUUUAUUUUAUACAACUAGAUAUUUAAGACUCCAAAAAGAGAAUGACGCAAAAUCUCAAGAAAAUCCCCUGAAUACUUAAGGAUUCAAGCUCAAACCAAUAAUUACCCACAAACUUUAAAACCCCAUAAUCUCUUUAACUAUAAAAAAUUCAAGUAAUGUAUGCAUCUUUUAAAAGAAGAGAUGAGGUUGAAGAAAAGAAAAAAAGAUGACUAAACCAAGACCAAACUUAAAAUUAGUACUUUAUAUGAUUAUUGGGAUUAUUGGGAGGAGAAAAAGGAAUUGAAAGAGAUGUUCCAAAGGGAUAACUUUUUUUUGUGAGAUUUCUAUUGACACAAUUUUUUUUUAUUAAAUUUACCUUCUUGUUCUGUUUUUCUAUCAUUAAGACUUGUUGUGCUAGUUCAAAUUCUUUUAAGACAAUACCCUUUCAAAGUUAUUAUUUUCAUCUCGAACUUUAAAUACAAAACUAAAUUAAAACUUAAACAUAUAUAAUAUAUAAUUCACUAUAUUUUUAAAAAUUAUUUUAAUAUACUUUUAUUUUAUCACAUAAAAGUACUUAAUUUAUCACAUAAAAGUACUUGUUACUGCUGAAAUGAAGUAAAUAUAAAAAUUGGUUUGGUGGAAAUAAAAAUACGGAGAAUAUAAAUAAACCGUGAUGACGAUAAAGCCGAUAACGAUUUGUAGUCCAUAUAAUAAUAUAAUAAUAAUUGAAGUGACAAAUUCAUGUGAGAGAGUAAAAAAGCCGUCAUAUAUUUUAUAUAGGCCAAACCAAUCCCACCAAACAAAACCCUAAUGCAUGAUUUGAAGUAUUUGCAGAAGUUGCUGGCAUUGCUAUGAUAACAACAUAAUCUAGAAAGCAUGUGAAAUUUGUAAUUUAUUUUAAAAUAAUUGAAUUAGUCUGAUAAAAAAUUGAAUAACUUGAUAGGCAGAAAUAAAUAGAAAUAGGAGUAGUAUAUGAGGUGGAUAUUGAUUUGUGAAAUUUGGAUAUAUUAGGAAAAGAAAAAGUAAAUCUCACACAUAAAUCAUGAUGUGAUGAAGCUUAAUUAAAAAAGCUAAACUGAUGUUGAGAGUAGGGUUAAUUGUGAGUGAGUAAGAACAGUGUAAUGAUCAGAAUCAGAACCCUACAAGCAAGCAAUAUGAGAAGACAGGGACAAAAGAGGGACGUGGGUCCCACGACAAGAGUGCCCUAAUACCAAGUCUACACACACUCACUCAUAAGAUAAAGCAGUGCCGCGUCGCAGGGGAACAUUUCCCUAACCCAAAAUCUACGUCACCAACCUCUCCAAUACCUAGUUUUCUCUCUCUCUGCUCCUAAUUCAUUUGUUUAUUUAAAAAAAAAGGGAAAAAGGUAGAAAAAGAAAACCCUGAUUAAGAACCCUCGCAACCCUUCAAAGUCCAAAGCCUCUCCCAUUUUCUCUCUCUUUCUGUUCAGCGUUAGAUAAGAAAAAGAAGAAGAAAGAGUAACCAACGCAAUCACCAUUUUCUCCCUCCUCAUGAAGAAGCUCUACCAUAAAGGGACGGUUCACCCGUCGCCACCGCUCAUCUCCGACCACCUCGCUUUCCUCCCCACUGCCAUACUCACCCUCGCGGCCGCGCUCUCGCCGGACGACCGGGAGGUUCUCUCCUAUCUCAUCUCCUGCUCCUCCGCCGCCGCCUCCACUUUCUCCAGCAACCCCCGCCGGAAAAGCGCUGCGGAAACCGCCCAUUCCCCUGCGUUCAACUGCAGCUGCUUCGGCUGCUACACGACUUACUGGGUCAGGUGGGACGAGUCGCCGAAUCGCCAGCUCAUACACGAGAUCAUCGACGCGUACGAGGAUUAUUUGGCUCAGACUGGAAACAAGGGGAAGAAGAACGGUAAGGGGAAGAAGGAGAAGAGGAACCACAGGAAAGCGGGGAGCAGCGAUAGCAGUAAUAGUAAGCAAGCGCAUUCGAGCGAGUUGAAGCGGUCCGAGUUGGCGAGUGUGGCGAGUCACGACUCGGGCGAGUUGGAAGCGGUGUUGGAGGGUGGCGGUGGCGGUGGCGAAGGUUGUGAAGGGGUUGCGGUUGAGGAGAAAGGGUCUGUGAGAAGGUUUGUGAGUUUCAUUGGUGAAAGGAUUUGGGGCGGGUGGGGACAGUGAGUGAAGUUGGCAGAGAUAAUAAUGAAGAAGAAAACUAGAUAAUGAAGAAAGGAAGAGAAGAGAAGAGGAAAGGUAGGUUUAGAUUUUAAUAUUAAUAUUUACACCACCUCCCUUACUUUUUCUUGUUCCUUUUUAUUUUUGCUUUUGUACAUUAAUCAAUCACCGCUACCCUGCAAUGUUUAACACGAAAUGGAUGUUUCUUCUGUAAUUCAGGGGGUUAGAGUUUUGUUAUAUAUAAUCUUUCAAUCAAGUCAUAUAUAUCAAAUUUUGAAUUCAUUUUUUUUAUUUCUAUCUCUUCCAUGUUGUUUCCAUUUUCCUGGGAACUCAUCAGUGCUGUCUCUUAGGAUGUUUUUUUCAAAUUUAGGUUCUGAAUUCGUUUUAGUUGUUAAAAAUAGGAAAAAGCUGUUUCUCCUUCUAGUAUAUUCCUUGUUCAAUUUCGGCGUUCAAUCUCACUGAUGAUGCCCUUUUGUUUCUACAGGGUGUACAUUUGGAAGUCAAAAAUGACUAUUUUCUUUAGAUUUUUCUUUCAAUUAAUGUGUAGAAUUUGAAUUUGACCAAUUCAUAUCUUCCAACAAGUUUUCUUUUUUUUUGGUGGUCUUUAUCUUUAUCUCUUUUUACUCGUGAAACUUCCCAGUGAAUAUACCACAAUGUCAUGAAAAAUCAAUCCUUUUGCCAGUGUGUAAAUUUCAUAGGUCUUGACUGGUAAUUGUAUAUUAUUUAAACAAUUUCAAUUCUUAAACUUGUGAAACUUUAUUAGAUGUAAUGUCUUCUGGCCAAAACACUAUUUCUUGCAAGAUUUAUUAAAAUAAUUUACACUGAAAAUAAAUUAAAUCAUAAUUUUAUUUCUUAUAAGUAGAUUUUUUUGGUAAUGCAUUCUGCUGUUAAAGAAAACUUGCUUUUUCUGCGGCAACGAAUACUUGCUACUGAACCUGGAAUAAGAGAGGAGUAGCGGGCAGUGUUUUUUUUCAUGGGGAAGAGAAAAAACUUUUAACAAUAAUUUUUUACCUUUCAAUUUUUUCAAGAUAUGUUAUACCUUUUAAUAUUAGGACUUCAUUAAAUAAAUUUAAUUAUAGACAUAAUUCCAAUACGUGAUUAGAUGAUAAAAAAUUACAUAUGAAAACACAUGAAUGGACUUUAUUUAUUUUCUUCUGAGCGUUUGUAAUUUAUAUCUAUAGCCCAUUUAGUCGGAAUGUCUAGGUGUGCUCUUUCUCAAAAGAGUACAAUUUUUUGUACCGAAAUCGUAACAUAAUUUUGAUUUUUUUUACUCUUAAAAGAAGAGCACAACUCAUAUGGAAAAAAUAAUAACAAAUCCAUGAAUAUAUUUUCAGUUUCCUUUUAAAGUUAAAAUAAAUAUUUUUACAAUUAUCUAAAUUUAACAUAUCUAACUAGUUUGAAAUCUAAAAAACUGAUACUUGACUCUAAAAAGUAUUUAUGAAUGAGACUAAGUUUUGUAAAAGUAUCCUAACAAAUUAUGAGGCCAACACCAUUAGGUUCGGAAUUAUACUAUUUUUCUAACGAAAAAAUCAAUUUAGUUACACACAAGGAGCAUUCCUAUUUCUUUUUGCAUGAGUUGAUAUUUAUACAUUUCUUACUUAUGAUUUUCUUUCAUUCAUUUUUUUAUUAUGAGUAAUCUUAUACAUAUAUAUAUAUAUAAUAAAUAAAAAUUGUGGGAUCAUACAUUUUUCCGUUUUAAUUCUUCAUUCGCAAAAAUAUCAUUCAUAAAUAAUCAUAAAAAUAUAGUAUUUUUUCCAUGCAUGCACUGAUUUUUUAGAUAUUCAAACAAAUUUUACAUUUCGCUUGUAUUAGUUAUAGUUUUCUUUUCACCCUUGAAAAAAAGGCAAAAUGAUAGUCAUUUUGCAUUGUAAACAAAUCUCUACAUUAUUUUUAAAAUAAAUAAUAAACAUGUCCUCAUAUUUUAGAAUGUUUGUUUUAUCUAUCCAUAAAUUUAGUUAUCAUUUUACUUGUUAAGUAGCAUUCAUCAUCUACCACAUUAUAAAAAAAUUAUUUUAUAAUAUAAACAUAAAAAUAUUAUACGAUAUCUUUUAACUCUUUCCUUACCUUUAAGUGUGAUGUAUUUUAAUUUUAAUUUUAAUUUCUUUGCAUAGAAUUUUUUUUUUUAAUAUGUUUGCAUUAUUAUUAUUAUUAUUUUAAGGAAUUUAUUUCAAUAUUUUAUAACUAAAAAAUAUUUUUAUUUUUUUUAAAUGAAACAUUUAUUUAUUAUAUAUGCUACUUUUUUUUUUCAAACUAUACAUGUUUUUUCAUACCAUUAAAAUCACAAUAUAUAUUUACUAAGUUCCAUUUAAAAACCUAAGAAGAGUAUAUUUUAAAAGAUAAAACAAAAGCAUUGAAUCAAAAUAUUAAUAUUUUCGUUUAUGAUCAAUAGUCAUACGUUGUUUAAAAGUUAAAGUUAAAGUCAAUUUAAAUACACAUUUCUCUCUUAAUUCUGAAGUAUUUUUUUAAAGAUAAAACUGUGAUUAAGUUCAAAAUUCCAAAACUAAUAGUAGCUCAAUGCAGUGAUUUGACUAUAGUAAUAUAAUUUAAAUACACAUUUAUCUCUUAAUCCUAUGAAGUAUUUUUUUAAAGAUAAAACUAUGAUUAAGUUCAAAAUUCCAAAACUAAUAGUAGCUCAAUGCAAUGAUUUGACUAUAGUAAUAUCAUUUUGAAGUGCAUAUUUAAUACUUGUUAUAUAUAUUAUUAUACUAGAUAUAUAUAAAAAAAAUAUUUAUUUUACAAAAGUGAUGUAGUUUUAUACAAAAUUUAAAAAUAUUAUGAAAAUAUAUAAGUUGUGCUUGAACAUCAUGAUUUUGUUACAUUGGAACAUAAUUCCAUUAACAAAAAAAACGAAGUUAUCAAGAGCAAACAUAAAUUUUGAAAAAUUGUGAAUUUAUCUUAAUCACUUAUAUAAAUCUUUUUUAGUUGAAAUUGCCAUAAACUACAACGGGCAAUACAUAAAAAUCAUUCAUGAGUACAAUGAUUUUUAUAUAUGUAUUAAUUAUUAUAAUAAUUUGUUUGAUUAAUUUAAAGAAUUGUUUAAUAAUUUGAUUAUUAUAAUAUAUUAAUAAUUUGUUUAAUGAUGUGAGUUAAGAAAAUAAUGUGAGUUGUUAAAAAGAUGGAGUUUUCUAAUGUAUGACUAAAAUGUGUUUCUGCUUUGAUUUGUGUUGCGUUUACUGUUAGAACAAAUGUUCCUUGGAAGCUUCGUAAUCGAUGAAAUACUUGUCUUAAUUACUCUGGGAAAAUCAGGUUUAUGGUUACUCAUAUUUUACAUGAAGGAAAUGUGUGCUGAUAAGUUGGCUAAUUUUGUAUUUAUUUAUAGAGAAUCUUUUCAUUCGUAUAAUAGGCUACCAUCUAGUCUGUUAUUAGAAUUCUUUAUGAGUAGGUAUAAUCUACCUAUGUAUCGUUUUUGUUAAUAUAUGAGUUUUGGUAUAGUCUUCCAUAUUUUUGUAUUUUUUUUUUAAUAAUAUUUUUUAAAUGAUUGUUGGUACUUAAAGUUUCAACAUAACUAAAAUGUCAAGUUGUAUAAUGAUACUUAACCUGAAAACUUUUAUUUUAAAAAAUAUAUAUUAUAAUAAUAAAAAACAAUUUAUUAUAAUAAUUACUAUUUCUUAUUUAUUUAAUAAUUAGUAAUAAUUUUUUGUCCUCAUUUUUAUACAUAUUUUUUAAACAACAAAUUUAUAAACAAAUAAAAUAAUUUUAUAAAAAAAUUAUAAUCGGUACAAAAGUAAUAGACAAAUCAUCACCAUCAUACACCACCUCUAUACAUUACUUUUACAUUAAAAGUCGUCCUACCUUAUACAACUUUAACAUAAUUUUUUACUUUUUUUACGUAAACGAUAAAUCAACUUCAAACACAACUUCAACUUCUUUAAAUUAUUCUUACAAUGAAAGUCGUGCUGGUUGUUUAUUAUUUCUCUCUUUUUUUUUUUCUUGUUAUCAAUAAAAUCGUGUUUUUAUAAUAAUUAUUUUUGAAAAAAAAACGCACUGCUCGAAAAUGACUUAUCUAUUUUUAUAAUAUUUUUUAAAUCUAUAAAUUUUUAUAAAUUCUAUGCCAAAUUGCACUAUUAUUGUGUAUACUAAAAAUAGUUUAUAAUGUAUAAAUAGAGUGUGGAGAUAGAUAGGCAUAAGAAAUAGCAAAAAACGAGAUCCGCAAAGUAGAGAGGCUUCGAUUUAAGCGAAGGAGGCAGUACAAAUAAAAUAGACACUUCACUCCAAAUAUUGGUCUCCUUUCUGCACACCCUUUUUCAUUUAUUUAUUCUUUCACACUCUUCACUUCUUUCAUUAACAGAAAAAAAUGACUUUUUUGGAGACCAUCACAACCAUCUAUGUCUAAAUAAUUUUCUUUCUAAUGUGGGAGAAGAAGUUGAUUAUGUGAUGUUUGCAAAUAGUAAUUAGAGUUUUCCAUAUAUGAAUGUCCUUCCAUCUCCAUUUAAUUGGUCAAAGUUCCCUUAUUAUGUAUAAUCCAUUUGAAAUAAUUAAUAUUUUUUGCAAUUAUAGUUAGGUUAUAACAGUGAUUUUAAAUAAAUGUUUACCUUUCAAUAUCCUUUCUUGAGUUUAGUAUUACCAAUGUAGAUUUAUCAUCAGAUAAAAGGACAAUUUUAUAAAUACUGUAAGACUUUUUCUUAAUAUUAAUCUUUGAAUAGUAAUUUUUAAUUUCUUCUAAUUCAACUCAUAAUGAUUUUGGAAGUAAGAAAGAAGGCAAAAUAGAUAAAGAAAACCAUUACUUCGUAAUUAAGGUUGAAUUGACUGCGUGAGAGGGAAUAGGACUUUAUGAAUUCAACAUUUUUUCUCUCGUACCACCAAAUGUUUCUGAUCGAUAUAAUACUACAAAAACAACUAUUAGGAAUAGUACUUCGAAUCUAUCUGUUUGACUUAGUUUUAUGUAUUUUAUUUUCUCAAAACCUUUUAAUUUAAAAGGUGACUCAAGUGUUCAUUGGUCAGAUUUGUUCUCCAUUUAGAUUCGUGAAGUAUUUAACACUCCCAUCAGCAGCUUCCUUCUUAUCUUAAUUCCCACUCAUGAUUCAUCAUAUUUUAAAAUAUUAUAAAACCCUCUUACCAAUUCAAUGCAAUGAAAACGAACAGAAUUAUCUAGGACCAGCAUAAAGAGACGUGUGAAGAGUAAUAUUUGAAAUCCAAUAUUUAAGUUUGAAUGCAGUUGAUGUAAUUUUUUCUUAGAGUUCACAAUUAAGUUACUGAACUUAUUUUUACUUUUUAUAACAAAUUCUACAAAUAUAGUUUUCAAUUAAAUGGGUUAAGAUAAUAUUAUAUUAUUUCCGAUUUGUAAUGAUUGCAUAUGUUUGAUACUUCUCAUAUUUGAUUGGAUGAAUUUGAGGGCUUUAAUGCGAGGAAAGAUGAUAAAAAAAGAAAGAAAGAGGAGAAGUAGUGGAGUUAGGUAUAUGUUUUGCUCUGCCUUGCUCAUUUUCUGUCUUCUCUUGUAUGAUUGCAAGCCUCAAGAAGUGAAAUGUUUCUAUUAUUGGGAAAAGCACAUGGCUGAAAAAUCACAUUCGAUUCUACCCCUCUCUAAUGCAUAAAUCUUAAAAGUUUAUUAAGAUAAUAUUAUUAAAAGUUAAUAAUUAUAUUUAAGAUAUGACUUUAUUCUUAAAAAAAUGUUUUGAUCAGUUUAAAAUUUUUUUAUUUAAAGUAUUAUCCUAUAAUUCCGAGUCACAUUCUAAAAGUAAAUAAACUAUGAGAUGUAAAUAAGUUGAAUGAAGUAAAAUCAAGCACUUCAAUGGAUUCUUUUAAUCCAUUGAAAAUAUGUUAGUGAUGUAUGAGGUAAGGAUUUAAGUUUCUAAAAAUAUUAGAUUUUGUGUGUGAGUAAUUGUAUAUUUACUAUAUUUUUUGUAAUUAUGAGAAAAUAUAUGAGUUAUAAUAGUGGAGUGUGGUUAAUAAAACUUAAAAUAUGUUUUUUUUAAUUGAACUUAAGUGAGAAAGUAAGGGGAGUAGAGACAAAAGUUUAUAAAAUAUUAUUAGAAUGUCAAACUUCCUCUUUUUGACCAAAGAAGUACUUUGAGAAACUUAUAACUUUUUUUCUUUCAUUUAUUUUUCUCAAGUCCACUUCAAUUCUUUUUUAUCUUCUCCUUAAGGUUUAAAACAAAGUCAUACAGUGCCAACCUUGAAGUAAAUCACUUUGAGUAAAAUUUUCUUUUCAUCUUGCCUUUAUUUAAUCUCAUGCAUGUUAAAGAUGAAAAAGAAAAACGGAGUUUUAAAAAGCUGCGAAUUAAUCCUUUUUAGUUCUAUGAAUGCUUAGGUUCUUGAUUUUGAACUAAUCAAAAUUUUAUUUGGAUAUUCUCACAUCUUCAAUCUUUACAAAAACUAAACCUUUUAGGGUGUACGGUCAAUUCAGGGUAAAGAAAGUUAUAUUGUUAUUUAAAUACAAUUUUUUUAAGUUUUAAAUACUCUAUUGAAGUCUUGGUUUUGAAAAUUGAUGAGUUUCGUGUAAAAUGUAAAAUGCGUUCUCAAUGUUAGUGGUGUACCUUUUUUAUAAAUUUUUUAAUAUUUAAUUUUAUGAGUUUAUCUAAUAUUCAAGUUGAUUAUUAUUUAAUAAAAAAGUAAAGAUUAAUAAUUAGGAAUGGUUUCAGAAUUUAAAACGACAAGCUUUAAUUAAAAGAAAAUAACAUACUAGACCCGAGGUGCAAUUUGUAAUAAAACAAUGAGCUUUCCAUUUAUUUAUUGAAUUUCUCUUGAAUAAUGUUAUCCAAAAACAAUAUAAUUAAGAAGAUAGAUUUAACUGCGUUGUAUUUGAUUGUGUACACAUGUGUAUUAGGGAACAAGGCUUGAGUUAAAAAAGUAGUUUAUUAUGAAUGGAUAUAUAUUUUAGUUGCAUUGACUUAACGUGAUUAUGAUCUGUUACAUAAUUAAUAGUUAAACAUAAUAAAUGUGCGAUGAUGAAAUAAAACAUUAUAGAAAAAGUAAACUUAAAAGUAUUAUGCAUGUUGAUUUAAAGUAUUCUAUCUUGAUCGUAUAUAUGCCUUAAAAAUAAAUGGUCACAAAAAUUUUCUGCGUUUCUCAUUUAUGAUCGUAGUCAAUUUGAAUCCAAUGUAGUUUGUAUUCUUUUUCAAGUAAUAAAAAACAUGGUUUAGUGUAAACUGUUUAAGCAUAUUCAUGUUUAUUUAUAAUUUCAUUUAACUUUCUACAGUUAAUAAUUUUUUCAUAGUAUCAAUUUUAUUUAUGGCAUAUGUACGUGUAUAUACUGGAAUUUUAUUCAUUUUUAAAUUAUUUUACUAAAAAGUCCUUUCAAAAAGUUGACGGAGAAAGUGAUUAUAUUUUAAAAAAACUAACUAACUAAGUAAAUAUAUCGUAUUAUUUCUUUAAAACAUUUACUAAUAUUUAUAUUUUAGUGUGAUCCAUUCUAUUAAUUGAAAAUAGUAAUGUUGCAAUAUACCAGUUGCAUGAAAAUAAGUGGUUUAAAAUAUAAAUAAAGUAAAAUACACACAUAAUCUUAAUUAAAUAAUAAAAAUGUGACACAAAAUUACUUUUAAGUUUUUAAGUAUAGAUAUAAAUUAGAAAUUUUUUAAUUAUGGAAACUAUUAUUUAAUCACAACAAAAUUAAUGUAAUUAAUGAAGUUAUAAAACAAUAUAGAUUUUCCAUAUGUGCAUUUAUUGAUCUAGACUGGUUUUAAAAACUAUUAUUAUGUGAAACUUGAAGUUAAUAAUGGCAAUUGCUUACAGUGAGGAAAUUUAUGGAGGAGAGUUAAAAUGAAAAAGAAGGAGGAAGGGUGUGAAUAUGAUAUGAUAGGGAGUAGGGUUGGAAGAAAAGUGGAGUUAUAAGAGUGAUGUGAAUGUUGGAGUUAGGUGGAAUAUAGUAGUAGUUGCUGAUCAUACUUUCCUCUCACCUUGUUUGGUGGAUGUUGUUGCUGAGUUCCCUUACCUUGUGGUUGUUGGUAGUUGCUCAGCUACUUCAUAUUACUGUAUGCUGUUAUUAUACAUACAAAGUUUUAUUACUGAGAUUCAUUCACUCAAAAGUAUUAGAAUACAUAGCUAUGAAUUUAAUUAUUCAAAAUAAGCUAGAAUAUGUAUUUAACUCACAUAUUAUUUUCAAAUUCAUUUUACUCAAUAUCAUACUUAGGUUUUCUUAACUUGUGCUUAAUAUCAUAAAACUUAGAUAACUGAUAGAUAAUAUUUCCAUAGAAUUUGAACUUGAGGAUAGUUUAAUCCCAUACAUUCAAUUUAUAAAGUAAAAAUUGUCCUUUUAUAUAUUAUUUUUAGAUUCGAUUUAUACUUAAAUGAGAUUUGAAUCUUUAAUGAAAAAAAUUAAAUUUCACAAAAUUUCAAAAGUGAAAAUUUUGUGAAAUUAAUAAAUAGUUUUGUAGUUUUAGAGAUGGUAAAUGUUACUUUAGCAACAAUCAUAUCGACAUUGAAAGGAUACUUUUUAUGUGAUUAAAUAAGUUUGUAAAUAAAUUUAAAAUGGUGAUUUAAUUUAACUUAUGUUUAAUACCUAAAUUAAUUAGUUGUUCGUUUAUGGAUGUAUUUGAUAUUUGUGAGUUCAUUUAGAAUUUUAUUUGGGAAGAAUAAUGUGUUAAAGGGAGAGGGUGAGAAUAGCAUUUUGCGAUGUUAUGGAUGGUGAACUAGUACGAGUUUUCGGUUUUGGAAAUAAAAAAGGAGUAAUGAACUUGGUAAAUGAAUAGAAUACGUAUAGUAAUUAGAAGAGAGAAAAAAAACUCAUUUCUAAUUACCUCAAACCAUAUUCAUUUUAAGUUUUUCUUCAUCCUUUUGAAGAUUUAAGCAUGCAAGCUAAGAGAUGAUGUAGAAUAUCUUUGAGGCCUUUACUUUAGGUAAGCUACUCUUUUUCUUUCUCCUUUUCAAAAGAGAAUCACGCAUAUAAGGAUUUCUUUUUUAGAUGUAUGGAAUUUUUUAAAGUUUAGAUGAUUUUGGAUUGAUUUUAAUUUCAUUAAUAGACAUGAUACUUGGUUUUCUUAGCUUAUAUUUCUUUUCAAUUUGUAGCUUCCUUAGAGUAGAAGAAAGAUUAAGACAAGGGAAACUAACAUCAAUCUAAACUCAAAUUUAAGUUAUCAAUGAGAGUAGUUGAUUUUAUAUUGACUUGAUGCAAAAAUAUUUGAGCAAUUAAUUGGUAAUUUGGGUGUAAAUCUUGAAAUGUUAAGACUUCUGAAGUUUUAAUUUGGUAACUUAAAAGUUGGAGGAAGGUUUUGGAAUAAAAUAUAUGUUAUGAAGAAUUAAUCUUAAUGAGCCAGGUUAGUUUUGAUUUGGGUGUUAUGUAAGCUCUUAAGCAUAUAUAAUGUUUCUUUAUAUAACCACUCAUCAUUGUUUUGCUUUUAAAUUUGAUGAAACAGUGAUAAUUGUUUGGUGAUAACAUUGUUUUUACAUUUUAGUUAUCAUUCUAAACCUGAAUUGAAAUAUAAGGUUAAAUUUUGAAUUAUGAGUUGAUAAAUUGGUAUUUUCAAAAGUUAUGAUAUGUGUUGAUAUAUGAAUAUAUCAUUCAAGCAAGAUAUAUCAUAUUCAAACAAUAAAUGGAUCUAAAAAUAUCUAAAAAAAAUGUUUCAAUCCGGGGAACUCCUGGUUAAAGUGAAAUGACUACUGAAAGAAAAUACAAAAUUAUUGAAAAAUAUCAUUCAACCGAUAUUUUCUUAUUAUAUAGUAUAUGUUAUUUGGUUAAUUUUUCUUUCAAUAGUUUAAAUUUUGUAGAACCAUAGCUACUUGUUCAGUUUUAUGUUUGUAAUGCUUUAGUUAACUGGGUUAGUGAAUAUUAAGGUAUGUGAAAUAUUAGUCUAGUGUAUUGAAAUUCAGUGUAAUGGUAUUUCCAUCCUAAAAUGCGAACAUAAGUAUUUAAUUUAGAAAAGAGGUAAAUUUUUUGAUUUUUUGAAUUUGAUAUGAAUUUAUCGAUUCCGUGUAACACCCUACUGUAGACGAUGUAAGGGUGAAUCAAGCAUACACAGGUAUGGAGGAGCUCAAUGAUACACAGCCUUUUAGGCGUUCAACGAUUACAUUUCUGGUGACUAGCCCUGAAUGAUGAUGGCUCAUUGGUAGGCCCUCCUUCAGACACUCAUCGUAUUUCUCCAAAGUAGACACAAUAUAACUGAAAUCUGGCCGUUUCGAGGGGUUUGCUGACCAACAAUGCUUUAUCAGAUGUGCUACUGCUGGAUCACAACUAGCUGGCAGAGGAGGCCUUUCAUUCUGAUCAAAACACUUCAAUCACUUUUCUAUUCAAAAAUAUUUCACUUCUCACAGAAUAAACCCUUCAAAAACUAUUAUAAGCUACACAAAUUCAAGUCAUAAGGAGUUAAGCAAACACAAAAUACAUUCUCAUCACUCACUUUCUAUCCUUCAGUUCUGUAAAUCUUUUCAAAACUGUAAUUGGUUACUUACAUUAGUCCAACACAUGUUACUUUUAUGAUAACGUUGCUAAACUGAGAAUUUGGAUAAAAUGAACUAUGAUUUUAAAGGUUAAUUUCAUUCUCUCCCCUAGUUGUAAAGAUUAUUAUUUGUUUUCCACAGUUUUAGAGACAGAUGGCUAUUUAUUUGUGCCUUUUUGUGGGGUCUAAGGAAUGAGUGUGCCUCAUGGGAAAGCACUAAUGGAGACAACAAUAUUGCGGCUAGCCUUUUAUGCAAAGUUCAAGGACUACUUUUGACAAAUGUAUGCACCAAAAUGUAACAACUGUUUUUAUGUUAGCCUCAUCAAUUUUUUUAUCAGGUCAAGCGAUAUCAAGGGAUGCUUGUUGGGACUAGGGAGGGAAACACCUCCAAGGCCCAUGCAUCAGUGCUUCCUGUUAUUGGGACUAGAAGACACAUGCACCGACUGUAACACUUUUAAUAAAAAAGUUCACUGUUAAAGCACUCGAGUUAAAAUAAUCCAUGAUCAUUGCUCAUGUUAGGUUCAGCUUCUGCACAUGUUGCCCAAUACCUACCUCACAUAGCUCAAGUAAUUCAAGAUUUCCAUGACUGGAAUUCGGUGAUUGCUGCAAUUCUGUCAGCCUGAGGCUUAACUAUUGAAGCAACAAGUGAUGCAACAUGAACAAACAGAGUCAUUUGUUAUUAGUGUACUUUGAUUACUGUGACUAGUGACUACUGGUAAACUAUCUAUGUAUGAAAAUAAAAAAUAGUAGACGCAUUUAUUGAUAUAUGUAGUUUGCCUUUUCUGAAUAAAGAUUAUAUUAUAUACGAAAGUGCUAUGACUAAGUAAACCAUGUGGUGACAACGAAAUUAUCCUGCAAAAAACUAUUAGAGGUUACAAUAUUUUUGUCUUCACCUCUUAUUUUUUUAGUAACACUUAACAUCUUGUCAGACUGGCUAAGAGAAGAGAGAGUAGAGGAUUAGAAUCUCUGAAACGCAGAAUCCCUGAAACUCUGCAUAAAGGUAUUUGUGGCACUUAAACUAAACUGGAAAAUGAAAGUAUAUUGAUUGACCCAUCCAUUCCCACCCUCAAGAAAUUAGCCAAGACAUCCAUGAAUUGAGGGAUUAACAGAUACACGAUAAGGAUUCUCCAAGUAAUUAUGCCUUAGGGAGGAUUUUCUACUG
rnacentral:lncRNA from 1 species